rnacentral:lncRNA from 1 species
AAAGCUUGUCUAAUUUGAAUUUUCAGCUGGAGAGUUACCAACGGAGCAGAGAGAAUCCGGACACCUACUGGUAUUUGUUACCCCAAGGGAUUGCACAUGGAGAUUUCAGAGAACAAAUAGAUUUUAAGCCGGGCGCGUACGAAUAAAGCCUGUACUUUCAGAAGCGUAUUUAUGAUGCAGUAAUUUACCGUCAUAUUGUAAUUUACCUUUCAGCUGAGUUUCACUACAUUGCAAUAUUGUAAGUGCCUAAUAAACAACAUUUUACGUGGUAUCUUUCUUGACACUAUUGUAAUUGUUGAAGAUGUUAUAAUAGUUGUAGUUUGAGCUUCGACUAAUUGUUUUUCUUCACCAAAAUCGAUACAAUGAUCUUAUUUAUGAGGACAAAUCAAGCCAAGAAAACAAUACAUGUAUAUGUAUGCAGUAAGUAUUGCUCCUUACAUCUUAUAAAGUUUGUCGCACUUCAAGAAUCAAUUUUUAUUAAUAGUGGAUAGAAUUUGAAACUUGAUGGGUAGUUUCUAACUCAUAAAGAAUUGUGGGGCUAUGAUAUUUGUUCAAUCCUAGGUUUUGUGGAAAAUCUUAGAUAUUUGAAAGUUUUACCAAAUCUUGGAUUGUUGUGAUCUUAAUUACUUGAUAACUGUUACAUACUACAAAAGUAGCUGUUUUACUUUCUUGAUAAUAGUACGUGGACUCAUAAAAAAAUACAUGCAUUGAACUUUUACGGAUUGCCUGAGGAGGUACUGACCAUUAAUAUACCCUUUUUUUAGACUUCUUUUUUCUUUAAAUUAAGAUAAAUUAAAUUAUAAAAAUCUUAUUGUCAUAAAAAAAAAAUUGAUGCACAACGGGUGCAGGUGAAAUUACUGAUGCAUCUAUUUUUUUAACAGAAUGACCUCAAAAUCACCAAAAUCUUACUAUUUUUUUGCCUGUAUUAACAACAUGCUUCCAAGUCUCCAUCAAAGAACUUUCAAGCUGUACAGAAGUAAUUGACAUAAAAAAAUAAAAGAAUAAAAAUAAACUCUUGGGCCACACCUCAUAAUUUGGUGGACACGAAGUGGGGGAUGGUCAUAAUUUACCACACUACAAUUGGCCCCUUUAGUAGAUCUAAUCCAGGAUGACAAAUUACGAAAACAACUUGCAUUUUGGACUCCUCCGAAUGAGUGUGAGGGUCUUUUAUGGGAAUGGCAUCUGUGAAAGUAUAGAAGUGAAAUUAAGUUUAGGUAAUCGAUUACAAGUUGAACAUAUGUGCUUUACAGCUGAAAAUAAAAUAUGGCUAAUUCAUAACUCGCUUGUGGCUAAAAGAUCUCCCAUAGUUUAUGGAAAUAAUUUCAUGUUUUUAUGGAAGUAACACAAAAUUUUCUAGAUUAUGUAUAUAAGGUGUUGGAAUAUUUUAAUAAAAUUGCUAAAUUCUCAAUUUGAUGUGUAAGUUAUAAGGAGAAUAAAUUGGUGAAUAUUUUUCAAAUUUAUUGGUGUUUGAAUGAUUUUUGACUAAAGAUUUGUUAUAUAAACUUAUGGCUUUUCAAUUACAAUAAAUUUUGCAACCUACAAUUCGAGUUAGAGUGUGUCUUGAAUAGCCAAUAAUUUUCAGCAUCUACUUGGCAUAUUAUUAGUUUAGGUUAUGUUUGACUAAUUUUUCUUGAUCUAUAAAUAUGGGUUAUUGAGAUAGAAAAAGAUGCUACAACAACUUAUGUUUUUUGAGCUACAAUUCAUAAGAGAAAAUAUCUACUCUUUUGUUAUUUUCUAUCUCAUAUAUUGGCAAAAAAAAAAAAAACAAGUGUUUGUAGAGUUAUUUUUUUUUAACAAUUAUCUAUUUUUUAUUAGAAACAAAAAUUGCCUGAGAGGGGCCUGGACCGAACCUCAGCCAGCGAACGACACAUUGAAAUCAAAUGACUGCAAACUAACCCAAGCGACUAGGACGACGUCGCACCGAAAGGAUGGAUACGACAUCCUAUCCAACCUAUACUCUCCCCUAACUAAACGUGGCAGAUCCUCCGUCCUCUUAAAGAUGCUAAUCUCAUCCAUAGAUUUGUUGCACCCUUCUUUUGCCAAUAUGUCUGCAAUUCUAUUGGCUUCCCGAAAGCAAUGUUGGACUUUAAAAGAAGAGGACGAUGCAAGGCGAAUAUGCUCCAGCUCCUUAUCAAUGGACCAUGGCCUCUUGCACUCGUUGUUUAAAACCCGUACCAAGACCAACGAGUCCGACUCCGCCAAUACCUGCGUGAGACCCUGCUGGGCACAUAGUCGUACCCCCACUAGCAUGGCUUACACAUGCUGUUAAUUUUUCUAUUUGACAUUUGUGUAGUUGUUCUAGCGGAGCAACAAUUUUAAAGUGAUUCAGAACAAGAUGGAGUUCAACUUACAAGUCACUUGAGCCUACCUAUGGACGAAAAAUGAGAAGAUCUCAACCAAUGAAACAUAUUAACAAUAAAAGAAUGCUUGUGGAGAAAAAUUUAAGAAAAAGGGAAGUUGUUGAAUUCUAUUACUAGUAUUAUAAUGACUUUUAUAGUUUCUAUGAAACUUCUUGUCCUAAUACCAAAAGUCUUGGAAGGCUUAAUAGGAAAAUAUGGCACCAGAGAAGUAGAUCCGAAAGAGUUCAAAUUGCUGAACAAUUACAACUUGUUGCUGCACUAGACAUGUUGCUGCCAUGCAUUUUGAAAGAAAUUUUUAAAGGUGCCUUCUUAACAAGUAAAAGUGAGCUUCCAACGGGUAUGAUUAAUUGGGUCAUUCACUCUAAUUGCAAUAGAUAUAUACUCCAUUGCAUGUUAAAAAGUUGUGACAAAUAGUGGGUUCAUAGUAAUUUUCUAUGCUAAUAUGCAAAGAACCACUCUUUGACUGACAAAUUGAAUGCGAUAUGUGUUUAGUUGCGUAUCAUUAAAGCACUAAAAUAAUGGGGGUUUUUCCUUUGCUAAAAAUUAAUUCAAAGAAUCUGAUAUAUUAUUGAAGAUUCUCAAUAACAUGGAUUUUUAGUGUGAAUAACAGAAAAAGAUGAAUGUGUAGAAUCUCAUGUGGUACCAUAUUAUUUUUGCAACUUGUGAGCAUGAAUCUUAAAGUUGCAAUUAAGUGCACUGUUAAAUGACAUUGAGUAUAAUGGUUUUGGAUUUCUUAAUUCUUUCUUUGAAUUUGUGCAAAUGGAUAUACACUCGAAAGUGUGAAUAUAAUGUGAAGGCACUUGAAGUAAGUAUUUCAUAUUCUUGCAGAAAGAAGUUCUAUGGAAAUUCCAUGGAGAUAGCAAAAAUGGUUCCUAGUAGGUCUAUGGAAUUUACUGCUUGAAGGUUGGAAUUGGCCCUGUUUGAAGAGUAGAAUCGUCAAAUUUUCAUCUUCCAACUUCUAUUCCAAUUCCAGCACCUUUGUAGAUGAUCUCAGGUUCUUUGUUCUUUGGACUAGACUACUUGUGUGAGCCCUAACGCAAUGCAUGAGGGUGCCAAGACUUUGGUUAAUUUACAACUUGAGCAAAUAUGUAAUCAAGCAAUUGGCUACUGAUACGCAGAUAAAAUUCUUCAUUAAACAACUUUUAUUACUUAACUUGCAAUUAUACAUAACAAACUUUUUAAAGCUAUUUUAAUUCAAUACACAGGAUUAACAGGCCAUAUCAACAUAAGAAAAUACUCUAUUGAACUAAAUACACCAAAUUCAUACUAGCUUCAUUGUCUUGCACUGCAUAAAAGAAGUAUUAGGCUGCAAAUUCCGGAGCCACAAAAUUUUGAUCAGAUUUCCACAGGGCCAAAGAGUUUCACUCUUAGCAACAAAGUCAAACCUCCAUUCCUUUGUAUAAUGCUCGCGAUCUGCAGGAUCAUAUACAAGAAUGGUCAUACUCAGACUAAACAUACUCCUAACAACGGUGAACUUUAUUACUCCAACGCCAUUGUUUCCAGGACCAGGAACAGGAUUAAGCAAGCAUGUGCUAUGCACUGACCCUUCCCACCGUUCGUAUGCUGCAAUGGCGUUGAUCUCGUCUAUAAAUCUGUUCAAAGCACCAUCAUACCUGCUGUCAAUCACUAUUAGCACAUGAGUAACAUUUGAAAAUUUUGCAAAUGAAGUAAAAUUUUGUUUAGAAAAUCUCUCAUAUUCUCGCUGUAUCAGACCAGAAAGUUGAAGCUAAGUGAGCCUCAACCAAGUACAGUUCAUUGGAAAAGAAGUCAAAAUUCUGACUCAGUAAAGAUUAACUUAUGUAUCUUUGUGGAAUAAAGAUUAAUGAAUAAGAAGAAAGACUAAUAUCUUUCAGGUGUAAAACUCAAAAGAUACUAAAUAAUCACAAACUUAAGCAAAGUCUUUUAAAAUGGCAAAGAAAAAUAUAUACUGCAGAGGCCCCGUCCUGGGCCUGGACACGUGGCAGCCCAGGCUUGGCCGAGCUGGGCCUCGGCCCCAGGCCCCUGGCGGUCGUCCUGGGCCGCUCUGCUAGGGCACCUAAAGGGAGAAAGGAUCCAUCCCGAAGAGGUCGGGGACGAUUCCCCUGAAUGCGGGAUAGGGGGCUAUUCUGGGCAGGUCCUGGAACGUGCGGAGGUCGGACUCCCCUAGCAGGUAUAAAAGGUAACACACGUCGACUGUACAAGAUACGCUCACUAUUGGCAAAAUUACGCCCGGUUGUCUUUACUUCCCGUGAACUCUACUCACCGGAAAACUAACUCGACCGUCGGAGUGCCCUCGGGGACAACCCUCGGGCCCCCUUGGCUAGCUCAUUCUUGUUUGUUUUGCAGGCUUAGGACCAGCUCUUCCAUCAGCACCCCGAGCUAGUCGAAUCAGCUCGGUCCGGGGAAGCUCAGCGCUUCUUCAGUUGGCGCCGUCUGUGGGAACGUAAGGUAGUUAAGAUUGUGUUGAUGGCCAGGACGCGGUCCAAGCGAGCGGUAGAGAGCACCGGCCCUGGAGGCGGUGAGGGGUCCCAGCGACGGGAGGCCGAGGCGUCCCGGGGCGCCGGGAGCUCAGCCCUUUCAGGAGAAAGGAUGCAGCAGAUUUUCCAGUUCGUGACGGAGAACCUCCCUAUGCUGGAAGACAUCAUUCGGCAAGCGAAGGAGGGGGAGGGGGCUGGAGGCCCGCAGACCUCGAAGGCAAAGGGAAAAGAGAAAGAGCUACUCCCCGAUCCCUCGGAGGAUGAGUCACGUGACCAACCCCCUAGAAGGAAACGGCCAAGGACUCCACCUCGCCCGCGAGCCUCGGUAGUCGGAGAUAGCGAGAGGCACUCUCGUUACAGGUCCGCGGGGAGUAGGCCGAGGGACUCCUCGCCGAGGAGGCCUGUGUGAAAUGGGCUGGACCGCUCUCCAGCCCGGUCUGCCAAGAGCCGACCGCGCGACCCCCUUCACUUGAGGCCUGUCCAAGACGAGCUCGAGCAGAUCUUGCGGCGACGGUUGUACGAAAACAACUACUCCACCUCGCCCUUCCCCAGGGAGAUAGAGGAUUACCCCCUACCCCGGAGGUUCAAGAUCCCGAGCAUCGAGAUGUACGACGCUUCCACUGACCCGGAAGACCACCUUUCGGUCUUCCUGAUGCACAUGCGACUGCAAACUGCUGCGGACGAGAUCCGCUACAAGAAUUUUCCCAUGUUCCUGAAGGGGAAAGCUCGGCUCUGGUUCCAAGGCUUGGCAACAGGGUCUAUCCGGAGUUUCCCCGAGCUAGUUAGGCAGUUCGUCGCCCAAUUCGUCUCCUCGAAAACCUAUGCGAAAAACGCCACCCAUCUGAUGUCUAUCAGGCAGAAGCCCGACGAGUCGUUGAGGAACUUCAUGACCCGCUUCAACGUGGAGAGCUUACAGGUCAGGGACAAAGAUGAAAAAGUGGUAAUGGCCGCCUUCCCGAACGGGCUCCGGGUAGAGGAGCUCUUCUACGAGCUGGCCAAGAAGCCUCCCGUAAACCUGGAGGAGCUCCUAACCCGGGCUCAUGCGGCCGCUAAUGCGGAGGAGGCAGGCCGCCUGAAGAAGGAAUCAGAUCGGGAGCUCGGAGAUCGGAAGGGUCGGACGAACCCCCAAGAGGGCAAGGACGUCCCGGCCAAGAAGAACGUCUUUGAUCGGCUCUCGAAGGAGAAGGCACCUGCUCCGCCGCCAUUCCCGGAGAAAAGCUACACCCCUCUGACACGGCCUAGAGCACAGAUCUUGGCUGUUAUGGAGGCGGAAGGGCUGGGAGAUCGGCUGCCAAAGAUGGGGACACCUCGGAACAAGAGGAACCAGGACCGGUACUGUGCCUUUCACCGUGACGUGGGACACGACAAGGAGGGAUGCUGGGCCCUACCGAAGGAGAUCGAGAACCUGAUCCAGCGCGGUUUUCUGGGACUGUUCGUACGCCAUGGCAGGUCGGGCCAGGAGUCCGGGCGCCAUUACUAUGGAGACCGGCGUGAGGGACAGCGUCGCGACCGCCCUGAGCGGUGUGACGCUCCUCGGGGCCACUCUCCCGAUCAGAACACCCAGAACUUGGCGGGAGUGAUAAACACCAUCGCCGGAGGCCCCACGGGGGGGGACAGUCAUACAGCUCGGAAGAACAAGCGACCACCCCCCGAAGGGGACGACUCCUUGAAACGCUUGCGCAUGGACGAGGAGAUUACCUUCGGACCAAGGGAUGCGGUCCUCCUGGCGUCCGGGAACCACGUGGCCAUUGUGAUAGACAUUGUCACCAACAACUACCGGGUGAAGAAGGUGUAUGUCGACCAAGGUAGCGCGGUUGACAUUAUGUUCUAUCGGGUGUUCAAGUAGCUCGGAUUGAAGGAUGACCAACUGACCCCGGUUCGGACGCCUCUGGUGGGCUUCACCUGGCCGCCCAUUAAUCCGGAGGGAAUGAUCACCCUGAUGGUCACGGUAGGGCAGGCCCCCAAAUGCCGGACCAUCCCUGUCAACUUCGUGGUGGUCAAGCAGCAAUCCUCGUACAAUUUGUUCCUGGGUCGACCAACUCUGAACGCCCUCCGAGCUAUUCCAUCUACCCUCCAUCUCAGUGUUAAGUUCCCCACUCCAGGAGGGGUAGCUGAGGUGCACGGUGAUCCAGAGGUGGCCAGAGCUUGCUACUUGGCCACUCUCUGCGGGUCAGAGAGGGUGGUCGCCCAUACGAUCUGUCUGGAACCUUACAUCUCGGGGGAUGAAACCCGGCAGCCGGGCACCCAGGACGAAAUCGAGGAAUUCCCCUUGAGGGAAGACCGGCCAGACCAGGUGAUCCGCAUAGGCGCGCUGCUGCCCCCCGAGGAGAAGGAGGGCUUGAAGGCUCUGUUAAGGGAAUACUCCCAGGUCUUCGCUUGGUCGGUGGAUGACAUGCUCGGGAUCCCGACCGAUCUAGCAAUCCACCACCUCGACGUGGAUUCCCGCUUCAAGCCAGUCAAGCAGAAAAAGAGGAGAUUCGCCCUAGAAAGGAACGAGGUGAUCAAGAAGGAGGUCGGGAAACUGCUGGAGUCUAAGAUUAUCCUGGAGGUCUACUACCCGACCUGGUUAGCCAACCCGGUGCUGGUAAAGAAGGAGGACCAAACCUGGAGGAUGUGCGUGGACUUCACGAAUCUCAACAAAGCCUGCCCAAAGGACUGUUUUCCUCUGCCGAGAAUCGACAGGUUAGUAGAUUCUACUGUGGGUUUUGAUGUUUUGUGUUUUCUGGAUGCUUUCAAGGGGUACCACCAGAUAGAGAUGGCUGAGUAGGACCGGGAGAAAACCUCCUUCAUCACCGAGAAAGGAACCUAUUGCAACAGGACCAUGCCGUUUGGCCUAAAAAAUGCUGGGGUCACUUACCAGCGCCUGGUCAACAAACUGUUCCAGAACCAGAUCGGCAGGAGCAUGGAAGUCUACGUAGAUGACAUGAUCAUCAAGAGCCGGACAGACCAGCAGCUCGUCCGCGACCUGAGGGAGAUCUUUGGCAUCCUGCGGGAAAGUCAGAUGCGACUGAAUCCGAAAAAGUGCACUUUCGGAGUUAGGUCGGGAAGGUUCCUGGGGUUCUUGGUAUCCCGGGAUGGGAUUCGGGCCAACCCGGAUAAACUCCAGGCCAUCAUGAACAUGGCCCCCCCGAGGAGCGUAAAGGAGGUUCAGCGGCUCACAGGAAAGAUGGCCGCCUUGAACAGAUUCCUUUCGCGUUCCGCGGUCCGGGGGAUGCCCUUCUUCCGCAUCCUAAAAGCGCCUAAAGAUUUUCAAUGGACGGAGGAGUGCCAGAAAGCCUUCGCCGAUCUCAAGGCAUACUUAGCAGAGUUACCCACUCUGACUGCCCCGGAGUAGGGGGAAACCCUGUUCCUAUACCUGUUUACUUGCAACGAAGCCGUUAGCGCUGUCUUGGUGCGGGAGGACAGGGGGGUUCAGAGGCCAAUAUACUAUGUCAGCCGUGCCCUACAAGGGCCGGAGACGCGGUACACGCCAGCUGAAAAGCUAGUCCUGGCUUUAGUGCACGCUGCCCGGAAGCUCCGACCUUACUUCCCGACCCACAUCAUCGUCGUCCUAACCGAUCAGCCUCUACAGCAGAUACUCACGAGGCCCGAAGUCUCGGGCAAGAUGACCAAGUGGGCUGUCGAGCUGGCCAAGCAUGACAUCGGCUAUCAGCCUCGCAAAGCCAUCAAGGCUCAGGCCUUGGUAGACUUCCUUGCUGAGGGGGCUAGCUUAAUACUAACCGGACUAAACUCCCUGCCCGAGGAGGUACGGCCGAAGGAGCCCUGGGUGUUGUUUGUAGAUGGGGCCUCCAGCAAUGAAGGUAGCGGAGCAGGACUGCUACUCAUCUCACCCACAGGGGAAGAGCUGACAUAUGCUCUCCGAUUUGACUUCCCCGCGUCCAACAAUGAGGCCGAGUACGAGGCCAUGCUCACGGGAUUGCGGAUAGCCCACCGGAUGGGUAUAACCGCGAUCCAAGUCCGGAGCGAUUCUCAGCUCGUCGUCCUCCAAAUCCUCGGGGAGUACGAGGCCAAGGAGGAGGUCAUGAAGAAGUAUCUGGCCAAGGUGCAGGAGGCAACAACCCUAUUUGAUACCUUUGAGAUUGAGCGGGUGCCAAGAUCGCAGAACAAGCGUGCGGACGCCCUGUCGAAGCUGGCAUCCUCCUCGUUCGCGCACUUGAGCAAAGAAGUUCUGGUAGAGGUAGUAAAGCAGAAAAGUAUCGACCAGGUAUGGGUCCUGACUAUAGACAGCUCGGCCACCUCGAUGACACCCCUCAUCGACUACCUCAGCUCGGGUGUCCUUCCGAAUAAUAAAACCGAGGCCCGCUGAAUCCAGUUCAGAGCUGCCAAGUACGCCUACACUGGGAGAACCCUCUACAGGAGGUCAUACCUGUCUCCCUGGCUAAAGUGCGUGUCUCCCGAGGAGGGGGACUACGUCCUCCGCGAAAUCCAUGAAGGGAUAAGUGCGGCGCACGUGGGGUCCUGGGUGUUGGCCAAAAAGUGCCUUCUCUCGGGCUAUUAUUGGCCCUCCGUCUUCCGGGAUGCCGCAGAACUGGUACAGAAAUGCCGAACUUGCCAGGUGCACGCCCCACUGCGUCACCAGCCAGCUCGGGAAAUGAUCCCCAUCCAUAGCCCCUGGCCCUUCGCCCAAUAGGGGAUAGACCUCCUAGGCCCUUUCCCCCGAUCUCCGGGAAGGUACGAGCAUCUCGUGGUUGCCAUCGACUACUUCACGAAGUGGAUGGAAGCGGAACCCCUGCGCACUAGCUCUGGCCGAGCAAUCCAAAAAUUCUUUUGGAGGAACAAUGUUUGCCGCUUCGGCAUCCCGCAUGUCUUGAUAUCCGACAACGGGUGCCAGUUCGCUGAGAACCCCUCCCGGAACUGGUGCGCCGAGCUCGGGAUCAACCAGCACUUCACGUCGGUCGGUCACUCCCAAGCCAAUGGUCAGGUGGAGAACGCUAACCGAACCAUUCUACAAGGGUUGAAGACUAGGUUGGAGUCAGCCCAGUCGAGCUGGCUGGAUGAACUCCCUAGUGUCCUCUGGGUUUACCGCACUACGCCUAGAACGGCCAUCCACGAGACCCCCUUCUCUUUAACUUACGGAGUAGAGGCGGUGGUGCCCGCGGAAAUUGGUCUCCCCUCGCCCCGGACACAGAACUUUGUUGCAUCGACCAACGAGGAAGAGCUGCGGUACAGCUUGGACAUGCUGGAGGCUAAGCGUGAAGAAGCGGCGGUACGGAUGGCUAAGUACAAAAGCCAACUCGCCCGCUAUCAUAACGCCAGAGUAAGGACUAUGCAGUACCAGCCGGGGGACCUCGUCCUAAGGAAGAACUUGGUUAGCCGAGCUCACGGCUCCAACAAACUCGACCCAAACUGGGAUGGCCCAUACAAGGUUCUUGAGGUGAGCCGAGCUGGCUACUGCAGGCUCGCCAAGAUGGAUGGAUCUGAGGUACCCCGUACUUGGCACUUCUCCAAUCUGCGACUGUUUGUAGCGUAGGUUAGACCAGGGUGCUCAGUUGUCUGUUCUCCGAAAUCUGAAUUUUUGUUUUAUCAUUCAAUAAAAGCCCGGCUUUACAGUUUUAAUUUCACUCGCACUUGUCUGUUUUUAAAGUUCUUAAGUUUGCACCUUGCACUAGCACACUUAGCGUUCCCUCACUAAAUGUCCUAGUGGGGGGCUAAGGGUAGUAAGGGAUCAAGGUCAAAUGUUCGACCCAGGAGAUCGGCACGACUGGAAAAAACUUGAAAACUUGGAAGGGUUCUGAAAACUCCGCGCUCGGCCCAGGAGGUCGGCGGAAAGGAAUUUGAAGCCUGACGCUCGACCCCAGGAGGUCGGCACGGGUUACUGCUUCAAUGUAGGAGCUCGACCCCAGAGGUCGGCAGGUCCCAAGGACUGGACACCCGGAAGCCUGACGCUCGGCCCAGGAGGUCGGCGAAAGGGCCUUCGAAGCCUGAUGCUCGACCCCAAGAGGUCGGCACGGUUUGUAGCUUCGAGGUAGAACCUCGAUGGGUCUAUUCGGUGCUCAGCCCAGGAGGCUGGCACAUCCCCUUGCUGGGUUUAUUUGGUGCUCGACCCGAGAGACCGGCACAUGAUUUUAAUAGUUUGAUCACCACUGGGCAAUUCCACUGAGGGAUUAAAAAGGGUGACGUAUUUGGUGCUCGGCCUAGGAGGUCGGCACAUGGCGUUGCGCGCAGGCGAAAGUUGCAAGGAAAUUUCCUUUGAUUCGUAUAUGCACUCAAAGCCUAUCUAUUACAAAAUUUUCGAGCUGCUUAUCUGUCGCAAAGUGUGCCUAGCCAUGAAAAGAAGACAGCUCGGACCCCCUUCUUCCUGCUGGUGGCCUGCCUGGAGCAGGAGUUGAAGGUACACCCUAAGCAUGUUGAGAGGCGUAUGGUGAAGGCUAUUCAGGCAGGGGAGCCUUUCCGUCUCAGAUGGACCUUCAAGAGUAUUUUCAACUGGAACAUGGUCACAUCCUUAUAAGAAGACGGAAAGGGUUUUUGGAGUGGCCGCCGCCCUAGGCCACCGGCUCCUUCCCGGAAGUUCUGCCGGGAGACUCGCCUUCCUCCAAAGGAACCUCCGCCAGCUCGACUCCUACGUCGGUCCGGCCUACCAGCCCCUUCAGGGCAUGCCGCUUGCGGUACCCGUCGAAGAGCCAGUCCAGCCUUUCCUUGGCCGUGGGAUUGUAGUCUUUGAAGUCCGCCAAAUUGAGGUCAGGAAGGUGGAGGCUCUUCACCUGGUUCAGGGUCCGCGUAGAGCCGACCUGAAGGAUGGGCAGGUUAAGGAGGGUGAUGUCCUCUUCAAACUGCUCGGAAGAGAUAAACUCCCGGACAGCCUUCUUCCGCUCCCGGCUGAUGGUGCCGAAGAGCUCGAUGGCAUGGUCUCCUUCAGCUUGGCCACACCAGCCUUCUCCUGGUCGAGCUCCGACCUGGUGGAGGCGAGCUGGACCUGAGCUGUAUCCAACUCCUUCUCGGCUUUGCCCAGUUUGGCUUUAAGGGAGUCGGCAUCCUUAAGGGCCUGGGAAAGCCUCUUCUCCGUCUCCUGAUUCUUCUUCCGCAAUUUCUCCAAGUCGGAAGAUAGCUCGGAGAAGCGGGUCGCCAGGGCAGCACCAGCGGCGUUGGCCUGAGGAGGAGGGAAAACAGGUCAGCACGUUGCGAUACCCAACCGGAACACAGACGCGAAACUAACCCAUGGGCUAGAAGACUUACUUGGGCCUGGGCGGUGCAAUACGCAUCCAGGAGCUCGGAGGGGUCGGCCAGCUCCAUUCACCUCCUGUCGCGUGGGAGGACCGAGCCCACCAUCAGCUCGCGAGCCAUCUCGGAAAACUGGGUUCGGUCGUUGAUGGAGAGCUCCCAGGACGGACAAAAGCGGCGGCGGUCGUGCAUAGUGGGGGCCUGGCCCGGUUUCGGGAGAGCUAUGUGGCGGAAGUGCCACAAGCUCGGGGGGGGCAACUCCUGGACAUGCUCCUCGGCAGAGCCAACGCCCAGAUGGACGGGGCCCUCCGAGGCCAGCGCGAGUGGAGGGGGUUGAGCUGGAACCAGCGCGAGUUUCUUCCCGGGUUGGGAGGGCUCAUCCCCUCGACCCCUCCUCUGCCCGGCUGCCUUCUUCUUGUUGUUGGCAGCCUUCUUGGAGGGGGAGGAGGUGUCCUGCGUUUCCUUCUGGGGGGCUUGGCCGCCCCCCAGGGUCGAGGUCGCCCCAGGAACCUCCUUGGCAGCUUCUGGUUGGGGAGUGGCGGUGGCCGCCUCAGUGGGUGCGCCUAGCAGCUGUGAGAGCUUUCUCACUGCAAGAAACAUCGCUGGGUCAGCCAAAACAGGACGGUAAGAAGAUACACGUAUAUGCAAAUACCAUGAACUACAGGGUCGGGGUCAGAGUUACAGGCGACGAGGUCGACAGUGGAGGCCACCACCUCGCCGGGGGACCCAGACAAUGUCCCCAUCAGUCCGGCCGCAGAGAUCUGCUUGCUGGAGAACUUGGUGGCAGUGAGCUUCAUCUUAGAGCUCAGCAGCUGGAUGAGGGUUUCAGAAUCCAGGUUCUUAGGGUAGGGGUCAGUUUUGACCUCCCCGACCCUCCACACAGUGGCGUCAAAACCGGUGGAUUUCACAAAGAAAAAGUCCCCUUUCCAGUUUUUGACGGAAGAGGGGAAUUUAUAGAACAGGUCCUGGCAGCCCUUGUCCCCCCGACCUUGGCUCCCGGUCCGGCGGCAGAAGUAAUACCCCCUAGUAAGGGCUGCUUUGAGGACGAAAGCAGCUCGAAAGAGGGAGAGGGAGUAAGGGAUGGAGCAGAGUUGGCAAUAGAUCAAGAAUCCUAUGACGAUCCUGAUCGAAUUGGGGUGGACGUGGGUGAUCCUGAGCUCAAAGUAGCUCAGGAUCUCGGCCAGGGCCGGAGGGAUCGGUACACAGAGCCCCCCGAUCAGCUGCUCCUUGUAGAUAGCUACGAAACCAGGGGGAGGUCGGCUGGCUCGGUCGUCGGGCCCGGCAACCCUUGGCUCGAAGGCCGGAGGGAUAGAGUACGACCUGACCAGCUCGGCCACCGCCUCGGGUGAGAUGGUGACCUCCUCGUGGUCAGGGUAGCCGUAGCUGAAUUCAAAAGCAUCCCCCUGCGGGGGCCAAGGGACCCCGCGGGGGAGUCCCUAUCCUCCCCAACUCCUUCCUGGGCUCCGCCAGGGGAGUCAUGGGGGGACCUGGGGGAGGGGGUGGAGCCGGCCCGCCGCUCUAGUUGGGCGUCGAGCUCGGCCGCCUCCUCCAGCUCCCGGGCUGAGGGGGAGUGGGCAGAAGGAGAACGGUUGGAAGGAGAGUUCAUGAUGUCUAUGGGAUCCAGCAGACCCGGGUUAGAGGCAGAAGAAGAAGAGGGAGGAGGAGGAGAAGGUGAAGACGAGGAUGAAGAAGAAAUGAAGAUCCUGGUGGCUCUACGGCGGACCGGACUUUGGGACGUGGUGGAGGUGACGUCGGAAUGACCCGACAUAAAAAGCAGGAGGUGACGGAAGGCAGAAGGGACACUGUAAAAGGAAAAGGAAUCGCAACAGGGACUUACUGAUGAUCGAGGUAGAAGAAGGAUGGAGGACUCGCCGGAAUCUGGGUACGGGAUGCCGGAAGUUGCUGGGAAAUAGAAGUUGCUGGGAAAUGGAAAUGCGAAUGCACAAGGAAAAGGGGAAUGCAAAAUGCACAAGAGGAAGGAGAAGUAGCAAACGGAACAGAUGGAAAUCUGGUGACCCCUAUUUAUAGGGGGAGGAGUGGAGGGAAAACGGCUGCGUGGAUUUGAACCGUCCUCCAUGUGAACGCAUUUAAUGCUGGUACGAAAACCGAAGAGGCGUGACGACUGAAAGGACGCGGGCGCAGCGUCCCUGUGACAGUACUGUACCAGAGGUGACCUUGGCAGGGUAGUGCACGGCGCUGGCCUCCCACGUGGCAGAGGUAGAUUAGAUCUGCCUGACAGCCCUACCUAAUCUAGGGGGCUAGUGCAGAGGCCCCGUCCUGGGCCUGGACACGUGGCAGCCCAGGCUUGGCUGAGCUGGGCCUCGGCCCCAGGCCCCUGGCGGUCGUCCUGGGCCGCGCUGCUAGGGCACCUAAAGGGAGCAAGGAUCCAUCCCGAAGAGGUCGGGGACGAUUCCCCUGAAUGCGGGAUAGGGGGCUAUUCUGGGCAGGUCCCGGAACGUGCGGAGGUCGGACUCCCCUAGCAGGUAUAAAAGGUAACACACGUCGACUGUACAAGGUACGCUCAUUAUUGGCAAAAUUACGCUCGGUUGUCUUUACUUCCCGUGAACUCUACUCACCGGAAAACUAACUCGACCGUCGGAGUGCCCUCGAGGACAACCCUCGGGCCCCCUUGGCUAGCUCAUUCUUGUUUGUUUUGCUGGCUUAGGACCAGUUCUUCCAUCAGCACCCCGAGCUAGUCGAAUCAGCUCGGUCCGGGGAAGCUCAGCGCUUCUUCAUAUACAGCAAUCAAAAUUCUCUCGUAAUCAAGGAUGACAAAAGAAUUAUUAAAUUAAACUCCUACAUAUAAGGUUCCAAGGUGAACAACAUUUUUUCUUCUAAACCUUUGCAUACUGCCCAAAAACUUCAGAUUACAAGCAAAUGUUUACACAGUCUCAACAAUUGCGUUGGGAGGCAAAUAGGGAAGAUUAUAUGGUUCUCUAAAAGUAUUUGGACCCAUAAAAGUACAUCAUGUGGACAUGGCUCUGAGUUUCUUCAGCUCUGGCACCACUGACCUAGAUGUUACGCAAAUGAAUUACUGUAAAAAUAAAAAUAGCCAAUUUGGCAAUACUACAUAGAUGCAUCAUAGAACCAAAAAGUUAAUGAAGACCGUACGUCAGAUAAAGACAGAAGAUAAGGAGAAUGAUAAUGAUUUUGGAGCUCAGUUUAAUUCACAUUGAUAUAUGAACACCCCAACCCAUUCAAUUUGAUCCUCAAAGUGCUCAAUACUAGAGCUAGAAGGAGUGCAAGACACGCUGAUAAGAGUGAGAAUGGCUAGGGACCUUCAAGAUUAUGUAUAAACUCUUCAAAAGGGGCAUAGCAGUUGGGCAUUCUGUACCUUUUGGAUAUACAUUUGUAGGGGCAAACUGAUUUGGUAACAUCCCCUAUAGCAAAUCAUACCCAAAAUGAAGUUAGAUCUAUCAUGUCCAAUGAUGAAGCAAAUAAUUGAGAAAUGGACUUCUAAGAAUAUUAAAGCUCAUUGCAUUACAUCACCUCAUACAUAGAUAAAAAAAUGCACGACUAGGAAGGCGCUCAAGGGAACAAGGUUUGUAGAUAUUUUCGUCAGAUCCUUCAACAUCUUUGUAUGUUCCAAUAGUGCAUUCCUAGAAUCAUUGCAUUGCCAAAUGACAGUAAAUUCCUCUAAUAAAAAAAGAUUGUAAAUUUAGGAUCAAUACCGAGGACACAGCACGAGUGCCAAUUUUAUUCAGGAGGGUUGCGGGAAGUGCCAUCACACUUGCGCCGCCAGUGGUUGUAGCGUGAAUCAUAACAGCGCUGGAGAGUGAGGCCCAUCUAAAUCAAAGCUGGCGCCCUCGUGAGUUUCAAAAGAGUUGUAGGACCUGAACAAACAUUAAAGGGAGAAAGGAGAAAUCAAAGCAAAGAACUGCAAAUUCACCUGAAAUUAGUUGGACUUUCUAAGUCAUGGAAUCUCUAAAUGAGCAAAAGGAAUCUCUUUGAGUGAUGGGGCUUUGAAGGUGAAAAGCUGAAUUCCGGAUGAUUGGACUGAACCGAAGGGAUUCACCUAUCAAAUCUGCAUAAAGAGCACAGGGCUUUGUCCCCCGGUCAAGUGGUACGCAAUUGCAAACUAAAAGCAAGGGCCUUAGUAUUUCUAAUAUGUGUGUGAGUUAGAGUAUGUAUGUACCUUUCCUACGGAUGGAAGGGUAAUUAUAAUAGACAAUAUGGUGGGAAGAAUGAUGAGUUUCAAUUCCCAUAGGACUUAGGCUGACAGUGUCAGACUUAGGCCUGAUAGAAAGGACAUAGCAGUGGUCAUUGUUAGUAAAGCAGUAAUAACAACAGAAAACGGCUUUGACGUGAAAAUUCACUUUUCUUAAGGAAAUUUGCUCUCACUAUUCUACUACUGGGUUUGAGCAAUUACAUCUAAGAAUAACAAAGCCAACUAGAAUUUCCACACAGCAGUAUGUAGAAAUUCUCUCAAAAAACAGUUUAGAGAAUAUUGUUUUGAACGAAAUAGAAGAAUAGGAAAAUCAGAAGUAAAAAAAAAAAAAAAGAGUUUUUUGUUAUCUGUACACUCUUAUUUAUUACGUUCAGGUACCCCAAAAGAAAUGUCAUGUCUUUUGGAAACGUAUUUCUUCAUGAAUAUGUACCUUUUAAAAAUGAAUAGAACUUAACAGUUGUAUGCGCUGUAUUAUCAGAUAUAACCCCUAAAAGGAAACCGUUUAGUUAAGAAGAAAUAUUAAAACGAAAUUAUUUAAAAUUAAUUUUGGUUCUUAAGAUCCAAGUGCCCAAGUGCCAAGUGCCAAUCUUUUGACCAUUAAAUUUAUAUUUUAAUUUAAUAGUCAACAUGACAAAUGCAUGUGCAAUUUUGAAGUUUCCCUCCAAAAUUUCCUACCAUCCAAAUUGAUUUGAAUACGCGUGCCCUUGAUUAUAAACCUCUUCCAUACUUCACAUACUUUCAAUGUGGAAUUUAUCACUAACUAUUUCCAACAGUCUUGUCACUGUCAUGUCAUUCCGUCGUGUACAAGUCAACCUUUCCUGUGGUACGUUAGAUGUUAGAUAGGAAGUCAAGCUGAGGUGAAGCCACCUCGGAGAGACUAAGGCCGGCCCUAGGGGGUGAGACAAUGAGCCGAGGUGGCAAGGGACUCGCGGAGGUCACCUCACCCAGUCGUAAAAUCGAGGAGGGACGAGGUGAACGCCCUCAAUAAGCCCCCCAGCCUUGGGGAGGGGAAAGCUAGCAUGCCUCCCUACUCCAGGCUAAGUUGCAAAGCAAUGACAAGACAUGUGGCUCACAUUAGGAUGAUGGUAAGCCAAGUGUCGAUGGGGGAAAUAAAUGCUUGGACAUUGAGGGAUGCAUUGAACGGAUGUCAGACGAACAGUCACUCAUUAAUGAGGAAAGAGGGGGCACGUCUUUUGAAAUUCAAAACGACUGCCCGUUUGCCUUUCCCCUCCUAUAAAUAGAGGGCUUUUCACCUUUUACUUUCACUGUGAGAGAAAGUUACAUCAACUCAAUCGACGCAAUCAAUUGAGAUUAUUUUUUGCUAGCGCGAAGUAGCUGACCUCUACUUUCUUUAGAAAAUAGUAAGUCCAUUUUCUUUUUCAAGUAUGGCUAGAAUAGCUCAUACGCAUAAAAAGACAGUGAGGCCAAACUUCGAAGAAGCGGAGAGCUCCAACCCUUCCGAGGAGGUUGAAGAUACCUUUGCCAACCUAGGAGGAGAAAGAGCUGAGAUUUCUCCGGAAGCCGAGGAGACGGAGUCCGAGGUCUUAUAUAACGACGACCUCGGAUCUGAGAUAUCCCGAGAUGAGGGGGUAUUGGAGCCAGCGGCUCCACUAGACCUCACCAGAAUAGAUUUCGGCCAACUCCCUCUUUUCAGGAGCACAGUUGGGAUAGCCGAGGUGGAAGCCCUCGUACGAAAGUAUCCUUUUCGGUGAAGAUUUUGUGGAAGAUUUUGUUGAAAGUCACAAAAAAUGACUGAUCAUUAUAAAUAGCAUUUCUAGUUGUAUGAAAGAUUAAUCUCUAUCCUAGUAUUCGGGACUACAUAAAAAUAUUAAAAAAUUCGUCAAUAAAAUAUUUCUUCUUGUUAGUGCCUCAUUUACACAGAAAACAUAUCGUAUCAAUAAAAACUCAUAACUAUUGCUACUAAUUUAGCGUCAUUAUUCUAAACAACCACGUUGAUCAAGGAGUGCAUUUGCUAAAGAAACUUAUUUAGCAAUUGUUUGUACCUGAUAUUCCAUAAACGUCACUGUUAUUAAAUUCAUCUCAAUGCUUAUUGUUGUAGAACAUUAUUUUUAUAUUUUCUUAUUUUAGUAGAACUUAGUACUUUAAAAUAUGAACCUUAUCAUCGCUAUAACAAAAAUUGAUUGAUUCUCCAAUUUACAUAACAAAUUAUACGAGUUCAUCAAUAAAACCACCAAGAAUAAACAAGAUGACCAUUCUACAUUAUAAAAACAUUUCAAGGGAAUAUCCCAUAUUUUCAACUAGAGGGAUCUAAAUCUAGAUCUUAUAACUUGGCAACCGACUGUGCAAUCAAGUUCCUUUAUCUCUAGCAAAUCAAAAUUUUCCAUUUAAAAUACAUCAAAUUGAUUCAUCGCAUUUUUUUACAUCUAAGUUUGCAGUUUUUUCCAAUUUCACUCUUGGCCAUGGAAAAACGAGCAAGAAUACAUUAAAUUGCUCGUUUUCGCCAUUUGAUUGAAUAGAUUAGAUCGUUAACAAAUUGGUUAUAAAUUUCAAAUUUCUUAUUUUGGCCAUUUGAAUAAAUAUACUAGGAAAAUGACAGAUUGAUUAUAAAUUUUGACUAAUCUAAAACCAAAUGGACUAAAAAGAAUAAGGAACACCCUCAUAUUUGAGAUAUUUUCCAGAUGAGUUAGGAACACACCAAAAAAAAAGAAAAAAACUUACAAUCCAAUGCAUCAUUGUAAAGAACUUCUAAAUAAGUAUUGCAAUCUGGUAUCCCCAGUGAAAAUUGAGUGUUGUAUUUGUGUACUUUAGCAAUUAAGCUAUCACUACUAAGAUUCAUCUGAAAAUAUCUAUCCCAAAAAAUGACAUAAACUACAACGAAAGAAAGAAAUUUUGUCGAGGAAACUAAGUGGUCAAUGGCUUUUCAGCAGCAAUGAAACAAGGAAAAUCCGAGUAAGCAUCAACCUUGAGUCAAGAAGAUCUUCAGGAGCUGAUAUACCAAUGCAUGUUUAGCAUCCUUCUCUAACUGUGCCACAGCAGGCUUACAUAGUAGUCCCACUAGCAAGAACACGCAUAAAAGAAUCAUUAUCCAUAUAGCAAGAGUGAAAUAUUAUCAAAAACAUAAUAACACAAGCAACUUCCAGGUGCACCAGCACCAGUACCAGUCUUUGAAAACAAGAAGUCACAAAGUAAAUUAUGUAAUACAUACAGCUUUUCACCUUCUACAAGGUCGACAUAUAGCUAUAUUCCAAGAAGACAUACCAUCUCACGAGUUCGUCUAUCUAUCAGCUAUUCAAAUAAAUAUGGAAGUAGAAGUACAACUACUAUAAUCCAAGACAACAAGAACAAAAUCUAACUUGAUUGAUGAGUUGUAGGUUUCUUCGCAUUCCAAGGUACAAAUGACUCCACAACGUUGUGACACAUCACACAAAUAAGUUCCAAUAUACCAUACUGAUAAUGAAGUACAAUAGCAUAUAUGUCACACUUUAGCUCAAAAUUAUAGCAAGGAAAAAUUUAAUGUAACAUUUGGAAAUGAAUAAUCAGAUUCAACCAAGCCUUGAGGCUCCUCAUAACCAUUUUAUAUGCAAUUCAAAGAGACAGACAAGCGAUACCUGAAACAUGCCAGGUGCCUUCAGAAAAUCAACUGUAGCACGGACUGCUUCGUCCUUUGCUUCAUUCAUAGCAUAUGCAUCUUCAUCAGAAAAUGUUGCGAGGUAUCUAGUGAGAAACUUAAAACACUCUUUUGCGGAGCUGGAAAUCCACAAAUGGACAAAUAAGACAAAAAGUAACAACAUACUUUGGACAAGAGAUGUCGUAGCAAUUAGAUUAAGUACAAAAGAUUAAUUGACAACCUAAAACAUCUUGAUCUUCUACAGAGAAAUACAUAGAAAAACUCAUCCAUUACUAAGGAUAAUUGAAAAAGAAAAACGAAACAAAAAGACAUAUGCACCAUGUCACGUGAACACAUGAAACAAGCUUACACAGCAGUCAUGAGAGUAAUAAAGCAGAAGGGUCUUACAAUUAAAGCAAGAGCGACUUGUUAGAGCUCACGAUACCUCAAAACAAAAGUGCCAAAGAUGCUUAACAGACACGUGUCUGGCAAGGAAAGGUUCGCUCAAGUGACCAUAAAAGGCAAACAAUAGAAUAGAAAAAAGAACAGAAAUUACAUUGCUAGGUAUAAACUUAUAACACUAUCUAUGACUAAACGCAUAAUACAUCUGAAAACAUGCAAUUCCUUCACAUCAGCUUUAAGCAAGAUAGAGUAUAAGAGGAAGGAAAUCAAAAAAGGGCAAAGAAAGAUGAUAUUGGACUUUGUUGGCUAAUUUACUGCUUGAAGGUUGGAAUUGGCCCUGUUUGAAGAGUAGAAUCGUCAAAUUCUCCUCUUCCAACUUCUCAUCCAAUUCCAGCGCCUUUGUAGAUAAACUCAGAUUCUUUGCUCUUUGGACUAGAAUACUUGUGUGAGCCCUAAUGCAACGCAUGAGCAUGCCCAGACAUUGGUUAAUUUACAACUUUAGCAAAUAUGUAAUCAAGCAAUUGGCUACUGAUAUGGAGAUAAAAUUCUUAAUUAAACAACUUUUAUUACAUAAAUAAACUUUUUAAAGCUAUUUUAAUUCAAUACACCGAAUUAAUAGGCCAUAUCAACGUAAGAAAAUACUCUAUUGAACUAAAUACACCAAAUUCAUACUAGCAUCAUUGUCUUGCAGGGCAUAAAAGAAGUAUUAGGCUGCAAAUUCCUGAGCCACAAAAUUUUGAUCAGAUUUCCACAGGGCCAAAGAGUUUCACUCUUAGCAACAAAGUCAAACCUUCAUUCCUUUGUAUAAUGCUCGCGAUCUGCAGGAUCAUAUACAAGAAUGGUCAUACUCAGACUAACCAUAAUCCUGACAAUGGUGAACUUUAUUACUCCAACGCCAUUGUUUCCGGGACCAGGAACAAGAUUAAGCAAGCAUGUGCUAUGCACUGAUCCUUCCCACCGUUCAUAUGCUGCAACGGAGUUGAUCUCGUCUAUAAAUCUGUUCAAAGCACCUUCAUACCUGCCGUUAAGCACCAUUAACAAAUGAGUAACCUUGAAAAUUUUGCAAAUGAAGUAAAAUUUUGUUUAGAAAAACUCUCAUAUUCUCGCUGUAUCAGACCAGAAAGUUGAAGCUAAGUGAGCCUCAACCAAGUACAGUUCAUUGGAAAAGAAGUCGAAAUUCUGACUCAGUAAAAUGGAUCAAAGAUUAACUUAUGUAUCUUUGUGGAAUAAAAAUUAAUGAAUAAGAAGAAAGAGUAAUAACUUUCAGGUGUAAAACUCAAAAGAUACUAAAUAAUCAUAAACUUAAGCACAGUGUUUUAAAAUGGCAAGGAAAAAUAUGUACAGCAUUCAAAAUUGUCUCGUAAUCAAAGAUGACAAAAGAACUAAUAAAUUAAACUCCUACAUAAAAGGUUCCAAGGUGAACAAGUUUUUUUCUUCUAAACCCUGGCCUACUGCCCAAAAACUUCAAAUUACAUGUGAAUGUUUACACAAUCUCAACAAUUGCGUUGGGAGGCAAAUAGGGAAGAUUAUACGGUUAUCUAAAAGUAUUGGGACCAUAAAAAUACAUCAUGUGGACAUGGCUCUGAGUUUCUUCGGCUCUGGCACCACAGACCUAGAUGUUAUGCAAAUAAAUUACUGUAAAAAUAAAAAUUGCCAAUUUGGCAAUACUACAUAGAUGCAUCCUAGAACCGAAAAGUUAAUGAAGACCAUACGUCAGAUAAAGUGAGAAGAUAAGGAGAAUGAUGAUGAUUUUGGAGCUCAGUUGAAUUCACAUUGAUAUGUGAACAUCCCAACCCAAUCAAUUUGAUCCUCAAAGUGCUCAAUACUAGAGCUAGAAGGAGUGCAAAACAUGCUGAUAAGAGUGAGAAUGGCCAGGGACCUUCAAGUGUAUGUAUCAACUCGUCAAAAGAGGUAUAGCAGUUGGGCAUUCUGUACCUUUUGGAUAUACAUUUGUAGGGACAAACUGAUUUGGUAACAUCCCCUGUAGCAAAUCAUACCCAAAAUAAAGUUAGAUCUAUCAUGUCCAAUAAUGAAGCAGAUAAUUGAGAAAUGGACUUCUAAGAAAAUUAAAGCUCGUUGCAUUACAUCACCUCAUACAUAGAUAAAAAAUGCAUGACUAGGAAGGCAGUCAAGGGAACAAGGUUUGCAGAGAUUUUCAUCAGAUCCUUCAACAUCUUUGUAUGUACCAAUAGCACAUUCCUAAGAAUCAUUGCAUCACCAAAUGAAAGUAAAUUCCUCUAAAUUAAAAUUGCAUUUUCAUACUCUCAGCAGCAAGUAGUUAAACGUGGAUCAAAUAGAAUCAAAAACAAAAAAUUUAGAUUGAUACCAGAAGAAAACUACAUAUAGUAUGGCAUCCAAAUCUGAAGAGGAACUAUUUAUGAGAUGAUGGAUUCAUUCCAGUCAACCUACUCUUUUAAUAAUAAAAAAUUUAUCAGUAAUUUAAACCCUAGAUGAAAUUGAAAAAUGGAAACCCAUUAAAAAUAAUAAAAAAGCCACAAAAUGACGGCGGAAAAAGGAAAACAAAGAAGACUGUAACUUUAGGAUCAAUACCGAUGAUAAUCAUGGAGACAGCAAGAGUGUCGAUGUGCCAUCACACUUGCACUGCCUAUGGUUGUAGCGUGAAUCAUAACAGCGCCCGGAGAAAAUCAAAGCCCAUCGAAAUCAAAGCUGCUGCCCUAGUGAAUUUCAAAAGAGCCGUCGGAACCCUGAACAAACAUGAAAUUGUGAUGGAGCUAAAAGGUUAGAUUGGAACUGAAGAAAUGAACUAAGAAGCAGAAAUGAAGAAGUCGUGAUGUCAGAAGCUGAAAGCGUGAAGUUUUGCAUAAGUGAGUCAUCGAAGGCGUGCCCACAAACCACGCCUUUGCUGGGUUUCAUCUGCUUCGAACAGAAACUGAGGACCAUUGCCACUUGUAGCUAUGAAAGGACACGUGUUUAGAGUUCAUUGGUUUAGUUGAAAGCUUGUUAGCACAGAUAGUGAUAUAAGCAGGCAUGUCUGCGGUAUAGAGUAGCUUUUGUCAUUAUUUUCCAGCUUUGAUUGUAAGAGAUUUGGGCCACCAAUCUCAAUCCCUCCUCCCAAGUUUUCCUUCAAUUUCUUUCCCCUUCCUCACUGAAUUCGUAUUCUCUGUUCUUGUAACCUAAUAUUGAAGUUCAUUAAUGAAAGUUGAGUCCAUCUUUUAAUCUCCAAAUUCACUGUUCCAUUGAUUGUUUGAUGCGAUUAACCCAUAUUUUGAGUUUGCAACAUUCUCAUAUUGCUGCGACUCUGGUUCUGUACCAUAACAGAAAGGGAGAAAAGAGAAAUCAAGGUAAAGUACUAAGAAUUCAACUGAAAUUUGCUGAAUCCCUAUAUGGGCAAAAGGAAUCCCUUUGAGCGAUGGGGCUUUGAAGGCGAAUUGAAAAUUAAGCAAGAUCAUCAAUUUAGGUGAGCAGUGUUGAGGAGAUGGCCGCAGGCUGCAGCAGCCGUGGAGGAUUCUCUUUUGUUUUUUCUUUGGGAUAAUUUGAGAAACGGGAAAAAUGCACUUUUCAUCCUCAAAGAUUGGGUUCUUGACCAAUAUCACCUCAAAGUUUCACCCAAAACACAUUUCAUCCUCAAAGAUCUGCAAUUUUGGUCAAUCAAGGACAAUUGACGGAAAAUUAAGGACAACUAUUUAAUUUGAACGGAAAUUUGCAUGUGAGAAGCACGGUCUGUCAAAUCCAACUCUAUACUCAACCAAAAACAGGUCAAAUAGAAUGGAGCCACUUUCAUAAUUACUUGCGUGUUGGUCUUAGAUCGUGGUUAAAAAUUUCCCAAAGUUUGACUUCUUGUUUCAUUGGCUCAGAGACUUAUAAAAGAUGAGGCCAGAAUUGACUUGACUAUUUCCACAAAACUUGAACAGUAUCUAUACUUGUCUGUUUGGAAGAUAAUCAAGCAGCUACUAUAUCUUUUCCACUCCAUAUCCCCACUCGACAAGAAUCAUCUCCUUAUUCUCAAACAAAUCCCAUAAGAAAGUGUGGAAAUCAAAUAUGAACUCAGUCACCAAUAAGGAUAGGCAGCUGAUGGAAGAUCAAGCUUCGAGACAGAAAAGGAAGAUAAGGAGCUACGUCUUUUUCAUCAUCUUAUUCACGGUUAUCAUCGGUUCAAUCAUCACAGUUUCCAUAGCUCUCAUACAAGAAAAAGAGUCUGAGUUACUCUCCGCUUCAACUCCAGAUAGAGCAAUUCGUGCCAUCUGCAAUCUGACUCCAAAACCAACCUCAUGUUUUGACUCUAUAUGGUGCCUCCGCAUGAAUUUCUCCACCGAUUUAGGCGAGAUCAAGACCACCCCAUCAAGAAUUUUCACCCUCUCUCUCCGUGCUGCUAUCAAUCAACUAGAGGACUUGAUUUCAGCUAAUGAAAAGGCAAUCUCUGAGGUCAAAGAUUCAAGAACUUUGACAGCUUUGAAAGACUGCAAUGUCUUGUUCAAGGAUUCUUUAAGGCUUGUAAACGCGUCUGUGACAGCAAUGGGAGUCAAAUCUGAUGACAAAAUCUUUAAGGUCGCGAAAUCUGUUGACGACAUGAAUGAAUGGAUGUCAAACUCUGCUGCAACUAUAGACAAAUGUUUCCUUCUUCCUCCCAAUCACUCUGCUAAUAAGGCCUCCAAUAAUGAGCCUCCACUUUCUGCUGCUGACUUGCAUCGUCAAGAUAGUGCUGCGUCAUCCUUUUCCAACAAUAGCGUGAAGAGGGAGAGAGAGCUCGGUAGCAGCGAAGAGGUGGAGAUCGAGACAGUUUCCUCAAGAGUAAGUGACGAAGAUGAUGAUGGUUCUAAUGGAAGGAAGAAGCUUUGCCUCACAAAAGCUCAGUCUGCUCUUUUGGAAGAGAGCUUCAAGCAGCAUAGCACUCUCAAUCCGAUAACAUCUCUUUCUCUCUCUUUCUCUCUCUGUGGCUAGCUAGUUGAUUUAUUUUCACACGUAAUAGUAUAACAUUCCUUGCUCUUUUUUUUUUAACAUUUGAACAAUCAUUUCACAGGGCAAAUUAAAUCGUGUGUAUAUACAUACAUAUAUGCUGAUUUUGCAGAAGCAAAAGCAAGAUUUGGCGAGGGAACUGAAUUUAAGGCCUCGACAAGUUGAGGUGUGGUUUCAGAACAGAAGGGCCAGGUACUUGCUUCUUCAUCCCUCAUUCCCGAAGAUUAACAAUGUUGAGGAAAAACAGAAUCGAUCGUGCGAGCCAGUUUUUUGAGAUAUGCAUAAAUUUUGUCUAUUUGAAAUAAUGGAGGGGGGCUUUUUUCUUGGCUAUACGCAGGACGAAGCUUAAGCAAACGGAAGUAGACUGCGGGUUCUUGAAGAAAUGCUACGAGACGCUGACGGACGAGAACAGGAGGCUGGAGAAGGAGCUACAAGAACUGAAAGCGCUAAAACUAGCGCAGCCCUUGUACAUGCAUGCAAUUGCCAAUGGCUAUACUGACCAUGUGCCCUUCUUGCGAAAGGGUCGGCAGAGUUGGUGAAAACUCUUCCAGUAAGAGCCCAUUUUCUAUGGCCCCAAAACCACACUUCUUUAAUUCCUUGACCAAUCCAUCUGCAGCUUGUUAGCUAGCUUUUAAUGUAGCAAAAGAGAUAAUAGCGUGAGCAUUAGGCAUGAGGGUACUGAAAGGGUCGUGGGUCAUUAGGCGUGAGGCGUGAGGCAUGAACGACAGGGGUGAGAUAGGUGCGGAGAAAGAAAAGAACGGAAAAAUCCCUAAAACUCAUUUCCCCUUCCCUCUCUCUCACUCUCUGAGAGAGAAAGAGCAAAGAGAGGAAGGAAGGAAGGAUAGUGCGGUGUGUGUGGAUCAUAACGAAGGAGAGGGAAGAAGGAAAAGAAUGUUGGUUUUUGUCCGUUGCAAAUUAUUGUUCCAUUAAAAAAAUAGCUCCAUUCAGUUUUACCCAUUUUUGUUGGGUUUAAAGUUGGUUCUAACGGCUCACAUGCAAAUUUCCGUCAAUUGUCCUUAAUUUGACAAAAUUACGGAUCUUUGAGGAUGAAAUGUGUUUUGAGUGAAACUUUGAGGUGAAAUUGGUCAAGAACCCAAACUUUGAGGAUGAAAAGUGCAUUUUUCCCUUUGAGAAACCUCCCUUGAGCUUUCUAAUAAUUUCACUAACCUUCCUUGAAAUUUGUAAAAUUAUACAAACCUCCCCUGAGGUUAAGGUUUUGAUGAGAAAAUUAGUCCAAUUAAAAAAAGGAACAUUAAAAAAGUACUUUAAGGAGAGAGAUGAAAUUUUUGUUCCAUAAAUUAAAAGUUAGAAAUAAUCAAUAUACAUAUUUCACCGCUCAAAAAAUUCACAUUUAAUAAAUUAGAAAACACAAAUAAGCAACAAAACUACUCUAAUGAUCACAAACGAAAGAAGGUCGUUUUGAAUCUUAUGAUUAUUAGUGUAGUUUUGUUGCUUAUUUGUAUUGUCUAAUUUAUUAAAUGUGAACUUUUAAGUGGUGAAAUGUAUGUAUUAAUUGUUUCUAACUUUUAAUUAUUAUUUUUUUUUACUAAUACAACUUAUAUACAUGCAUAAGGGGUAUUUAUAAAAUAAAAGUUUCAUCUCUCUCCUUCAAGUACCUUUUUAAUAUUACUAUUUCUAAUUGAACUAAUUUUGUUAACAAAACCUUAACCUCAGGGGAGGUUUGUGUAAUUUUGAAAACUUCAGGAGAGUCUAGUGACAUUGUUAGAAACCUCGGGGAAAUUUUUGAAAUUAUCCAUUUUUCUUUUUGAAUAAGAGGAGAUGGUUUAAGAUGGUAUCUGACACUUUUUUUUUUGGUAGUAAAAUUAGUGAAAGAAAUGGUAAUUCCUUAGGAAAAAAAAAAGAAUUGGUAACUUUCAUUUUUUUUGGUAGUAAAAUUACCAUUUUUGCAAUCAAGAGGUAAUUUCGUUAGAUAUUUAGGCACCAUUUGGAGUUGCAUUACUUUUGGUAAAAGAGUACUUUUAGGUGAUAAAAGUACUUUUAAAGUGUUUUUUUUUCUAGCUAAAUUUACCAAUUUUAUAUUCAAACUAGUUUUGUACCCAUUCGUUGAACGGGAAUCGUCGAAAAAAAUAAACUAUUUAGUCAAUUUUAUAAAAAUGUCAAUAUAAAAUACAAAUUUAAUGUAUAAUCUAUUAUAACUUGUCUUAAGUAUAUUACUAUGUGCGCAUUGUAAUAUAAAAUAUUCUUAUAAUAUAAAUUUGAACAUCUAAUUCAGUGAAUAAUAAUUCAAAAAUGGAAAAAAUAACAUUCAAAAACUUGAAAAUAAAUAAAAAGUGCAGUAAAUAGUAUUAAAUAAUAUUAUACUCUUCAAAAACUUGUUUUGUUUUUCUUCUGUUUGAAAAUUCUCCUCGAUUUGUCCGUGCAACUCGGCAUUUAUUGAUUUUCCAUUAUCACUGCAUGAUAGCAAAUCAGGAUUUAAUUAGCCACACUAUUUAUGGUAAUUGAUGUAUUAAAGUGGGUAAUAAUUUUAUAGUAAAUUGCAUUUGUAGACUUAGUUGACUAUAUAUUAUGCCCAUGAGAAUCUUAUUGCGUUGACCCUUGAACAUCAACAUACAUAAAUUUCGCAAAAGGAACCAAAAUAAAUUUUUCCCGUUGAGUUCAUGAUCACUCAAGAGGCAUAGGCCAAAUGCUUAUAAUAUGAAUAUUUAACAGUAGUGUCAGGCAUAACAAAAAAAAAUUCAACUAAAGUAACUAACAGUAAUAAUAGUUAAAGACACAAAUUUCGUGAAGAAAUAUCUUAGUCAAUUGAUUAUUAAAAAUUUAAGAACAACAUGGGACGUAAUCAACAAUAGCAUUUACUUCCAUAAAAUUCUUACAUCUGAAGAUGAACAUAUUUUUUUAAAAAAGAAAUCUUUUGGCUCGCUGAAAACAAUUUCAUUACAAAAAUUCUAGACAACAAAACCCAUGAAAAUUUAUAUAUAUGAGGUGAAAAUUUGAUUAAAAAAUAUUAAGAAUUGUUAUAGGAAAUAAAACCACAAUCGUCCAAAUAACUAUUUUUUUGAAGAAAAGAUGAUUUAUUAAUUGAAAUUAGUUACUUUUCUACUUCUUGUAGUGAUAACAAUUCUUAUCGGACUAAGAAUUGAUAUAUCUUAGUAUGAUUGAUAUAUCUUAUCGGACUAACAAUUCUUAUCCGACUAAGAAUUGAUAUAUCUUAUCAAACUAAUCAUAUAAUAUAGGAAAUAAGAAUUGAUAUAAAUCCAAACAAAAAAAGAGCAAGCCACGUAGAAAACUACUUGCCGUCUCGUUAAGCCACGUAAGAAAAAGAAAACAUGAAUCGAUAAGAAUGAGAAUACGACUUUAUUAUAUGUAUAUAUAUGAUUUGCAAGUUUACCUUCUUAUCUUACUUUCCAAGUUUUUGAGACUUGAAAACUUGAAUGACCACCAAAUUUUCUAGUGUUUUAUUAUUAAAAUAAUAUUCACAAAUAAUUUGGCUCUUCUCUAAUAAAUUAUCUUUCCAUUUCCUAUAAUGCACAUAUGAAUGAAUCACAUGUGUCUUUAUUUAUUAAAAGGGGACAAGAUCAUUUCAAGUUUGACUAAUUUUAAGAUUUGUUAAUAAAUAAAAACACAUGUUAUGCAUCUAGAUGUGUAUUAUGAAAAAUGAAGAUAGAAUUUAGUGGAGAUGAGCCAAAUCCUUAUUCUUUAUAGUGAUCAAACUAGGAAAAUGCACACGCAUUGCACGUGUAUAUAUAGCGAGUAAUUUAUCAUAAAUUGCUUUUCCAAUUAGGUAAAUCAAUUAAUGAUUGAUUUAAUUUCUUCUCUUUUCUUUACUUAUCUCCUAUCUUAGUCGAUCUUGGAUUUGUUGAUGUCCUUUUUUAGGUCUAUUUAUAGUAUAGUUUAGGAGUAGAUAAAAUGAGUUAUUUUUAAAGCAAUAAAAAUCCACUGCAUUUGAUGAGAAUGUGGUAAGGUGAUGAACUAAUAAACAGUUCACUAUCCACACGAGAAAGAAACAGUCAGAACUUCUUCUUUUUUUUUCUUUUUUUUUUUUUUUUUUUGUAAAUGAUUCGAACUAUUACACGGCAGAUGGACUUCUUUCCACCUUAUUUGUUUCCACUUCUUAUUCUUCCUUCUUUCAUUUAGUUGAUAUUGACAAUUACGUGCGAGAUGGGACUUCUUAUUUUUGUCUUUCUUUCAUUUAGUUGAUAUUGACAAUUACUUAACAAUGCAUGUUCAAAAUACUCAAAAAAUCUAAUAAAGUUGAAGGUACCAUGCACUCCCUCCGUCCCACUUUGAUAGUCUUGUUUUCCUUUUUCGUCUGUUUCAAAUUGUAGUCCAUUAUAGCACACAAUGGGCUUGUUUAGAUAUGGGAUAAGAAAAAUUUUAGUACCAUUAUAAAUAUGUUUUUAAUCACAUUUUUAUCUUUUAAACUACCUUUUUUCUUUCACAUAUUACAUCACAAAAAGUAUUAUAAUAUUAAAAUAUAUGACAAUAUACAGGAUAGAGAUUUGUAAUAAUAGAUAUUUUAUUUGAAUUAAUAAAUAUUUUGCUUUGACUUUAUAGAUAUACAUCCCCUACUUUUAAACUGUACAGACUUUGAGAUUUGCUUCUAGUUUGCAACGACAAAGGAUAAUUUUGUUUAUUUUUCAUUCUUGUGACACGUAAUGUGAAGAACAUCUCAUGCAAAAUUGUUUUAUUCUAUUCUUGUAUGAUUAGGUACGUUGACAAAGUUAUUUUAUUCAUGCAUGUAAGUCUAUUCUUUGUUGCGAAUAUUUUCUCACCAAUUUUUGUGGCUUCACUAGUCUAUUUCUUAGAUUUUCCUCAACCACUUGAUCAGCAAACUCUUUUGGACUUACUAAAUAUUUAAUACCACAAAUGAUCAUCCAUUUCAAGAAAUGAAGCACUAUCAUCCAGGUAUGGUGAUAUGUUUCUUUUCGUCAUUCUUUCUCGCUUGACUUUCCUGAGAGUAGAAAUUCGUGUUUUCUAUUUUUCCUAGUAGUUUUAGUUUCAAAUUUUUGCUUCAAAGAAAAAAUUAUGAGUAACAAUUCAGAACAUACUCCAAUAAUCAAAAGAUCUAACUAAGUGAACUAAAAAGCAGCAAAUUGUAAUGACUAAAUUACCCAAAAAAUAGAUAAACAAAUUAAAAAAGACUGGUGUUAGUAAAGAGGAGAGAGAAAGACCAAAUCAGAAGUCCAUUCUUUCACUAUUUCAACCAGGAGCGUCAAAUUUGGCUUCCAAAAAGCAUAGACGUAUUCCCUUUGACUAAAAUGAAUAAGAUAUUCAGGUUCCUGAUUCUCUCUCUCUCUCUCUUUUUUUUCUGCUAAUCUACUCGAACUAUGACAAUAUAAUUUGAUAAGCGUCCAGCUAAUCCACAUUCAGCCUUGAGGGUCGCUAAGACAAUAUCUAUAACAUGUUACCAAAAGUCACCGCAGUGAGAUUUAAAAUCAUUAUUACCAAAAAAAUGGCGGAGCUUUCCCCGAGUGGAUUUGAAUAAAAUAUUAUUUAAAAUAAUUAUUAUAAUAUUUUUUAUGAUAUAACAUGACAUAAAAAAAUAAUUAAAAAUUAUAUAUAUGAUACAAACAAAAUAUUAUGUAAAAUAAUUCACCAAUCCAAACACACUUCAGUAAUUUCAUGAGGUUUCUACCUCGCACGUGGCUUGAAUUUGUAGCCGCCGUGACAAAGCGCUAUUGGCCUCACAUUGACUUUCCACCGCAGGUGAAAUUUGUGUCAUCAGGUAAUAUGUCUAUUAACCACUCAGCCAAUGAGUCAAGAGCUCAGUGGUUAUCAAAAUGGAAUUAAAAUCAUUUUUUGAGUUGUAGAUAAGGGUUCGAAUCCUAUUUGUAAUUAAAAAAAAUUUAAAAAAGGUGCCACAACGCCCUUUUGAUUUAAUAGAUUUUUAUACUUAUUAGGCUCUUAUAUAUAAUUUCUUUAAGCUCCCUUUUCUCCUAAAUUAAGAUAGAUUAUGUUAGUGACAGGUGUCAAACCUGUGCAAUAAUAAUAAUAAAAAAAUCUAACUACCACAAAAAACAGUCAAUAAUCAAUUCUAGGUACUGGAGCAGGGACUCUAGGUGUGCAAUGGGUUACUUGAUUCACCCUGUUCCUGAAGAGUUUACUUAAUCCAAUAUACCAGAAUUAAUUACCUGACUAAAUUUACUAACUAAUAGACAGUGGCAAGCAGGGUUGUCUUCUCAGGGACUGGGGAGAAUUCGUUUCUUCCAGAAUUCAGAAUAAGGGGGAUUUUUAGGAAAUGUAAAAUAACUAAUUAACCAACUAAUAAAAUAACUAAUAGAAAUAAAUAGAAAUUAAUCAAUAACCAAUACAACUCUAGCCAAAGGUACAAUUUUUCAGACACGGUCCAUUCAACUGAUCAUCGAUGCAAAAAUAAUUCAAUUACUCAUUACUAGAUUGGUUAUAGCUAUCAAUAAGCUCUGAUAACCAACUUUUCCUUACUUUAUCGAUAGCCAAGGUACGACCGUUGACUAUUUAUCUAAUCAAAAAACAACCCUACGUACGACCGUAGGAUUUAAUUUCUCGAUUGCAUUAAUAAUUAGAAAAGUCCAACCCUAACCAACAAACACGCUACGAGGGUUUGUUUAAGUUAGAUCAUACGUUUCCGUAACAUGAAACCAAUCACGCUAGUCACCACUGGUAUUAAUCAAUUGAACAAUUACGGAUUCAAUCAAUUAAUUUGGCAUAAGAUCAUCAGGUUAAUUCGAAUAUCGGAUCCUUGACAUUCAAAUAACAUAACAAGCAUAAGCAAUUAAAUCAGGAAACGUACAAAUACCAAUGAAUAAAAGAAAUAAAUAAAAUUAAUUCGAUCUCACAGAUAUUUGGAACCGCACCUUCAAGUUGGCAUUCGACUAGAAGUAGAAAUCUAGUUCAUCUCCGUUGAGAAAAUCCCAUACAAAAUAGCCGAGCUCUUUUACAUGGAUGAUCUCCCCGCAAGUGAUAUAUUUAUUCGAAGUACAUCCAAAAGAAAAAUGUAACAACAAUGUUCUAAUUGUUCCCAUUGGCUUACGGCCGAAAAUAAAGUAAAAGAAAUAACCUACUACUCACUGUCCUUUUCCAAACGUGAAAGAAGGAAUAAAAAACAGACUUUUGAGUUUCAUGAUAAGAAUAAGUUAGGAGUUACAAUAGUAAAAUAUCUCGAACCAAUAAGUGCUCGUGAUGGAGGAGUGAGUGAAGAUUUAAGGUCAUCACUUAUUUGUUUUGCGCCAUCUACUAAUCCAUGGAAGACCGUAGCUCGUGUGCUCAAGAAUUACUCUAUUUACGAGGGAUAUCAAAAUUACAUAGAAGAUGAAGCGCUGAAACGAGCUACACGAUUUUAUCCUCCGUAAAUAAACAGGGCAAUGUCUAGCCAAAGACAUUAAAGAAAGGCGCUGCUUGGGAGGCAACCCAAGACUCUUUAUUUUAGUUUUCUUAUGUUUCUGGAGUUUUUGUAAAGUGCUAGUUGAAUUUAGUGAUUUGUUGUUUUUGUGGCAGGAAGCUGGUAGUUGGGUGUGCUCGCGUCUAGUGCUCACGCCUAAGGAAGGAAUUUUUGAUUUGACGGACAGAAAACUAUCCACUAGUUAGGCGUGCUCACACCAGAUGGUCAUGCCUAAGGAAUGCAAUUAUUUUUCUGUGGUCAGAAGACUCUCCAAUAGUUAGACGUCCCCAUGUUAGGUGGUCACGCCUAAGGAAGCCAAUUUUCUUCUGCGGGCAAAAGACUCUACAAUAGUUAGGCGUGCCCACGUCAUGUGGUCACGCUUAAGGAACUUAAUUUCUGAGGGCUGGUCAGAAGACUCGAGGGUAGUUAGGCGUGCACACGCCUAACGCAGUGGUUCUAAAAGAAAAAACUUUUCUUUUCUCUUCCUUUUCCUUUCCUUUUUCCAUUUUCUUUCUCUCUUCUUUUUCUUUUUUCUUUCUUUCUUCCAUCCUUCUCCAUCCGAACUCCACCGCUGCCAACCAUCAGCUUACAUCGAGCUCCACAAUCAUUUGCCCCUCACCCGUAGAUGUCCACGGCCCCCACAGUUAUCAGGGAAGUUUCGUUAUCCCCAUUACUUUUCUUUUAUUCUUUAUUUUACAUUGGAGACAAUGUAAGAUUUAGGUGUAGGGGGAGUAAUAUAGUGAUAAUAUAUUGGAAGAGCACAAGUGUAGGCAUUUUUGUUGGAAUUUUUUGUUUGACUUUGUUGAAUUAUCCAAUUUUUGCCUAUCUUUAUGCAUACUUGUGGUUGUUCCUAAUAAACGAUGGUUAGAUAUCUCAAAAUUUUCUAUUGCUAAGAUUUUACACUGUAAGGUUUUAAGUAUGGCAUGGUUAAAUUUAAGGGUAUCUCUUUGAUAAAUAUUUGAGAUUUUGUGACUUUUACACUUUUUGAUUAACUUCUCUAAAUAUUGUAAAUAUUUGUCUAGCAUUUUUUUAAUGCAAAUUGGUUCAACUAUUAAUCUUAGUUCUCUAUAUUUAAGAAAUGAAGCGGGUUUGUGUGAUUUUUAAUUUUAAUUUAGUGCUUAUUUAUGAAUAGUAUUCGGCUAUACUCCGCUAGUAUCGUUGCCUAGUAACCGGAGGUUUUCACCACAAGUAUCGAUUUUUGCAUCAAAAAUUGACGAUAACUAUGAGUAUAUGGUCCUUUAGCGAUAAAAGUUGAGUAAUCGGGCUCCUUUAUUUGGUAGAUAUCGGAGUUCGCGUCGAAACGCUUAAAUGGCUAAAGACUAAGGAUUCCCCCUGAGAAAAAAUAAAAAAAAAAAAACUCAAGUGUGGGGAUAUUCUAGAAAAGAAAAAAAUGUGCUAAUAGUGAAAAAUGUGGAAGUGUUUGAAUGAAUUGUUAACCUGCUGAUCCAUGAGUUUAAUGUUGAGAUUUUGCUUAAUAGUUGAACCGUUUGUUGGCGAAUGUUAGUUGAAUAUUUUAUAUUCUUAGAUUAGUUAGUCGAAAAUUGGAAAAGUCUUUGAUUCUGAAAGAUAACUGGAGAGAUAUUUCUCGAAAUUUAAUCACUAAUGCUUGACAUGUAUUUUAAUUGUAUCUUGGCAAUAGAAGAUUUGAACAAUAACCAUUAUUUGAAUUUGAUUGCUUGAUUUGUUGUUCUCAUGCUUGAGGACAAGCAUGAUUUAGGUGUGGGGGAAAUUGAUAGCUCAUAAUUUGUUGCUAAAUUUAUAAUUAUUUUCCCCUUUGAUUUUAGCCAAAUAUUAUUUUAAUUGAUUGAUUCUACUAAUAUUUAGUAUAAUGGUGUCAAUUGUAGGAAAAUGGGCAAAAUGUAAUAAAAUGGGCAAUUUUCCAAGAAUUGCGGUCAAGUCUAGAGAAGACGGGAUUCACGCAUGGCAGUUUCCUAAUUUAAGCCGAAGACUUACGAAGCAUGUUUUCAAAUACAGUUGGGAAACAUCUUAGAUUAUGAGGAAAUAUCUUCUUCUUAGGAAAAUUAGGAAGUUCAAUGUAUUUGGGAAACUAGAAAAUAGGAAAAGAAAAGGCCGGCUCUCGUUUGAUUACUACUUCUUAGGAAAGAAAAGAGGAAGCUAGUCUAUUUUUAUGUAGCAACAAUGUUCUAAUUGUUCCCCUCGGCUUACGGCCGAAAAUAAAGUAAAAGAAUUAACCUACUACGCACUGUCCCUUUCAAUAGUUUGUUGAAAAAUAUAUGGGAAAUGACUUAGACCCUUUAUGUGAAACAUAGUAGUGUGUAGGCAUUUAUGUGAAACGUGGUUAAUUUGGGAAUGCAUAUAAGGUGUUUGGUGAAAUGUCAAAAAGAAAUUUGUAUGCUAUGAUUGAUGCCUAUACGGGGUGAGAAAGCACCAAGCAACUUGAUUAAAACCACAGUUGAGGAAUUUCAGUUACACCAGCCAACUUGAUCAUCAUUUUUUAGGGGGUGUGGUGUGUAAAAUAUUAGGAUACAAUAAACUAGAGCUUGAAAUGGAAUGAAAUUUAUUUAGUAUUUUAAUGCUAACGACUUUGACACCAUUUAAUGGUUAUAGGAAAAAUAAAAGGAAAGUGGAGAUUGGGGUUGGUUCUUUGGUGUGAAAAAGGAGAGUUACUCUAAAGUAAUGCUGCAUCAAAUUCUGGAUGCAUAUGAAAUUAGAAAUAUGAUAACUUUGCAACUCAUUCUCAUUCAUCAUGAAUUUCUUUAAUUCUAUAUAAAAUUGCAAUUUUUUCGUUCAGCACAAAAAUAUUCUUUUUUUUAUCAUUUUGAUGGCUUUUGCUCUUAAGAUUAUCUGCAUGUCGGUGGUUAGUAUUAUUGAUGAGGUUAGAGGUCAUGGACUUCCCCUAUAUGUUUCUUGGAAUGGAGAUUGGUUUCAAGAAUUUUAGGGUGAUGCCAGCAUCUUGAUCGUUCACUCAUCCCUUAGGAUUCAAUUGGUGCAUUUGUUAGCUAAAGGCUUAAUCUGAAGUUCAUUGAUGGUUGUUGAUGUUCUAUAAUUGCAAGAAAUUGGUAAUCUACAACUUUAGUUGGUUAUUUGAAAUUUCGGUAUGCACAAUUGAAUUAUACUAUGAUUCAAAGAAAAGUUUGUAUGCAUAAUUUGGAAAUGCUUAUAAGGUGUUUGGUGAAAUGUCAAAGAGAAGUUUCUAUAGAAUGGAGACCGAGUAAAGUGGAGCAAGAAUUGAUAUGGAUCGUUGCCACCUACUUAAAAUUACAGAAGCAAUUCGAAUACUCCACUGGACCCAAAGAAUCUGAAGAAGUUCGGCGCGAAGUUCUUUGCGAUUUCCCGCUCCGGUCAUGGAUCCGUCCAUGGAUUGGAUAAUUAGUAUAUACUAAAUUGUAUUUUCAUUUGUAAAUUACUAAUGUUUUAAACAAAUCAUACCUAAACUCAUGGUGUGAUACGUAUGUAGUUGCUCACAUUUAUACUUAUACCAUCGUUCAUUCUUUCCAUUUGUCUUUUAACAGUGCAAAAUUCUUUUGAUUAUAUUGGUGAAAAAAAUAACAUAUUUUACUAAUUAUUCCAAUUUAUUUAGAAAAUGUUACUAAUUCCAGGAGAAAUUAUGUAUUGUAAGAAUGGUUUAUUAAUUUUCUAUUAACCAUAAAUACUGCAUACAAAAGGAAAAGAUAUUUGAUUUGAUUUUACUUUGAUUAGAAGAACUUGUACUAGUAAUAACGAAACUAGUGACAAUGGUGCAAAUUUCAAAUCAACAAUCAACGUACACAUUAUUACAGUAAUUUUUAGUCGAUCAGACUAAUAUAUGCCAUAAAAUAGUAAGAUUUAGUCAUUUAUGAAUUGACAAUUUUAGCAGUUUACAUAACAUUCACCCAUAAAAAAUUAUGAUUACUAUGAAAUGACAUUUUAUAAUGAUUUACAUACCAUUUGCCAAUAAAAAAGGAGUUUGAUAGAAAAAAUAUGCAUACAAAUCCACGAUGUAAAUGAUACAAAGUAUAUUUGAAAGCCAUGGAACUUAAAAUAUGGAUAAAUUUACUAUAAUUUUCAAAGAUUAUACUACAUUAAUACAACUUUAAUUUUUAUACUUGUGACCCGGAAAAUAAAUUUAUUAAAACUUUACCAUUUUAUUAAAUUCAUAGGUAUUAAUAUAUGGAGAUUGUGAUGUAUAAAUAAGUGAUAUUUUAUAUUUGUUGUUAUUGUAAUAUAACUUUAACUUUUAUACUUGUGACCUAAAAAAUAUAUUUAUUAAAACUGUACCAUAUUAUUAUAUUCAUAGGUGUUAAUAUAUGGAAAUUGUGAUGUAUAGAUAAGUGCUAUUCUAUAUAUAACUCGAAAGAUUUGUUGGUAUUGUCAUCCAAGCUUUCUAACCUUUCACAAAUUCAAAAAUAAUUCAGAAUUUGUAACAUGACAAAUUAUUCUUACAUAUUUUAUAAGGUCAAGUGAAAAAAAAAGUUUUCAUAGUAUAUUUAGUAUAUUUAAAAUGCUUAAAACAUAACAUUUGUAAAUGAUGCGUGCAAUCGUGUAUCAUACAUUUACAUGACGAGUAAUUACUAACUAUAAUACUAAGUUUCAAUCAUUAAUAAAAAAUCUUAGCAUUAUUUCAUAAAAACUUCCUAAUACUUGUUUCAUAUAAGUUUUUUAAGUAAAAUAGUAAAUUUAUGCCACAAACUGGUAAGUUUUGAUCAUUAACCAAAUUUACUAUUUUAUCAACAAGAUUUACUAUUAAUCUAUAAAAACUGAUUAUUACUUGAACUAAACUUACUCUCCAAAAAGUAAGUUUUGGAUAUAGAGUAGUAAUUUAUGUCAAAAAAAAGUAAGUUCCCUAUUUAUUUCAAUUUACUUUUUGAGACAUAAAAGUUACUAAUUUAUCGAGUUAACUUACUAUUUUUUAUGUGAAACUUACUAACCAAAUUUUUAGGUAUUAUCUUAUUUAGGUGACCAAUCCAACAAGUAACCAAAUAGUCGCUAAAAGUGUUUUUACCUGUCAUUCAAGAAGUAAUCAUUUAAAGGAUACGAACUCACUUGGAACCAUUCAUUCAUUUAGUCAUUCUGUCUCCAUCCAUUUCUUCCUUAUAACUUCUGAUAUUUGAAAACACAUUUGAAAACAAAAACCCCGACAUUGAUCAUUUCAUUCAAUCAUUUAUUCAUUGCAUUUCAUUCACUGGUCAGUACUCCACCUAAUUUCGUGGUUAUACUCGAGUAUACCAAAACAGUGGCUCAGGGUUACCAACCUACCUGACCGAGUCCGCUUCUUAUUCGAAUAGGCUGGCAACGAAGGGUAAGGGUCCAAUUCAACUAAUGACUUACAUUCAUGCACAAGUAACAUUCAAUCAUGUAAUCAUUAAAAAUUCAUAUUCACUUAGGUCGAGUGCGGUAAGGUACACAUUCGCCUAUCAAUGGUAAAGUGAUUUUUGAAAUACAUUUAACAGUCAAAAAAUAACACACAAUCAAGGCAUUCAAUUCACAAACAUAAGGAACACUCACCACUUGACCUCAAUGUUUCUACUUCAAACCCUGAUUCGUCUUCUCAAGUCCUGUGGUCAUAUAAGCUAUCAAGAGUUUAUCCAUUUAAAUCCAAGAUAAAUGAGAAAAUAUGAGUUCGAAACUUCACUUAACAAACACAGAAAAUUUCAGGUUUAACCCUAAUAUAGUUUCCAAAAGGGCCAAGAUUUCUUGUUCAAAUCAAGUUCAAAUCAAGGGAAACUACAUGUAUGAUAGGUCCAUGUUUCAAGUAUAACAUGGAGCAAGAACAUGUUGAUUAUAGCCAAGAAUUUUGAAGACAACAGGACAAGAUUUUCGAGGUACAAACUAGAAAUUUCGAGCAAGAAAAACAUGUUGGAGAAAACUCAUUUUCCUUCUCUUGGCCUCUUUGUUUUGACUCAAAUCCAAUAUACAGGUGAAGAUUUAGGUUUAACAAAGUAUCUUGAGCAAAACCUUGCCAAAAUCACCACAAAAUUCUGGAAAUCAAAGCUAGAAAGUGGCCCUUUUCUAGCCGGCCAACUCUAAUAGAAAUUACAGCAAGUUUUCCCCAAAUUUUCCAACAAAACUUCCAACUUUCAACUUUAUUUUCUUGGUGAAACCACUAUCAAUCAAGAUAUCAUGUCAUGACAUAUAUGAACCAUCUUCUUAGCAAACAAACCCAUCAAAAUUUCACAUAUUCAAAACUCUAAACUAAACUAACUAGAUUAUGCACCAAAGUUGGAAAUUGCAACAUAAUCUUGACAAACCAUGAAAUCUUCCAUAAAAGUCAUGCAUUUUACCUUAUAGAAUAUCAUCCAUCAAGUAGAUGCAAAGACAAGUGAAGAAAGAUGAGGUUGCUAUCAAGUUUACCUCUUAAAUCCCACAAAACAAAGUUGGAAAUUCACAACAGAACCUGAAAAUCAUAAAAUCCACCAUACAAGUCCUUCCUUUAACUUCUAUAAUAUCAUACAUCAAAUAAACUCAAAGAUAAGGGAAGAUUUUUAGCAAAGUUCACAUCUUUACCUCCAAAACCUUAGAUGAAUAGCCAAGCAAGAAGUACUCAAGGGUUUCUUCCUCCAAAACCUCUCUAAUAGCUUCCUUCCAACCCUGAUUCAAGGUUUGUCAGAGUAGACUAGUGUUUUCUCUCAUUAAUCAAGCAAGAAAUCAAGGCUUGAACUUGGAGUUGGUUUUCACCUCUUUUCCCCUCAAGAAUUUCAGCCAAGACAAGAUAAAGAAGGAAAGAAUAGUGAAGAAAUAAAAGCUUAUUUUGGUUAAGGUCUUAGUCAACUUUGGUUGACUACUUGACAAAUAGCAAGAAAAGAAGAGAUGUCUAUCUCUUUAUCUCUCUGUUUGUCUCUAGUUCACCAAGAUAUCUAAGGUUUCUUCAAUUAACUUUUAACACCUCAUGUCACAUAGCCCUUUUUGCGCAAAACUCCUUCUAAUCCUCCAAAUUUAUUGUACACACCUUCUAAUCCUCCAAAUUUAUUGCACACACCUCACUAUGAAACUUAACAUGCACCAAAUUAAACAUGUACCAAGGUAAAUAAUACAAUAAGGGAAAAACCAUGAUACAACUAUUAAAACAACCAAGAAUUUAAGACAAGUAUGUUCAAACAAGAGGUAUAAAGACAAGUAAAAUUUCGGAGCCUCACAAAAUGCACAUGCAUUGCACAUGUAUAGUGUGUAAUUUAUCAUAAAUUGCUUUUCCAAUUAGGUAAAUCACUUAAUAAUUAAUUUAAUUUCUUCUCUUUUCUUUAGUCAUCUCCUAUCUUAGUUGAUCUUGGAUCUGUUCAUGUCCUUUUUUAGGUUUUGUUAUAGUGUAGUUUAGUAGUAGAUAAAAUGAGUUAUUUUUAAAGCAAUAAAAACCCAUUGCAUUUGAAUGUGGUAAGAUGAUGAACUGACAAACAGUUAACUAUCCACAAGAGAAAGAAACAGUCAGAACCCUCUUUUUUUUUCUUUUUUUUUUUUUUUUGUAAAUGAUUCGAACUAUUACACAGGAGAUGGGACUCAUUUCCACCUUAUUUGUUUCCGCUUCUUAUUUUUCCAUCUUUCAUUUAGUUCAUAUUGACAAUUACACGCGAGAUGGGACUUCUUUCCACCUUAUUUGUUUCCACUUCUUUUUUUUUUUUUCCUUCUUUCAUUUAGUUGAUAUUGACAAUUACUUAAUGAUGCAUAUUCAAAAUACUCAAAAAAAUCUAAUAUAGUUGAAGGUAACAUGCACACAAUGGGCUUGUUUAGAUAUGGGAUUAUUUAUAAAAAAAUUUUUAAUUCCAUUAUAAUAUGUUUUUAAUCACAUUUUUAUCUUUUGAACUACCUUUUUUCUUACAUAUAUUACAUCACAAAAAGUAUUAUAGUAUUAAAAUAUAUGACAAUAUACAGGAUAGAGAUUUGUAAUAAUAGAAAUCUUAUUUGAAUUAAUAAAUAUUUUACUUUAUCUCCAUAGAUAUACAUCCCCCCUACUUUUAAACUGCACACUUUGAGAUUUGCUUCUAGUUUGCAACGACAAAGGAUAAUUUUGUUUAUUUUCCAUUCUUGUGACACAUAAUGUGAAGAACGUCUCAUGCAAAAUUGUUUUGUCCUGUUCUUGUAUGUUUAGAUACCUUGACAAAGUUAUUUUAUUCAUGUAUGUAAGCCUAUUCUUUGUCGCGAGUAUCUUCUCACCAAUUUUUGUGGCUUCACUUGUCUAUUUCUUAGAUUUUCCUCAACCACUUGAUCAGCAUAUACUUUAUGAAAACUCUUUUGGACUAAGUAGUUAUUUAAAACGACAAAUGAUCAUCCAUUUCAAGAAAUGAAGCACUAUCAUCCAGGUAUGGUGAUAUGUUUCUUUUCGUCAUUCUUUCCCGCUUGACUUUUCCUGAGAGUAGAGAUUUGUGUUUUCUAUUUUUCCUAUUAGUUUUAGCUUCAAAGAAAAAAAUAUGAGUAACAACUAAGAACAAACUACAAUAAUGAAAAAAUCUAACUAAGUGAACUAAAAAACAGCAAAUUGUAAUGACUAAAUUACCCAAAAAUUGAUAAACAAAUUAAAAAAGACUUUUGUUACUAAAGAAGAGAUAGAAAUGCCAAAUCACAAUUCCAUUCUUUCACUAUUUCAACAAGGAGAGUCAAAUUUGGCUUUUAGCCAAUCUCCUUGAACUAUGACAAUAUAAUUUGAUAAGCCUAAUCUACUCAGGCUAUUUCCUAAGAUGGUGAGGGGCUAGCUUUGAGGGUCGCUAUGACAUUGUAUCCUCACUUGUAGCAACUUUCAUGGAGCUUGACAUAUCUAUAACAUGUUACCAAAAAUCACCGCAGUGAGAUUUAAAAUCAUUCUUACCAAAAAUAGUGCCAGAGCUUUCCUGAAUGUAUUUGGAUAGAGUAUUAUUUGAAAUAUUAUUUAAAAUAAAUAUUAUAGUAAUAUAUGUGACAUAAAAAGAUAGUUAAAAAAUAUAAAAAUAUGAAUUAAAAAAUAUAUUUAUAAUACAAAUAAAAUAUUACGUGAAAUAAUCUAGCAUUCCAAACACACUUUGGUAAUUUCAUGAGGUUUCUACCUCGCACAUGGCUUUAAUUUGUAGCCAGCGUUGUGCAAGAUAGACUUUUUGGCCUCUCUGGCCGCCGUGACCAAGCGCUAUUGGCCUCACAUUGACUUUCCACCGUAGCCGAUUUUUCCUUUUGACUCUUUAUGAAUUACAGGUGAAAUUUGUGUCAUCAGGUAAGAUGUCUAUUAACUAGAGGUGUCAAAAUGGAUGAUUUGGGUGGAUUUGGAUUGGAUAAAAUGGGUAAUGAGUAUAAAUAACUCAAUCUAUUUAUACCCAUUUAAAUUAGAUGGGUAUAAAUGGGUAAGUCAAAAAAUAAAUUGGAUAACCCAAUUAUCCAUUUAUAACUCAUUUAUUUUAACUUUUUAUAAACUCAUUUAAAUUCAUUUUUGCAAACUAAAUUAUCAAUUUAUACCGUUCUUUGUACCCAUCAUUAGUUUUAAAUAUUUACUUAUAAUACUCAAUAAGCCUAAUUAUCAAUUUUUUUCCAUUUAUACUCUAUGCCACAAAAUUACAUGUUAUUUAAUAAUUGAAUAAUAAGAAUAUAAAAAUUUGAACUAAGUACUAUAAAAGUUAAUAUAAAAACUUAAUCCAAAAAUUUUGAACCUCUAACAUUUUUUUCAUAAAUAAAAUUUAAAAUUUCAUUUAAGAAAGAUAAGAAAAGAGGCUAAAACUUAUCAUAAAUUGGUAAUGCUGAAAAAUAAGCAAGUUAACAAACUAAGAGAAAAUAAAAUAAUAAAUUAAAACCAACAAAUAAUAAUAAUAAUAAUAAUAAUGAAACAAAAUUAGUUAACGUCAUGACAAAAUGAAAAUUUUGAAAAAAAAAAAGAGGUGGGGGAAGAGAAUUCUAAAUGGGUUAAUUGGGUAUUAUUGGGUAACCUAUUUAUACCCAUAUACAAAAAUUUAAGAUACUCAUACCUAUAUAUUCAUGGAUGAGUAUGGGUAAAUUUAGUUAAUUGAAUUGGUUUAUCACCUAUACUAUUAACCGAGCCACUGAGUCAAGAGCUCAUGGUCAUCACCAAAAUGGAAACUAAAGUCCUUUUUUGAGUUGAAGAUUAGGUGUUCGAAUCCUAUUUAUAGUAAAAAAAUUUAAAAGAAGUGUCAAAAUACUCUUUUGAUUUAAUAGAUUCUUAUAUCUAUUAAUUCCUUAUAUGUAGCAUCUUUAGUCUUCCCUCUCGUCUAAAAUAAGAUAAAUUAAAUUAUAAAAAUAUUAUUAUUAUAAAAAAAAAAAGGUAAUAUGUCUAUCGCCAACAAUCUUACAGCGCGUCCUUGUCAGAGCUUGAGCUCUCCAUCUAUUUAAGCAGCUCCAAUCCGAGAUUCCUUCAUAGCAAACAACAGCAAUUUUAGCUACUCUCUUCGCCUUUUCUCCCUACAUUUCCAGUACACUAACCAAGGACCAUGUUGUUUGCUUGUGCUAUUAUUGCUCUCAUUAUUGUGCUUUUCAGCCACUGGGUAUAUAGGUGGAGAAACCCCAAGUGCAACGGGGUAUUACCACCAGGUUCGAUGGGACUGCCAAUUAUAGGAGAAACAAUUCAGUACUUCACCCCUUAUGCAUCAGAUGAUAUUCCACCAUUCGUACAAAAAAGAGCGGCUAAGUAUGUCUAUCUCCUUUUAUUUUACCUCUUAUUUUUUUCAUACUCUUCUCAUUUCUAACUAUCCGAUACAAAAUUCGAAUCUUGAACUAGACUAUGAAGAAAACUCUAAUAACCUCUCCUAAUCAUUGGAUCAACCUCAGUACUCCAGUGGUUGUCUAACCACUUCUUAACCAGCUAUCACAUAUAAAUUUUAACAAUAUUACAGCAGUAACAGUUAAGGAUAUUUUAUCUUAACUAGCUUUUCUUUGUUUCUUUUUUUUUUUUUUGGGAAUUUUCAGGUACGGGCCAAUUUUUCGCACGAGUAUAGUUGGGGAGCCAAUCAUUGUAUCGACUGAUGCUGACGUCAACUACCGGGUCUUCCAGCAAGAAGGUAAUGCUUUCCAAAUUUGGUAUACUCAGAGUCUCUUCCAGAUAAUUGGGAAACAAAGUGUAGUUGCCCAUCAUGGAGACUUCCACAAGUACCUCAAGAGCUUAACGUUCAAGUUUGUUAGCCCCGAAGCCUUAAGAGAGAAGCUAAUAUAUGAAAUGGAUGAGAGCACUCAAGAAUCUCUAAGAUCUUGGAGUAAACUUGGAAAAUUAGAUGCUAAAGAUGGAACUGCAGAGGUAAAUUCAUUAGCAUCCUACUAUUUGAUUAUAUUAAUCAGGACGAAUUCGGACUAUACAUACAGAGCAUUGCUGAAAAGUAGUAAUUAACAAUCUCAUUUUCUCCAGUUGGUAUUUAAAUAUGCUGCCAAGAAGAUGCUUGGCUAUGAAGAAAGCAAGGAUCAGCAAAAAUUGAGAGACAGUUAUAAGGCAUUCAUGGAUGGCUUGAUCUCGUUUCCUCUCAACAUCCCUGGAACACCAUUCCAUGCUUGCUUACAAGUAAUCAAUUGUUAUUGUUGUUGUUCGUCAUUUGGAAUUAUUUUUACAUUGAAAGAUCGAUGUUCACUAUACCUACAAGAAAAAAAAACAUAUUCAUUAUAAAUAUAUGACUAAGUAAAAUAUAUAUGCUUUCAUAUAUGCUGUAUCAGAUUGAACGAACGAUAUGAUUUUCAUUUUCCAGGGACGCAAGAAAGCAAUGAAGGUCAUCCACGACAUCUUUGAGAAGAAGCGCUCAGGCAAUGAUGCAGCUGCGAAUGACUAUGACUUUGCGGACCAUUUACUCGAGGAAAUAAAGAAAGAAGACACUUUUUUGAAUGAAGAAAUUGCGAGGGACCUGGUAUUUUUGUUUCUGUUUGCUGCCCAUGAAACGACUUCAACAGCUUUGACUGUGGCCUUGAGGUAUCUAGAUGGCCAUCCACGUGUUAUGGCUGAACUAAAGGUCCGUGACUUUCCGAAACAAUUUCUCCCGUUAUCAUCCUAUUUACCCUUUAAUUCUCCAAUUCUUGUGCAAGUUCAAUACUUAAAUAAUUAUUAUUCUAUAUAUACUGACAGUAUACAUUGUUAUGAUUGGAUGUUUACACUAACAGAAUAGGUAAGAUUACUUUAUAUUUAAAUAGUCAAUUAUUUUUGUAGAGAGAGCAUGAAAAUAUUCUUAAAAUGCGAGAAACAGAAGGGUCUGCUGUUUCAUGGAAAGAGUACAAAUCUAUGACUUUCACGCACAUGGUACGUUUCAAUUAACCAGACAUUUCAUUGUAUCUAUCAUUUGAAUCAUAUAGUGAGCUAGACCAUUUACAUCUUAAGUUUUGUUGUCUGCUGUAGGUUAUAAAUGAAACAGUUAGGCUUGCAAAUAUUGCCCCUGGGAUUUUGCGCAAAGUUGUCAAGGAAGUUGAAGUAAAAGGUAUAAUUCAAUAUGUCACUUGGCAUCUUCUUGAAAAUCAUUUGUCACACUUUCUUUAUUUUGGACCGAUGAUGCCUUUCUCCUGCAGAAAAAAGAAAAAAAGAAAAACUCUCUUUAGUAACUACUUGGGUUGGGCAUUUUUUCAUGGGAGUAAUUAUACAGAAAAUAAAUGAUUUGUUUCCUUUGUUCUUCUUUUCCUCCAUUGUAACUUACAGUUUAAGUGCGAAUGAUUUGCAGGUUAUACAAUUCCUGCUGGCUGGACGGUAAUGGUUUGUCCACCAUCUGUUCAUUUGGAUCCUAAUCUAUAUGAAGACCCCCUUGAAUUUAACCCAUGGCGAUGGGAGGUAAUUUGAUCAUCGACAAAUUUGAGUAAUUUACGCACAAGAAAGACAAACUUACAGAACAAAAGUUAAAUAAAAUCAAGUAAAAAUAAUUCAGGUUUUUUCUGCUGUUUUUUUCAAUCAAAAGGGCAAAGAAUUACAUGCGGGAUCCAAAAGUUUCAUGGCAUUUGCUGGUGGUACGAGGCUUUGUGUUGGUGCUGACUAUGCAAAGGUGCAGAUGUCAAUUUUUCUGCAUUACUUGGUCACAAAAUACACGUAAGGAUUUCCAAAUCACAAUUCCCACCAUCUUCGCUUAAAUACAUAUAGAAGAAGCUAAUUCCUAUAUAGUAUAAAUUGAUGUCCACUUAACUUCUUCGGUUUUUUAAUAUGCAUGAUUGCAAGAAGAAAGUGAUAACUGAUCAAAAAGCUUGUCUAAUUUGAAUUUUCAGCUGGAGAGUUAUCAACGGAGCAGAGAGAAUCCGGACACCUACUGGUAUUCGUUUCCCCAAGGGAUUGCAUAUUGAGAUUUCAGAGAACAAAUAGAUUUUAAACCGGGCAUGCACGAAUAAAGCUUGUACUUUCAUAAGCGUAUUUAUGUUGCAGUAAUUUACUGUCAUAUUGUAAUUUUACCUUCCAGCUGAGUUUCACUACAUUGUAAUAUUGCAAGUAUCCUAAUAAUAACAUUUAAAGUGGUGUCUUUCUUGACACUAUUGUAAUUGUUGAAGAUUUUAUAAUAGUUGCAGUUUGAGCUUCGACUAAUUGUUUUUCUUCACUAAAUCAAUACAAUGAUCUUAUUUACGAGGACAAAUCAAGCCAAGAAACAAUAUAUAUGUGUGUGUGUGCAUAUACAUGGUAAGUAUUACUCCUUCCUUCCAUCUUAUAAAGUUUGUCGCACUUCAAGAAUUGCAAUUUUUAUUAAUAGUGGAUAGAAUUUGAAACUUGAUGUGUAGUUUGCAGCUCAUAAAGAAUUGCGGGACCAUGAUAUUUGUUCAAUCCUAGGUUUUGUUGAAAAUCUUUUAGAUAUUUAAAAGUUUUACCAAAUUUUAGAUUGUUGUGGUCUUAAUUAUUUGAUAAGUGUUAUACUACAAAAGUUGUUGUUUUAGUUUCGGACUCAUAAAAAGAUACAUGCACUGAACUUUUACGGAGUGUCUGAGAGGUAAAUGACUAAAUGAAGAAAUUAAAUAGAAAUAUAUCAACUAAUUUAUAUAAUUGACAAAUAAUUCGGAACAAUCCAACAAAGAAAGAAUGGCAAUAUCAAUGGUAUGGAGGGGGAUUUUCUAUGUCCUGGCCCUCUUUAUCAUGGAAUCUAUAUGUAUUGCAGAGUGGGUUUUUAGAAGAGAGCCUCUCAAUGGCUUCCAAACUUCUCAUUCUUUUUUCUAGAUUUUUGUAUUUAUUUUAAUACAUAAAAAGUAAUGGGUUAUAACCAACCUUAUCACCAGUCAAAUUUAAAAUUUAAAACUUUCCCACUAUCUACAUCAUAAACCGUUUAUAGUUUAUUUUUUAUUCUUUAAAUCCUUUUUACUCCUUAAUUAAAGACAAAUGCUCAUUCGUAUGCUAUUUUAAUACAUUUUACAUAUUUAUAAUUAAGAAAUAUUUAUCACUAAACUAAUCCUAUAAUCACCCCUACAAAUGAGCUUUGCAAAUUACAAUCACGUUUCAAAAAAAUCACAAAUAUGUAGUUGAGGGGGUAAAGUGCGACUAAAUGUAAAGUUAAGGGGUUUACUAUAUUUAAUCCUAUAAAAAAUCGCAAGAACGGAACAUUUUUUUUCCCCUUUAGGAUGGCCUGACAUCCAUGUGCAGUGACCAAAAAAUUUCCCUUUCUUAAUGAACGUAAGAUGGCCAAUUUAUUUAUUUUUUAAAAAUGAAUAGGGUUGUUUCAGAUCCCAAAAAAAAUAAAUAAAUAAACCCAGGUUCCUCCAUUGUUAUGAUUUUUUUCACCAUUAUUCUAAGAAAUUUGCUAAUUUGAGUUCUUUAUGGCAAAGAAUGAGAUGUAUGACUAGACCUUUUUUUUUAUUUGCGUGACCAGUCUAUUGUUGACAAAAGUUUAAAUUUUUUAAAAAAUAUGCAAAAAUUAGGGGAGAUAAUAUUAGGAGUUUAUAGUAAAUUUACCACACUUCUGGUGUGGUUUUCGUUUGUCCAAUACCAUGAAAGAAUAUUAGAAACCAUUAUCAAUUAUUACGCGCUAAGUAGAAUUCGGAAGCAUACAGCAUGAUCAAGAAACAGCAGAACCAAUUAGGACUAAAUUUUGACCCCCAAAAAAAAUUAGAACUAGAUGCCACUGGCACGUUACCGUAACUUGCAAUGACAAUUAGGACUAUUUAGCGUUUUUUUUUUACAAGGAAUUAGGGCAUUGUAAAGCUUAUUCUGGCAAACUUUAUCUCAUCAGUGAUUUGAGUAUAUUAUCAAGUUAUUGAGUAUACUACAAAUCCUAUAAUCAUGCUCACAUUUUCCCCACAUUUCCCCCACGUUUCUCAUUCCAAUUAAGAGUCUUCCAAUUUAAGAAAUGUUUAUCUCUUAACUAAUCCUAUAACUGCUCCUAAAAAUCUUAUAAUCAUGCUCACGUUUUUCCUACAUUUUUUCCACUUUCCCACUCCAAUUAAGAGUCCUCCAAUUUAAGAAUUUCACUCCAAUUAAAAGUCUUCCAAAACAUAGUAUCCUCAUUCAACUUUCUUGCGUACUCACUCCAAUUAAGAGAACUUUCUUGCGUUUUUUCCAAUAACUUAUUAUCUCCUUCAACCUUUUUAUGGUAUCCAUCUUAGCCCUUAACCUAAUUUCACUAUGGAACAUGUUCGCCUACAAGCAUUUCAACGACAGUUAAAUUUCAAACUCGCAAGAUUGUCAAGGAGGAAACAUUUAAUUAGAAAACGAAACGUACACCGCAACAAUUCCACAUGGCUGUUCGAAAAGUUUUAGCAAUUUUGCGUUGACGAAAGAGAAAUUUCACAUCAAAUUCGAAGGACAAAAUCUCAACUACACCGAUUAAAACAUCGUUCGCAUCAAAUUAGAAAUUUCGGUAUUGUUUAUUCUUUAAACAUUUGCAUUUCCAUUAUUUUUUAAAAUAUUAUUCCCAAUAAUGUAAUAUUUUCGAUUGAUUAUUGCUGUUAUUGUCUUUCAUCUUUAAAUAGAAGUGAAAUGUUAGGUAAUAGGUCAUCGUUUUAGACUUAAUUUCUCAUGAUUUAAUAACAACUUACGCAUCAGUAAGCAUAAAAAUUUAUUUUAUGGUCAGAGUAAUAGAUGUCCAUCACUGUUUUUAUGUCAUCUUUUUCCCUAUAGCACAAGUAUUGGUAUUUGACUUUUGAUGGAACCAAGUUCCCUCCAGAUACAAAAAUGAUGGAAUUUGAUAUGAGAAAUUUCUUACGAUAAAAAUUUACAUCUUCAAAUUGUUUGCGGCUUAGUUUAGAUUCUUGGAGUUCGAUAAUUAUCUAUAUCUAUAUGUAUUCAGGAAGGGGUUUUUAGCAGAAACCCUCUCAAUGACUUCUAAAUUUCUCAUUCUUUUUUCUAGAUUUUUGUAUUUAUUUUAAUACAUAAAAUGUAGUUGGUUAUAACCCACCUUAUCACCCAUCAAUAUUCCCACUAUCUCACCCCCACUAUCCCACUAUCUUAACUCAUCCUACAACCACUCCUACAAAUUCUCUAUUCCCACUAUCCCACUAUCUCACUCCCAUUCUCUCUCAGUUUCUUAUUUGUUUUUUAUUCUCUAUUCAUUUUGUAAAUGUAUUGAUUUUGUUUCUUUUAUGAGCAGUAGUGGAAGAUAUUAUGUGCAGAGACUUCAGCAAAACUCAAUCUUCUUGCGGAUAAUUGGAAGUAUAUUCUUGCCAACUUAAUUUUUCAGGUCGGUCCCCUCUGCUUUUUAAGUAUGUUUUGCUUUUGCUUUGCUUUUUGUCAUGAAUGAUAUUGCGUUGAUUUUCUAAUUAUCCAUUAUUUCUGAAAAUUUUUUACAAAAUCUUGUCAGAAAUCCUUUUGGCAAAAUUGCAUUCUAGCCUUUCUUUUUUUUAUCAUUUUCUCUCUGCAUUGACUGCAAUAAUUUUCACUUCACUUUUAAUGGGUGGGCUUUCAAAAUUGGUAGAAAGAGAGUUUAUUAGCAUUCAAAUAACUGUUCUGUGUUGCAUCUUUUUGAGAUGUUAAAGAAGGCAUGAAACUUCUUGAAGGAUGGUAUCCUACUUUUUAGAGUUUGAAUCACAAUAUUACCUUCAUUUUUUGUAUUUUUGUAUUUUUGCAUCCACUGGAUUAGAAAAAACGCGUCAUUCUAAGCUUAGAUUAUGUUCAGCAGUGAUGCCAAAGACCUAACGAUAUCUAUAUGAAAAAAAAAUUCAAGGGACAUAAUUAUAUAUCAUACCAGAUAUCAGGAAACUAAUUGCAUAAAGAAAAUAAUCCUAACUCAUAUUUCGGCGCUCUACCUGACUUAAGACGGCGAUUUUUUAAAAAAAUCUUUCUCUUGGUAUUUGAAAAAUUCCGAAUUCUAACUGAACUUAAACCAAAAGAAUAAAUUAAAAAUUAUAGAGGCUGCCAAAUUAAAAGACAAUAUUGAAUUGAAUAUUAAAAAAUGGUUUAAACAUAGUAGGGACUACGGACCAAAAUCUUUGAAAAACAAUUCUGUAUCCAAAAAAUUAAAAAAAAACCUAUAAGAACAAACUCAUUUUCCCAAAAAAAAAAAAAGAAAAGAAAAGAAGCCUAUAAGAACAUACGCCCUUUUCUAAAUUUAAUAAUUUAUCUACAUUAUGAACAUAUUAUAAACUAAUACAUUCCUUUUUAUUUAAUAUUAAAAAUUGAUUUUAAUAUACAAGUGAUAGCAGAGGGAAUGAUGCAGUUAGCGACAUGUGAAAAAGCCGAAAAGGACAAAAGCAAUUAGAGGGAUAAUUUCGCACAAAAUUCGUGGGUCAAAGUGCAAUUUGAGGUAUAGAUGGGAGGCAUUUUAGUGCAUUUAUUGGUUUGUUUUCAAUAAGUGGUGGUUGGUUUUGCGGGGUUUGGGGGGUCUACAUGUACCAAAAUAUAUUUUUAUAGGGAUUACUUCAUUAACUAUGGGUGCUAAUAACAAUUCUAUUGGUGCGUAAUUUUCAUUUGAUUACAACACAAUUGUAUUAAAUUCUAUUGAUGCUACUUCUAUAUUAAUUAUUGUAUUUUUUUGUUAACAAUUCUCAUACAAUGUAUCACUUACUACGCAUAAAAUAAAUACAAAAACUAUUUAUUUUUGAUUUAAUAUAUAUAUUUUUUCUAGAUCAAAUAAAUGAAAAUAUUGCCUCUCUUCAAGUUCGACAGCCAUCCGCAUCACCAAUACUUUUGCGUGAUCAUGAUAAAUAUGCAGUUUUUUAUAUCGUCAAAGAUCGUGCAUUUUCAUUUGUAGUACAUACUCCACAAAAUUCAACAUAGUUCAUUAAAUCAUCAAUUUUGGCUUUCGUACUAAAAGUGGAUUGGUGUGAAGAGUGUUCGCACCUUCAAGAAAGAUUAUCAAAUCGAAUGCUUAGUAUUUGUAAGUAUUUCAUUUUAACAACAUUCAAUUACAUUCAUUUGUAGAAAUAUAUCAUUCCCCUUUUUAAUAUAAAUUUUAAUUUUUUUUCAAGAUCCAUCUUUCGAAAAAAGACAGUUCUUGAAUGAUAUACACAUUCUAUUAUAUUUCAAACUAUUGUUAAACAGAUAUUACAUUUAAAUUUUGUCGGUUCAAUUUUUUCACCUUUAUUUGUUCACCAUUUUAUUUUUUUCAAUAAUGUCAGCAUCGUGCGUAGCACGGGUAUUCACACUAGUGUAUAGUAUUUGAUAUUGUCAUGAUGACAGUUUCUGUACCUUUAGGCCAAAAGAGUUAGUGUUUUUUAUCACAAAAAGAUUGUCAUUAUCUGAUUCUUUAUCACUUUGUUCUAUAUUGUGAUGACGUGGUCGACACUAUUGUUAGAUAAUUAAUUUCAUGUACUUUUAAUUUUAACAUAUUUUUUUGUAUUGUAUAUAACAUUUUAUUUAUCAAAUAGGUACAAUGUUAACAUACAAAUAAGAGAUUCCAGUGGUAACAUGCAUCUUAAUUUACAAGACAGACAUGCAUGAUUCGUAUUUGAUUGUGAUGUUUCUUAUCUCAGAAAAUUACAAAAGAAGGUAGAAUUUCUUGAUAUAUAUUUAUUUUUUAUAAUGCUAUUUAUAAACUAUGUAAAAAAUAAACUAAUUUUGAAUUUCAUACGUACUUAAUUCUCAGGAAAAUGGUGAUAGGUUGUUCAACCAACGAAUCAAUUUGUGCAAAGAUCGUUCAUUUUUAUUUGUAGUACGCACUCCACAAAAUUCAACAAAAUUAAUUAAAUCACCAAAUUUGACUUUCGUACUAAAAGUUGAUUGGUGUGAAGAGUGUUCGCACCUUUAUGCAAGAUUAUCAAAUCGAAUGUAUAAUAUUUGUAAGUAUUUCAUUUUAACAAUAUUCAAUUACAUUCAUUUUUAUUUAUAUAUCAUUCAUUUUCUAUUAUUUUUUCAGAAUCUAUUUUUCGAAAAAAGACAGUUCUUGAAUGAUAUAUACAUUCUAUCAUAUCUCAAACUAUUAUUAGACAAAUAUUACAUUUUAAUUGUUUUGAUACAAUUUUUAAUUUUUUUUAAUUUACCAUGUUAUUUUUAUUUUUUUAAUAAUAUUAGUGCCGUACGUAGUACGGAUAUUCAUACUAGUUCUAUAUAGCAAGAAUGGUACGGGCCUUCCCACCGUAGGAACGUCAAUCUGGUCCCAUUUAAGCACGACACGUAGCUUAAUUCUGGACGGCACCAGACAACGCAUGUGGUGCUCCCAAAACUCUGACACUGUUUUUUAUUCUCUUUCCCCACAAACACCAAAGCAAUAUCGUGUACGGGGAUUCCGGCAAGUUGAUAUAAACAAAUAAAAGAAUAAAAAAUCUAUUCGGCCACACCUCAUAAUUUGAUUUUGAUGGACACGACGCUGGGGAUAGUCAUAAUUUACCCCACUAAAAUUUUGCCGCUUUAGUUGUUCUACUCCAGGCUGACAAAUUACGAAAACAACAUUUCUGUUAAGUAUUGUUUCAUGAUUAAGACAAUCAAUCAUGCGAUAAAACUAGUAUUUUAACCAAUGCUAUGCACGGACGGAAAAAUAUGGUCAAACACGAUAUUAUUAUUUAUUUUUCUUAUGUUCUCCUCCUUCGUAUCACUUUUUUUACCUCUCAAUCUUCCAUCUCUUCAAUAUUCCCCCUACUUUUCUUGUCACUUUCUGAAUCUAACUUUCUCGCAUCCUUAUAACAUUUUUUCGUUCCUUCAUUUCCUACUCAAUUUUCUUGUAUCCCUACAACCCUUUCUCGUUUCACCAAAUCCUAUUUUUUUUUUACUCUAUCUCGCUCCCACCCAAUUAUCCUAUUUCUUACCCAAUUUUACACAUCACUUGUCUCCUAUUCUACUAUUAUUUUCAUCUAUUUAUAAAUGUAAAUGGUAACCUAUUUACUUGGUUCGCCUAUUAACAAAUGAGUUUGCGUAUGUAAUUUAAUUGGAUUCAAAUGGGUGACCAAAUUAACUCAUUAAUUAGUGGGUUUGAAAUUGACAGAUUUGGAUCACUUAUUUUGACUUAAUUAAAUUAGACGUAGAUUCAAAUCAAUCAUUAGUGGGUAAAUCUAAAUUACUCUAAUAAUUAUAAUCUAAAUUUUGCAAAGAUGUAUUCAUCGUUUUCCUCUUCUUUAAUUUCUAUUAUUUUAUUUUUUUUUAAUUUAUCCUACUUCCUCCAUUCCUUUCAUAAAAGUUUAAUAAAUUUUGUGAAUGUUAAUUGAUUGUUUGCAUUAAUACCUAAAUUAUUUUUAGAUUGUUGUAAAGUGACAAAAUUUGAAACUCACUAGGAUUACCAUUUUAGGCUAAUUUAAGCAAUUUUUUAUGUUGUUUCUCUUUCUUUAGGUAAAAAUUGAUUUAUUAACUUGAUAUGUUGAUAAGAUUUACUAUUUUGUUGCUAAACAAAAUGUGGAUGAAAAAGUAAAUAAAAUUUAGCAGUGGGAUGUGAAUGGGUGAUUGGAUAAUCCAAACUCAUAUAAAACUAUAUUCAUUGAUGACUCGUCUAUUUUGAACCAUUAACUAAGUAGGAAUAUACAGGUUAACCUAAUUAUAACUUACCCAAACUCACAUGAAUCAUCUAAUUUGAUAACUCUUCCCUAAUAUUUACCUUUCCUAACUCUACAGUCCUAUCUUUUUAAUCCUUUAAUUAUUUAGGAUUCAUUAUCUCACUUUUUAUGUGUUUUUGGACAUAUAAAAAGUUAGAAUUAUUUUUCCAAGUUGCAACCUCAUUUUUAAGUGUUUUUAAUCAAAUAAAAAGCUAGAAUUGCAAUCAUCGAGAAAAAGUAAACUUUCAGAUGUAAAUUUGGUGAAAUACAAUCUUUUUAUCAAAAUUUUGCUAAAAUACCACCAAAAGCAACCUUCUAAAUACACCUUUAUUAAUUUAAAAUUCAUACAUAAAUUUUCUUUACAUGAAUUUUUUGGUGUACAUGUGCUAAAUGAAAAGUCAUCUAGAUGCUUGCACGAUAUUAAUAUUGAAUUUAUUCUAAGUGCAAAUAAAAUGUCAUAAUUGUUAUUUACAUACUCCAAUUUAGUGUUUGAGUAUAAUUUCAACAUUCAAAUCUUAAAACUUUAAAAAUAUAAACCUAUUGAAUAAAAUCCAACAUAAAAAAUAUAAAAAUUAUAAAAAUCAAACCUAUUAAAUUGCCUUAAGCUUGCUAAAUACAAAAAAAAGGGUAAGUUUAAGACUGCAAGAAAAUUGAUUUAGUAAUUGUAACAUAAAUUAUUAAAAAGUAAGAGUAAUUGAAUAUAUCAUUAGAAGAUUUUGAUAAAUGAUUAUUGUAUCCAGAAGGAAAGUGAUAAAGAAAUAAUUGGGUGAAUAACUAAAAAAAAUAGGACUAAUAACAUUAUCUCGAGGAUUUGGCUAGAUAAAUUAAUCCUCUUUAAUGAAGGAAUAAAUGGGACUAAAGUGAUAAAGAUAUAAUAGGGUAAAUAAUUUUAAAAUGAGACUAAUCAAUUAUCCCUGAAAAUUUUGGCUUGACAAAUGUAUUUUAUUUAAUUAAGGAGUAAAAAGGACUUAAAGUAUAAAUAAUAAAUUAUAAACGGUUUAUGAAGGAGAUAGUGGGAAAGUUUUAAAUUUUAAAUUUGACUAGUGAUAGGAUUAGUUAUAACCCAUUAUUUUAAAGUUUUAAUUAGAUUUUAUGUAUUGAAAUAAAUACAAAAAUUUAGAAAAAAAGAAUGAGAAGUUUGGAAGUCAGUAAGAGGGUUCUUGCUAAAAACCCCUUCUGCAAUACAUAUAGAUAUAGAUAUGGCAUCGCUUUUGUAAUAUAAUUUAUACUCUUUCGAUUCCAUUGAAAGUGUCAUACUUUUGAUUUUAAAAUGUUUUAAAAUAUUUAUCAUAUUGCAGAAGUCAAAGCACAUUUUAGUUUUUUUUUAAUAUAACAUUUUUUUCUAAUCAUAUGCAUGUUACUAUUCAAAUUUAAAAUUUAAAUUUAUCAUGGUAAAUUUGAAAAGAGAAGUACAAACAUCACAAUUAAAUCACUAUUUUUAAAAUAUUGGAUUCUCUAAACAUGACUAAAUAAUUGAGAUGAAUGGAAUAUAUAUAAAUAUAUAUAAAGAUAAAAAAUAAUUAAAAAUAUAAAAAAAUAAUUGAAAAAUGUAUCCAUAACAACACAAGUCAAAUAAUAUUUCAAAUAAUUUUAUAUCCAAACACAGCUAUCCAUUAAUUAUGAUUGCUUUUAUAAAGAUAAGGAAAAUAAAAAAGUAGGCCCGUGCAUUCGUAAAUCUUAUCAAAGCAACCUUGGGGUAAACCGCCAAAGGCACACGCAGCACCGCUACGUGAUGUUCGCAUUUGUAUCAUAUGAUUUGAAGGAAGAGCGCAAUAUGGACUUGAAGGGAUUGGCAGGAUUGUCAAGAUGAUUGCAAGAGCAUCUUGCACAGCUUUCCAACAAGGCAACAACUAGUCUUAAGCACGUGUUUAGGUCCUUUAGGAAAGCUGACGGUUGAAAGAAGACUUGUUUUCUUGUAAGCCUAUGAGCAUUUAUAAAUUUGUUGAAAACGAUUGCAAGGACGUCACUAGAAAAGUCUGUUUAAUUUAAUGUAAUGAUUAUCUUUCAUCAAAGAUUGCAAGGAUAUUUUUAGAAACUCCGCUUAAUUUAAUGUAAUGAUUAUCUUUCAUACCGAUAAAACAACGAAAGAUUUUGGGGAAAAAUCUAUUGCGGACCCACAACUACCACACGUAAUGUAAUGUAAUGAUUAAUUAAUUCAAUUUAGUUGUAGAUAUGUAAUGAUUAUCUUUCGUACCGAUAAAAAUAUGAUUUUGGGGAAAAUUCUAUUGCGAGACCCACAACUACGACGCGCAAACGAUUAUGAAGCGUCCAAUCCUUUGUUUAAUUUAACGUAAUAUAUAUAUAUAUAUAUAUAUAUAUAUAUAUAUAUGAAAGUAGUUAUUUUAAUUAGAGUUGUUUCUCAUUUCUACGUGGCAUUUUUUUUUCAGGGUCACUUGAAUUUUACCCAUAUUAAAUUCUAAUUGGAUUAUAUUAUAAGUUUAAAAAUUAUCUCUAAUUUUAAAAUAACUUUAAAAAAUAAAUAAUCUUAUCUUAAAGAUACUGUUUUAAAAAACAACCAACCUUAUCUUAAUGAUUUUGCUUUCUAUCAAAUUAUUACAUAUAGAACUAUAGUAAAACCUCAUUUCACAAUUAUUAAAAUCUUACAGAUCCCAAAUUACUUCUUUAAUCACAAUUAUUGAAAUCUUAUAUAUCUCAAAUUACUUUCUUUUACAACCGUAUCUUUGAUUAGUAUUCAGAUUGAUCAUCAUUUAUUCCCUUAAUUUUAAAAUAACUUAGUGUAAAAAAAAAAGAGAAUUACCUGUUAUACCGACAGAUUUACUAAUAUUGUUGGAAACUAAAUAUUUAUUGAUAGAGAAAAAUGAACUGCUGGAUUUUUCUACUUAAUUAAAUAUGAAUAUAUAGUUCUAGAUUUAUGGUCAUUAUAAAAAUCUAUAUUAUCAAAAAGAAUAUUUGUAAAAAGAAAGAAUAUCUACCAAAAUUUUGAUAUAAGGUACAUGAUUUGAUGUAUAAUAUCAUAUAAUAACACAUUUUUAAAAAUUCAUAAAUAAUUGAAAAUUUAGAACACAUUAAUGUUUUAAAGUUAAUAUAGAUGAACAUGUAGGAUUGUUGUUUUUUUGUAUUUAAAUUAUUUAUAUUUAUAUAAAUUUGCAAUAAAUCAAAAAAGAUCAUGCUAACGCAUGUACAAAAUUCUUGUGAUGAAUUUAAUUUAAUUUAGUUUUAGACACUCUAUUUAAUUUAAUGUAAUGAUUAUCUUUCGUACCAAUAAAAAAUGAUGUUGGGGAAGAAUCUAUUCCGAGCUCCACAACUACGACACGCAAACGGUUGCGAAGAGCCCAAUCCUUUGUUUAAUUUAAUGUAACGUAAUGAUUAAUUUAAUUGAAUUUAGUUCUAGAAACUGUUUAAUUUAAUGUAUUAUCUUUCGAACCGACGAAAAAAAAACAGAUCUUGGAGAAAAGUUUGCUGCGCGACCCACAACUACGACACGGAAACUCACGAUGAGCCUAAUCCUUCAGCGGAUACGACGCUGUAUUGGGACUGCGCCUACCAUUUGUCGAUCCCUUUGUCAUUGACAUGGUUUACAAAUUAGUCAGGCUCUCUGGCCGAGGGGAUGAAACUUGAAAGUGAAAUAAUCGAGGCAAGUGAAUGUCCAAUAUGACAAAAAGAAAUAAAGAAUGUCUGUUAUAAAAUUAAGACUAAUUUGAUAUAGGAUUUGAGUUCUUUAUGAUGUGAAUAGUAUGUUAAGAAAAACAAAAAAAUUUAAACAGUUCAGGAGACAAAAAAGGUAACAAAAGAACUAUUCUUAUGAAAUUUUAACUUUCUAUUACUUUGAUACAAGAGGGUUUAUCCUUAUUUACAAGGGAAUUCAAAGUACAUCAAAAACAUCUUCAAAAUGGUAAUAACAUUUUCUUGUAAGUCCUCAUCGUUUUAUUCAUGGUCAUGCCAAUUUUAUUAAAAGUCGUGAUAGUUUUAUUGAAAGUCAAAUAAUUUGUAUCACCUUAAAAGUCAUGAACUUUAAAAAACGUGAACAGUUUCAGUGGCGGAGUCAGAAAAAAUUUUUAGUGGGGGCAAAAAUAACUCUAAAAUUUUUUACACUCUCUUUUUCUAGUUUUUUAAGAAAAAAAAUUUUCACCAACAAGUACAAAUGAUGCAUAUAUUCCAUGAAAAACAUAAAAAGAUGAAUUCAAAGUUAUUAAUGUAAUAAUAAUUUUAUUUCAAAAAGCAAGUUAAACCAUUUACAAUUGUUCAUGACGAGUUUUUAUAUUUUGAUAACGGUUUACAAUCUUUUCAUUUUGAACUUCACGAAAUAUAUUUUUCUCAAUAAAAGUAACUAAACAAUCAUUCAUUCAAGUGUCUUCCAUUCUAUUUCGUAACUAAUUUUUCACUAUAUUCAUAACUGAAAAAUCUCUUUUUAUGGUAGCUGUAAUAACAUGUAAAAUCAAAAACAACUUUAGGAGUAUAUAAAUUAAUGAAUAUAGAAAACUCUGGGGGCACACUUGAAAUUAUAUCAAAUUUUAAUGGGUAUUAUAGAAAUUUAAGGGGGCCCUCAGUGUCCCAGUGUAAAUCCACCCCUGAACAGUUUGUUACUAUUUAGAGGAUGAGAUAAAUGUGAUAUACAUUCAUAAUAUUUAAUUAUUUCGUAGAAAUAUCCAAUUUGACAAGUACGUCUAACUAAAGCAGUAAAGCACCCAUACUUGACUAAACUUUUGGUCGUUUGUUGCAAAAAAAAAAAAAAAAAAAAAAAAAAAGACUAUCCCAUAGAAUUAGACCGUUUGAACAACCAGUCAAAACAACUAUUGGUUGGAUGAUUCAGCAGAAAUUUAACGCAAGGCUGGACGGAAUCAUGUGACCAUUUUGUCCGGAAGAGAUGAUUUUGGAUGAAUCUAAAAUUUGACUAAACAAAUUCAAAAUUUUAAGUCAUCUGUGUCUAUAUGUAUUGUUGGGAGGAUUUUUAUGAUGAUUAUAUCAGAAUGUUUGUAACUCCUCAUUUUUUUUUUUUAUAUAUAGAAUUUUGAAUUUUUAAAUUGUUAUAUAUUCUUUCAUGUCUUUUGAAUUUAAAAGUAAGAAGUGGUCUACUUAUAUAGGAUUUUGAUUUGAAAUCUAUCAAUGUGAGGGUAAAUAAAGAGGAAAAAUCACCAACCCUACUAAAAGUAAAAAAGUAAAUAAUAAUAUUUUACUUUUCAACUUAGUAAUCCUAACUAAAAGGGCAAAUUAUAUAGAAAACAAAAAGAAAAUAAUAUUCAUUGGUCUUGGAUUUAAAAUAUCAAUAAUGGUAUUAUUUGUGAAUCCUAAAUUAUGAAAUCACUGAAUAAAAACAAAGUACUAUUAGUCUAAAAAACCAAAUUAUGGAUUUAAAGGGUUUGGGAGAAUGGUGAAGGGAAAAUAAUAGAAAAUUGGGUGGCAAUGAUAGAAAACUAGAGGCUAGCUAUAUGCUAGGGAAGACAAUAACGAGGAGUUAAAGAGUGGUGGAAAAAAUCGAAAAAAGAAGGUGAACUAUUAUAAGAUGGGAGAAGAAAGGGAAGAGGAAAGGAUGAAAUUGUGGGAAUAUGACAGAAAGAAUGACACUGUGAUAAAAGGUUUGAAAGUCAUAGAAGACAGCAGAUAGUCAGUUAGCAGGUAAAAGAGGAUGAAAAGGAUGAUAGUCUUUAACAAUUUUGAAAAUUAUACAAAUACAUCUUACAAAGAUUAUUUUCAAUCUAUAUUAAACUUUAUGAAGAAUAUUAUUCUAUAAGCACUCAACAAUUUUAGGAUUACAAGAUGGAAGAAAUAAUUUUCUAAAAUUGAGGAAAAUGAAUUAGUUAUACUUUAUAUUUUUUAAGUUAAAAUUUUUGAUAAAUAGGUAUAACAUGAUAUGUUGAUAAAUAAGUUUACAAUGGCUCUAUCAUGUAAAUCAUUAUAAAUUAAAUUAUUUUAUUCAAAUUGUUAUCAUAUAUUGACAAAAUAAUAGUACCGAUUGUAUUUCAAUUCAAAACAAAACUUAUAUAUUCUGACCCGUGUAAUGUACGGAUUGUAUUUCAAUUCAAAACAAAACUUAUAUAUUAUAGUAGAAGAUAUAGUCUAUGAAAAAGGCAAAAAAAAACAAAGAAGUGCAUGUUUAACAUGUUAAAAAAAAAUUAUUUUGUAAUGAUUUACAAAAUGGUUUGUAUUAAAUUUUUCAAAAUGAUUUAUAAAAAAUUUUUCAAAGCUGCCAAGCGGUGCUGGUGGGGCUGCUUCCAUGCUCCAUGGCACUGCUUAAAAUUCUAGCAAAUUCCCUGCUCCAUGGCACUGCUUGCUUCCAUCAUUCUUGAUGUACACAUACCACUUCCCUGUAAGCCGUGCAGCAACAAUAUUGCCAACUUGUUUGGAUAGACUGGGAGGGAUAGUCCCAUUAAGAAAAUUGGUAUUAAGAUCCAACCAAAGCAAGCUACGGCAAUCCUCUAAUUCUGCAGGAAUAUUCCAAGACAACGAGUUGUUUCCGAGCUUAAAAAUCACAAGAUUUGACCACUCAACUGGUUAUUUCAGAGUGAAAUCUAAUUCAAAUUCGUACAAUUGUUGAGACUAACAGGGGUUGAUCCAUUCAGAUCAUUGAAAUCAAGAAUCAGAUUCUCUAAGCAAGUACAUUAGCUCUUGUGGGAUUUCUCCGUAAAGCUGAUUUAACGAAGCAAUCAAAUCACGACGCUGAGAUAUGAUCCCAAGCUAGAUGGGAUUGUCCCAGUCAAGAAGUUAAAACUGAGAUCAAGGGAUUCCAACUUGAAACAAUUACUCAGACUCUCUGGUAUUGAACCGGUGAGCAAAUUAUUCUGAAGACACAACACUUGCAAAUUGUUCCUGGGUCCUGACAAAUCCCAAAUGAAUCACCUUAGAUUGUUAGAACUCACAUCCAAAGUCUCCAAACUGACCAUCUUGGACAAAGAUUCAUGCAAAGAAACAAUGAAAAUAUUGAAUAACAAGGACAAAUUCUUCAAGUUACUCAUCUUCACAAGGGUAUCAACAGGUAAUUCACCAGAAAAUUUAUUGUUUGAGCUAUAAAAUAGUUCCAAAACAGAGCAUGCACCAAAGCUUUCAGGGACAUUACCUGACAAAUUAUUGCAGGACAACACCAACUCCACCAAGCUUGGACACAAAUCAGACAUAUAAGGUGGUAAACACCUUGGAAAUCAUUUCCUCCCAGAUACAAAAACAGCAUAACCCCACCAGCACCGCUUGGCAGCUUUGAAAAAUUUUUUGUUUUUGUUUUGGGUUUUGGAUAUUUCUCACAAAACUUAUCCGUCGGUUAAUUUUUAUUACAGCCCCACCAUCGAAAUCCCUAAAAUACCCCUUUAGGUUGCUCAAUUAGGAGUUUGAAGGAAAUUAUAUGGUGGCUCCGCCGCUGAGUUCUUUGAUUGGAACUGAAAUAUAAGUUUAAGGAUCAAAUUAGCUACAAAUAAUAUAUAAAGAUGAAAUCGACGGAAAAAAAAGUUUAGGGACUAAAUUGACCAUUUUCCCUAUACUUUAUCCUAUACUAUAAUAUAUAAGUAUUGUUUUGAAUUGAAAUAUAAAUCAGUGCAUUGCAUUGUCAGAAUGCUAGUGAAUAGUGUAUUAAAAAUGUAGGAAAAUUGGUACCUUCUCAUAUGGCUAAAUGAAAAAGUUAAUCAAGGGUUUGUCGACAUUUGAAAGAUUAAUGAUUUCACACCCUCAAGAUAAGGAAUUAGGGCUAUUGUAAAAUAGGGGGCUGCAUGCAGUACAUGCGGCCCUUAGUUUCUAAAAAAUAAACAUUUCUAAAAAUGUUCAAAAAUAAUAAUAAUAAAGAAAGGUGUUUAGUAGCUGCAUAUAAGCGGUGCCGAUUUUUGUUGAUUUUGCCAAAAUCGGCACCCCUAAAUGAAGAAAAGAUCCACCACCUCCCUUAUUUUUCCGAUUUUCUUUUAAAAUUUUUUUAGCAAUAUUUUGAGAAAUAUUAUCCUAUUCGAAUACUGGGGAUGCAAAGAGUAUUUAGAAUAUUAUCCGAUUAGAAUUACUAUAUAUCUAAUUUAUUUGCAAGUACUCGCUUCAUGAAAAAUUUUAUGUUAGACAUGACCAACUACUUGGUAUGUAGGACAAAUUAGUAAAAGCUUCAUUUGGGCGUACAAAGUUCCAACUCACAUUUCAAAUUUCACAAUCAGGUGUAUAUGGUAAAAUAAAAAACCAAUCAAGCAAAUACAAAGCUUAAAAUUUUCCCCUAUUUAAAAAGAUAAAUAGGAAGCCAGAUAAUUAUUUAUAAAUUCAAGGAAAGAAUACGACCAAUAAUUCAUCAUCAUGGUGGAGAAGCAUACUAACUUCAGUCCACAUGAUUGAUCACGGAGGAGUAGCCAUGAGGAAGGCAAUACAUUUCUACAAAAAUUGCAACUAAAAUAACCAAAAAUUUUGGAAAACUUUUCUCAGACUUUGCUCACCCUAAUGUUUUUAAAUUGUAUUUUUGCACUUAAACAGUUUUGGCUUAAUUUAUCGAAUGUUCUCUUCACCCUUUUGCCUUCUUAUGUAGAUGGAACCAUAGAACUUUUAUACUAUGUUGUAAAAAAGAACAAAGAGUAAUUGGCAUUAUUCUGUAUCCAAACAUACAAAAUUGUGUUCAAUUGUUCCGAAACUCACGAUUCCCGUGAAAGUUGCUUCUCUGACUUAAAAGUUAGUAUUGCACGUCAGGAUAACGAAAUAUACAUUAAAUAUGCCCAUCUCAUAUUAUAAUCAUAAUGGACAUCAUUCUUAAGUAUAGUUAAUAAAUACUCGUAUUAUACCUAUUUAAUACAUGUUCAUAUAUAUAUAUUAGUUUAAAAAUAUUCUAAAAAACACUUUUACCUUUCAAUUCACCGUAUAAAGCAUGUAAUAAACUUUUAACGUAUUAUACUUCAUGAAUUAUAUUUCAAUUUUUGAAAAAAAUUAAAAUUUGAAUAAGGAUAAUGACAUACUUUUGAAUUAUAUACAAAAUAAGAGCAGUGUACAUCAUAAUAACUAGAAAAUUAUACAUAUUUAAGUAAUAAAAUAAUAAAAUAUUAAUAUAUUUAAUGUAUCAUACACAAAAUUUAAGUAAAUUUAAUAAUAAAUUUAAUAAUAACGUAUCAUACACACUAUAAUAAAUUUGAGUAAUAAAAUUUUAAUAAAUUUAAUGUAUCAUACACAAAGUAAGUUUAAAAUUCAUAUAAAUAUAGCACAAUCUUUGAAACAUAAAGUAAAUUUAUCCAUAUUAACUAUGCCCAUCUCAUAUUAUAAUCAUAAUGGACAUCAUUCUUAAGUAUAGUUAAUAAAUACUCGUAUUAUACCUAUUUAAUACAUGUUCAUAUAUAUAUAUAUAUAUAUAUAUAUAUUAGUUUAAAAAUAUUCUAAAAAACACUUGUACCUUUCAAUUCACCGUAUAAAGCAUGUAAUAAACUUUUAACGUAUUAUACUUCAUGAAUUAUAUUUCAAUUUUUGAAAAAAAUUAAAAUUUGAAUAAGGAUAAUGACAUACUUUUGAAUUAUAUACAAAAUAAGAGCAGUGUACAUCAUAAUAACUAGAAAAUUAUACAUAUUUAAGUAAUAAAAUAAUAAAAUAUUAAUAUAUUUAAUGUAUCAUACACAAAAUUUAAGUAAAUUUAAUAAUAAAUUUAAUAAUAACGUAUCAUACACACUAUAAUAAAUUUGAGUAAUAAAAUUUUAAUAAAUUUAAUGUAUCAUACACAAAGUAAGUUUAAAAUUCAUAUAAAUAUAGCACAAUCUUUGAAACAUAAAGUAAAUUUAUCCAUAUUUUUAGUUCUGUAACUUUUAAAUAUCUAUGUCUAUAUGUAUUGUAGGGUGGGUUUUUAGGAUGGUUAAAUCAGAAUGCUUACAACUCCUCAUUCUUUUUUUUUAAUAGAAUUUUAAAUUUUUUAAAUUGUUAUAUAUCCAUUCAUGUGUUUUGAAUUUAAAAGUAAGAAGUGACCCCCUUAUAUAGGAAUUUGAUUUGAAGUCUAUUAAUGAGGGUAAAUAAAGAGGAAAAAUCACCAACCCUACUAAAAGUAAAAAAGUAAAUAAUAAUAUUUUACCCUUCAACUUAGUAAUCCUAAUUGAAAGGACAAAUUAUAUAGAAAAAAAAAGAAAAUAAUAUUCAUUGGUCAUGGAUUUAAAAUAUCAAUAAUGGUGCCAUUUGUGAAUCCUAAAUUUUGAAAUCAUUGAAUAAAACACAAAGUAAUACUAGCCUAAAAAAAAUUAUGGAUUUAAAGGGUUUGGGAGAUUGGUGAAGGGAAAAUAGUAGGAAAUUGGGUGGCAGUGAUAGAAAACUAGAGGCUAGCUAUAGACGAGGGAAAGACAAUAACGAAGAGUUAAAGAGUGGCGGGAAAAAUCAAAAAAGGAAGGUGAACUGUUACAAGAUUGAAUGAAGAGAGGGGAGAAGAAAGGAUGAGAUUGUGGAGAUAUGACAGGAAGGAUGGCACUGUGAUAAAAGAUUUGAAAGUUAUAGAAUGCAGCAAAUAGCUUGUUAGCAGGUAAAAGGGAAUGGAAAGGAUGACAGUCUUUAAUUAUUUUGAAAAUUUUAAAAACACAUCUUACUAAGAUUAUUUUAAAUUUGUAUUAAAGUUUAUGAAGAAUAUUAUUCUAUGAGCACUCAACAAUUUUAGGAUUACAAGAUAGGAGAAAUAAUUUUCUAAAAUUGAGGAAAAUGAAUUAAUUAUACUUUAUAUUUUUAAUGUUAAAAAUUUUGAUAUAUAGGUAUGACAUGAUAUAUUGAUAAAUAAGUUUACAAUUGCUCUAUCAUGUAAAUGGUUAUAAAUUAAAUUAUUUUAUUCAAAUUGUUAUCAUCUAUUGACAAAACAAUAGGUUAACAAAAUUUGGUUUCAACUUAUUUAAGAUAUUAAAAUUAAGAAAGUCCAUUUUGUAUUUACGAAAUAAAUUUUUUUUAACAUGUUAAACAUACACUUUUAUAAUUUUUUUGCCUUUUUCAUAUACUUUAUUCUAUACUAUAGUAUAUAAGUAUUGUUUUGAAUUGAAAUAUAAAUGCUAGUGUAUAUACAAUUUACGUACGAAUUUAUAUACGUAAUCUUGCCGACCAUGCAUUUAUAUGCUAAAUUGUUAUCUGAAAGCAUUUUUAUGCCAAAUUGUUACUGGAAAAAAAAUUCCAUAUAAUAUUUGAUCUCUCAAAGAGAGGCGUUGUGGCGGAGUUCAGCUUAAACGUACUUUCUAUGUGCAAGUUAUUGUUCAUUGCUUAUUGUUUUAAGUGUAUUUGUCAUUCGAUGGUUAAUUUAUAUGCCCCUCUCAAUGGCCAAGACUAGGCUUUUUUUUUUUUUGACAACCACUAGGCUUAAUUCAUCUAACGGGCUAGAAUGUGCUAUUUAUUGGAUUUUAGUGUCAAUUUAAGCUGUUUCUUGAGUUUUGUGCCCGUCUCAAUGGCCAUGACUAGGCUUGAUUUAUGUAACGGGCUGAAAUGAGCUGUACAUUGGAUUGUCGUGUCAAUUUAAUCUGUUUCUUGGUUAGAUUCUUGCUUGCGUUUAUUAAAACAUGUCUAACAAUAGUGGUAGUGGUCAAUAACGGAACCAGGAUUUCUAAUUUGGGAAAGGGGUGAAAAUUAAUAUAUAAUUUUAGAGGGAACGAACUUAAUAUCAAAAGAAUUUUUUAUAUUAGAACUUUAUAAUUGCAAAUCAAUUGAAAGAGAAACCAAACUAUUCAAUAUUCGAAUUGCAAAGAGCUCAUUUGAGUUUGUGUCCCCAAUUAAUCAAACAAAACAUAAAUAGCAUAUCGUAUCAUGUAAAAUUUUAAAUCCAAAACAAGCUUGACUCACAUAAAGUAAUAUUUGAAAAUUAUGUGUAAUAUUUAAUCAAGCUUGGUUCAAUAUUUUAAGCCCUUUAAAUAAAUAGACAAGAUUAGUGUUUGACUUCAUUAGACUCUUUUACACUUCGAUUUGCAAGUAUUUUUGAAACUUUACCACAUUCUCAAGCUUGGAGGUGCAAGUAAAUAAUAUGAUAAUAAUUUCUUAAAGUUAAAUUCAUAAUAAAAAUAUAAUUUUUCAAAUUUAUAGAGGGACAAAUGAGAUUUGCAAAAAUCUUGGGGGCCGUUGCCCUUUCCCACCCCACGCGGUUCUGUCUUUGGUACUAAUAUUUCCAUUGAUUUAGUUUUCGCUUUAAUAGUUAAUGCAAAUGGCAAUUGUGAAAAUCAAUUGCAAAUGGCAAUUGAUUUAGUAGGAAGAAGGUGGAGCAGCAUGUAUUACAGAACAGAAAUAAGAAAUGAAAUCUCUUAUUGGGUUUUAUAUUGACCAAAAAAAUAGGUGAACUUCAAGACAGCAAAACCAUCUAAUGUUUUGUGAACUCUUACUUCUACAGAUUGUACUGAUGUGCUCAUCAGUAUAUGCCAUGAACUAUAAAUUGGGAAUAUGAAGGUUUCAAUGUAGUUUUUUUUAAGCAAGGUUUCAACGUAGUUAAAACUUACCUUCUUAAACAUGCAAAGAUUUGUGAAGUAAUAUUUAUUAAGGUGGAUUAGCAAUUAUGGAUUUUAUAGGGAUCAAUCAAGUCUUGAAUCACUUAUGUUGACUAAAUUAUGUUGGAACUCAUUGCAAAAAAAUUUGUUAAAUAAGCUUAUUAUACUGGCUGAUAAAAUAAUUAUAAGUAUUUUCUCUUGUAUUUAUGGUUGCACUAAUCAAUUCUUAUCUUAUAAAUUUGUGUAAUUGUAUCACAGGCUUAACCAAAAAUUUUGUUCACCCUCUUGCGAGGCCUAUAAGCUGGUAAGCCAGAAAAAGUAGCAGAAUUUGUGUGAUUGUAUCACAGGCUUAACCAAAAAUUUUGUUCACCCUCUUGCGAGGCCUAUAAAUUCAGGGCAUCACUCUGAAUCGGCCGCCCAAGCUUCUGUUAGAAAACUCCUCAAAAUAAGAACAAAAAAAUGACAAAAAAAAUCGAAGGAAUCAUUUGUGCCAUGAAUUCAUUUUUUGAAUCUUUUUUAUUAUUAUGUUUGUGUUUAACUAAAUUAUCUAUAGAAUAAAUAAUAUAUAAAGAUAGAGCCAAUUAUUGGUAUAAACAAUUGUUGAAAUUAUGCCUACAUAACUACUCAUAACAACCUGUAGUAAUAUUCAUAACUAUCGCGCCCCAUUUUUCGCGAUGGAAAUAAAAAGUAUUUACAAAAAGAGGUGAUUUAUUUAAAAAUAAGUGAAAAGGACCUAAAAUGGGACUUUAAAGAAUGCGACAAUUUGGGUCCAAAAUUUAGUCUAAAAGGAUUUUUAAGAAAAAAGAGGAGUCACCACUUGGUAUUGAGUUUUGGUGUACCAAGUCACCCAAAAGUAUUUUUUAACAAAAAUAAAAUAAAAUAAAACCCUUUUCAACAAUUCCAGGUUUUUGAAAAACAAGAGAAAAUGAGUUCGGGAGUCACAGUUGAAGAAAGGGAGGGCAAAUGUUCGAUUAACUUAAACCUAAGGCACCCUUUCAAUCAAGUCUAAGCUAGUUGCAAGGUUUAGCAAAAAAUUUUCUUAAUCUAACCCUUAAAUUUAUCACAUUUGGAUGUUUCCUAUACGGAUGCAAAUCUAAAUUUAUAAAAUAUCGAAAGGAAGAAAAUAUCCAUUCAAGAGUUUAAUUGAUACCAAUCGCAUUAAUUGCGAAAGCCAAAAUAAUUCAUUGAAGGUGUCACGAGUAUGUGAACGAUGAAAUUAAAAAGAAAAGAAAAUUAAAUUAUAUAUAGAUAUAAGUGGCCAAAGAAUUGGAAUGCAAUAUAAUGGGUACGGUAGACAAAAACUUGUGACAUAAUUCUCUUAUACAGGGAUCGAUGGGGUAUUUAAACUAAAGAGAUAUAAUCACCCAUAUCCAUGUUCAAAGAAUAAUUCUCCUUAUAUGAACAAGCAAAUGAACUAACUUAUUCUACAACUUCUUAAAUAAGAUACAAUUCUAAAUGAUAUGAUUAACACAUAUAGAGAAUAGGGGGUAAAAUAAUAGGGAAUAUUAUACAAAUGAGAAAAGAUCCUAAAAAUGAAAAUAUGCAUGAAAAUGUAAUAAAUAUCACACAAAAAUGAAUCUAAUGCAUGAACAAUCUAAGGGUCUAGCGUUGGACUAGCUCAUUUCUAAAAAAUCCUUACUAGCGUUAGACUAGCAAGUAAACGGAGGGAGAAACCACAACUAGCGUUGGACUAGUGUAGUGACGUCAUGCAUUAAUAAUACAUAGUAAAAUGAAUAAGGUAUAAAUUAAAACAAAUAAACACAUAAAAGCAUAGAGCACGUAACACGUAAACAUAAUAUCUAGAUGCAAAAAUCCUAAGGAAAGCGGAUAAAGCAUAUAACACAUAAGCCACAUAAACACACAACUUACCUAUUACAUCGGGAAGCCUAACUACAAUAUAAAUGGGGUAAAGUAUGAGAUAAACCUACCUAUUCUAUUUAUUAUAUUGGUCUAUCUAAUUACAAUUUUUGUAAAAAAUAUUACCUAUCUAUUACAUCUUGAGGUUUUUAAACACCUCUCAAAUAAUUAAAAACUUAACUAAACAAACUUAAGAAAAUUGGAAUAAACAUUUGAAUCAAACAAAUAACAAAACAUAUAAAAAUAUAUAAACACAUAAGAGCACAUAGAAGCACAUAAGAGCAUGUAAUUGAUAUUUAAAUGAUAAUAGGGGUACCUCUCUUUUGAAGUGGUGACUAAAUGGAAGUUAAAUUGCCCUAUUUAUACUCAAAAUGAACAAAAGAAUCGUGUCACCAAUUUAAUUGAAAAUAAUAAUAAUGAUAAAAAUACUAAAUUCACAUUAAUAUGUCAAAUAUAAAGAAACUUAAGAACAUCUAAAAAUUACAAGUUAAAUAUAUUUAAAAGUAACACAAUUAGCUAUUAAAGAAAGCGGGGUUUUCUGAAGGGGGGGCAGGGUUUAGAACCUCCUCUCAUCGGGGAGGGGGUCCUCUUUUGAGAGUUGGGAUUUCGGGAUCCACUGCUGAUGAACUAAUUGAUCAGGGAUGAGAUGUGAGAGAGGAAUCCAUCUCCUUCUUUGGUAAAAAAUUGACAGGGUGUCGAAACCUGCACAAUAAUAAAAUUAAACCUAAUUACCAGUUAAAAUGACCAAAACCCAAUUCCAAGUACUGGAGCAGGGACUCUAGGUGUGCAAUGGGUUACUUGAUUCACCCUGUUUCCGAAGAGUUUGCUUGAUCCGAUAUACCCGAAUGAAAUGGUUAUUUCUUUUCACAAAUAAUUAUGAAUUUGUAGACAGGGCAAGUAGGGUCGUAUCCACAGAGACUGGGUAUAUUUGUUUAUUAAGAAAUCCAAAGUAACACAGGGGGGUGAUUUUGUAGGAACGACGACAAUCAAAUAAAUUCAAAUAAGAAAAUAAAAAUAAAUAACUAACUAGAAAUUAAACCACAAGUCACUGAACUUAGAAUAGCAUUAAUUAAAGGCCUAAAUCAAUUAAAACAAAGAAACAAUUAAAAAUAAAAUAAAGUAGGCAACUAAAAGUCAAAUGGCAAUUCACCAAAAUCAAGGUAAUAUUAAUUAAAGGUCUAGCCAAGAAAUAACUUCGGCAAUGGUUCACCUAAUUGAUCAUCGAUGCAAGGGUAAUUCCAAUUAUUCAUCAAUAAAUAGGUUAUAACUACCAAACAAGUGAUGACAGUCAACUUCUCCUUACUGUGUCGGUGAUUAAGGUACGCCCGUUAAUCACUGCUCUAAUUAGGAAAUAAUCCUAGGUACGCCCGUAAGAUUUAAAUCCCCAAUUGCCUUACGUAUUAGAGAAGCCCUAUUCUAAUCAAAUAACGCACUACCAAGGUUAUUUCAGAUUAGCCCGCGUAUCCCCCUGACACGAAUCUAAUCGUGCCAGUUGUCACUAUUUCAGGACAAUUAAACAAUUACGGAUUUAAUGCCCUAAUUGACAAUAGAUUACCAAAUCAAUUAAUUAUCCGGAUCCAAGACAAUCGAUUAAUUAAAUAACUAUAAGCUUAGCAAUCAAGGAAUACGCGAAUACCAAUAAAUAAAAGAAAAAGAUUAAAUUAAAUCGAUCUCACAAUUUUUAGGCGAACCAGAGCCUUCGUAGUUUCUUGACUAGAGUGAAAAGAUUAGUUCAUGUUUAAUGCGAGGAACCCACGCAAAAUUGAAGAGAGAGCUGCGGCCAUCAAUUGAGAAAAUGCCCAAGUUCAAUUCGGUCAAAGGAAUAAAGUACACCUAAGUUGCAGAGGAUGAUUUAAUGUCCUCGCUUGUCUGCUCAUACGAAGGAAGAAGAAAAAGAACAACUAAAAGCUACAAAAGGGGAGGUCAAAGGUUGAUGCCUCCUUUCUCCUCACAUACGUGAGAAUGACUACUCUAGGCUAAGAAAAGUCAAAAGUGAAGCUAGCUAAAGGACGAAAAGCUGAGGAAGCCGGAUAGCUCCUUGGCCUCUGCAAUCUUUUUGGUUUUUAUCCCCUGCUUCCCUCAGAUGUGCGGCGGCUCCAAUCCCCCAAGGGAGACUUCAGCCCAUUUACCCAAAAAGGGCUUGCAUUUUGUUGUUCCAAAAAUGUCCCUAGGACAAACUCUAUCAUCUGGACUUUUUUCCUGCCAAAUUGGCACAUGUUAUUAUAUUUUGGUUCUACUCCCUGAAAUAAAUGCAAAAUACUAAAAGUAAGUAGAAUCCCGCAAUUAAUCCACAUCAAGUCAAGUAAUAGGAGAAAUUAAUAAUAAAAUAAAUGAUAAAAUUGCAACCUAUCAAUUCCCCCCACACCUAAACCAUGCUUGUCCUCAAGCAUAAGAAUAGCAAACGAAUACCAAAAUUUGAUAAUGGUCAUUGCUCUAUCUACUAUAUUGCCAAGAUACCAAGGAAUGCUAUAUAUAUCAAGCAUUAGUGAUCAAGAUCCGAUAGACUUCACCUCGGUUAGCUUCUAAAUCACAAAUUCCUUCAAUUUCCAAAUUAGCUAAUCUAGGAUAAAGGAAUGGCACACAACAUUUAUCAGCUAAUGGUCCAAAUAUUCACACAAGUCUCCAUAUUAAGUUCAUAAACCGGCAAGGUUUUCUAUUAUUUAUUCACUCCCUUUUUUUUUGUUGAGAAAAUAAUAAUAACACAAAAGAAACUUAGUCUCUAGCCGUUGGAGCCUUUUGACGCAAACUCCAAUAUUUUUAGAUGAAGGAGCCCGGUUACUCAGCUCCUACCGCUAUACGACCACGUACUCAUAGAAAGUAUUACCUUUUGACGCGAGAAUCGACACUUUUAAGUGCAGAUCCCCGGUUACUCAAUAAUAACUAAUAGCGGAGUAUAGUCAAAAUUAUUCACAGCCAAACAACGCCAAAAACGCAAAAUAACAACACUAAAAACCAAAAAUAGGAGCAGCUCGCCUCAUUAUUACCAAACAUAGAGAGCUAGAGUCAAUAUUGGAUCAAUUCACAUUAAAACGCCAACAGUCAUUCCCUAUGUUUAGAAAAGUUAACAAAGAAAUCAAAAGAGUCAAGCAGUCCGAUAUUCACCAAGAAAAUGUCUUGGACUCAACCACAUUAACUCGACACAUUUUUUUAUUAAAACUUGGCAAAAGUAAAAAUAGGGAUAAUAAUCCAACAUCAAAUUUUUGGCAUUCACACGAGAGCUCAUCACUAGAAAGAAAGAAAAUGACUGAAUGGAAAUAAACCAAAAAAAAAACUAAAAAGAAAGAAAAAACACCUAAAAACUAGAAGCUACGAAAAACUAGAACCACAACUCACCCCCCCACACCUAAAUGACACAUUGCCCUCAAUGGGACGAAUAAACAGUAAUAGCAAGAAGAAUGGCAACGGUACUUCCCUGAGGUCGUCAAAACAUCGGCGAGUGAGGCCCAAAAGGAGGAGGAAAGCUGACGUGCUGCAUAAAUGCCGCUAGUUUCUGGGCAAUAUUGGCCACAUUGGUGUCAAGAUUCUUCACUCCAGCAUCCAAAGUGUCAACCUGCUAACAUUAGCAAUUGAUCCAAGAAAUGGCAACUCCAGCAACAGCAGUUCAGAAGUUGGACAGAAAUAACUCAAUCAACUCCAGCAACAGCAGUUCAGAAGUUGGACAGAAAUAACUCAAUCACAAAUGCCCAGUGGUCACAACUCGAUCAAUUAGGCAACCAAUAACACAAGAUUAACAAAUGUUAAACAACCACCAUCGCCAGUACCACUGGUUAAUGCACAGGGAAAAAUUAAAUCAAAUGGCUAGCCCAAAUCACUUGAUAAAUCCAAACACACCAUUCAGUACCAAGGAAUAGUAGAGAUUAAAAUGGGAAUCAAUUGACAAGUAACUCCCUAAAUCGCCCCCAAAUAAUGCACCAAUUUUACUCAACGGGACUAGAGAUAGUGCUAGUGCUCGAAUAAAUCAACAAAUGUCCCCAAUUCAAGAAAUCAACAACUCAACUUAACAUCACUUAGGAAGCUCGCAACUGCUACUAGAAUGUCUCAUGGAGCAAAUGAACCACAAAGCCUUCAAUGGAGCCCAAAAAAUUGACAACUAAGAAUGCAAAAGACUAAAGGACAACUCGGAAACAGAGGGACUCAGAGAUACCUGCCCACUGCCCAAGCAGUGGGUAGCAGAACCGGCAAGGGGCAGCGGCGGCGGUCCGUGGGUGUGCGCAGUCGUGACUAGGAGAGUAGGAGCUGUGAUGAGCUGGUGGAUGUGCACCAGUGAGGUCGAGAGGCACGCGAGGCUUGUUACUGCGACGAGCUGGGUUGCCACGGCUGGCGUGUGACGGCGGCGAACGAGGUGGAUGAAUCACGCGCGGUGAAGAGGAGGAGCGGCAGCCGUUGUCGAGGCCGAAAAAGAAAAGAAAAUGGAAAGAGGAUAGUGGAGGAGAAGAGGAAGAAAAGGGAAAGAAAGAAAGGAAAGAAAAGAAAGAAAGAAAGAAAGAAAAAGAAAGAAAAGAAAGAAGAGGGAAGAAAGAAAAAGAAAAAGAAAAAGGAAAUAGUUUUUUUCUCAUUUUAUUUUUUUUGUUCUCUUUUUAGAAAUUUUUUUUUACAGGAAGACUCUCCCCUUUUUUUUUAAUUACUAAAAAAAAAAAUUUUUGAAAAUUUUUUUAUAUAUAACUUUUUUUUAUUAUUGACAAAAUUUAUUUUUGAAAUUCAAAAGUAGAGAUUAACAGAAGAUCAAUAAUCGUUCUUGAUUUUUUUGAAUACUUACCUUUCCCGCGAACAUGACGCGGACAUGUCAUGAAGGCACGGAAUCUGGAGCUCUUCAAGUUACUUGACGCGGGCACGUCAUGAGGGUAAGAACCCCUUCUGACGAUUCUGAUCAUGAGCUCUCCAUACAUCAUGACGCGGGCGCGUCAUGAGGGCAAGAGCCCCUUCUGACGAUUCUGACGUGAGCUCUCCAUAUGUCAUGACACGGGCGCGUCAUGACAGAAGGACACCUACAAAUCAUCAAAAACGAAAAUUGAAACCCGAAAUCAGUUAAAUUCAAGAAAAAUAUAUUUAAACUAUCACACGAAAUCAAAACAAACAAUUAAAAGAAACAAUUGGGUUGCCUCCCAAUGAGCGCCUUUUUUUAACGUCUUUGGCUAGAUAUUGAACACCACUCUUCAAUCUGGGUGUAACUCAAUUUUUCUGGAAAUCGGUGGCCCUCCUCCAGGAUCCAAAUAGCCUUUGAGUGCAGCUCUCUUUCUAAAUUUUCUACUCAUUUUCACCUCAUACAGUGCUUUCAUCCCCUUAUACUUGUUCUCAGUAAAUUUGAAUUUAUCUCUACAAGCAAACUCAGAAAAUUCUUGCACAGAGGGAUUAAUAGCAUGAAUAGCAAACACAGGGUGAGAGUUAAAAGGAUGUUCCAUUGUAUCAAAAAUAUUAAAGUGGACUAGUUCUCCAUCAAAUUCCAUGGACAAUGUACCCUUAUUAACGUCAAUUUUUGUCUGUGCUGUGCUCAAAAAGGGCCUACCUAGUAGCAAAGGUGAGGGGUUAGGGGAAUGAUCAUCAUCCAUAUUAAGUACAUAAAAGUCAGUCGGGAAUAUCAAUUCAUUAACUUUAACCAGCACAUCCUCUAUCAACCCAUCAGGGUAUGCAUUUGUUCGGUCAGCUAAUUGAAUUAUUAUCUCGGUUUCUUUUAAUGAACCGAGAUUCAGAUAAGCAUACAUAAAUUUAGGCAUUACGUUGAUUGAUGCUCCUAAGUCCAGUAGGGUAUUCCUAAUCAGAGUAUUACCUAUCUUACAUUGGACAGUAAACCUACCUGGAUCCCCGCACUUUGGUGGAAGCUUCCUUUGGAGAACUGCUGACACAUUCUCCCCAACAAUGAUCCUUUCGUCUCCCCUCAACCGCUUUCGGUUGAUACAUAAGUCCCUCAAAAAUUUUACAUAUUUCGACACUUGUUUGAUGCAUCUAAUAAGGGGAUAUUGAUCUCUACCUUGCGGAACACCUCUAGGAUCUCUUUCUCUUUGUCCUGCUUUUUCGGUUUCUCCAACCUGCAAGGUAAUGGAGGGGGAUCAGUUUUAACGUCUAUGAUCGGGUCAGGGAGUACCACUGGAUUUUUGGUGCUUGUAUUCUCUGCCUGAAGUUCUUUCUCAAUCUUCUCUUCACCCUUAUCCUUUGGAGUCACGAGUUCGGGCCCUUGAAUUUUCUUCCUGCUCCUUAAAGUCAUUGCACUUACGUUCUUUAGGUUCAGUUCAGAUUGGGAUGGCAAUCUUCCAUUUACUUGGGACUCCAAAUGGUUGAUUUUUGUGGCCAUUUGACUUAUCUGAUUUCUUAUGUCCUGUAUUUCGGAUUCCGUCCUUUGCUGAUUUUGCGUAAUGGUUGCCACCAGUUGUUUCAUCAUCUCCUCCAAAGAUGGACCAGAGCUUGAGGGCAGAGGUGGUCGGGGUUGGUACUGCUGCUGGUACCCCCUGGUUGUUUAUUUGGUACGAAAUUAGACUGUCUGUUUCCUCCAUAGCUGAGGUUGGGGUGGUUCCUCCAACCAGGGUUGUAGGUACUUGAAUAAGAGUCAUAGGGCUUUCUUGAUGCGGGCGCGUGAUCAGCCAUAUUCACUUGUUCUGCACUUCCUUCUUGAAUCAUUGGGCACAUCUCCGUGGAGUGACCCAUACCAGUGCAAAUCCCGCACACCUUAGCCCGAGAUGCAUUUCCUACAGCUAGUUGUCUAACAAAAGAAGUCAACUCAGUCAACUGCUGCUGGAUAGAAGAUGUCUCUACCUCAUUUACCUUGCGUAUUGGGACAUCCUCUCUUGUACCGAAUUAUUGUGAAUUCUUUGCCAUCCCCUCUAUUAACUCCCGUGCUUCCCGAGGAGUUUUGUUCACCAGUGCCCCUCCGCUUACAGCAUCAAUUAUACUCCUAUCUCUGAAAAGGAGCCCCUCAUAAAAAUACUGUAUGAGCAACUGCUCACUUAUCUGGUGCUGGAGGCACUUGUUGCACAACUUCUUGAACCGCUCCCAAUACUCAUAGAGUGACUCCCUUGGAUGCUGCUUGAUCCCGCAAAUUUCUUUCCUUAGACUUGCAGCCCUAAACACAGGAAAAUAUUUAUCCAAAAUUUUUUUCUUUAAUUGGUCUCACGUGGUGAUGCUACCUGGUGGCAGGUAGUACAGCCAAUCCUUUGCAGAAUCCUUCAAGAAAAAGGGGAAUGCCCUCAUUUUUAUUUGCUCUUCUGUAAUGUCUGGAAGCUUCAUACUAUUGCACACGACAUCAAACUCUUGCAGAUGCUUAUACGGCUCUUCACCUGAUAAACCAUGAAAAGAGGGUAAAAGAUGAAUCAGACCAGAUUUUAGUUCAAAUGAAGUGUUAUCAUUUAAGGUGGGGAAGGUAAUGCAUAAAGGUUGCUGAUUUAAAUCAGGAGCAGUCAACUCCCUUAAUGUCCGUACAUUAGCCAUGGUGCCUUCCUCCUGAUCAGAGUCACUCGAAGUGUCACCAAACGAAUCUGUCGGUUCAACUUCUGACUCAGGUCUCUGAGAUGCAGCACUGGACUGGUCCUCUCUGAGCUAUCUGGUUUCCUUUCUCGUUCUAUGCGCAGUCUUCUCUAUUUCAGGGUCAAAAAAUCAAAUCACCUGUACAAGAAGACCGAGGCAUACACUAAAAAAAUACCAGAAAAUUAGCACAAAAAUAAAUUUAAAAAGAAACAAAUAAUAACGCCAGUCCCCGGCAACGGCGCCAAAAAUUGACAGGGUGUCGAACCCUGCACAAUAAUAAAAUUAAACCUAAUUGCCAGUUAAAAUGACCAAAAUCCAAUUCCAAAUACUGGAGUAGGGACUCUAGGUGUGCAAUGGGUUACUUGAUUCACCCUAUUCCCGAAGAGUUUGUUUGAUCCAAUAUACCCGAAUGAAAUGGUUAUUUCUUUUCACAAAUAAUUAUGAAUUUAUAAACAGGGCAAGUAGGGUCGUAUCCACAGAGACGGGGUAUAUUUGUUUCUUAAGAAAUCCAAAGUAACACAGGGGAGUGAUUUUGUAGGAACGACGACAAUCAAAUAAAUUCAAAUAAGAAAAUAAAAAUAAAUAACUAAUUAGAAAUUAAACCACAAUUCACUGAACUUAGAAUAACAUUAAUUAAAGGCUUAAAUCAAUUAAAAUAAGGAAACAAUUAAAAAUAAAAUAAAGUAGGCAACUAAAAGUUAAAUGGCAAUUCAUCAAAAUCAAGGUAAUAUUAAUUAAAGGUCUAGCCAAGAAAUAACUUCGACAAUGGUUCACCUAAUUGAUCAUCGAUGCAAGGGCAAUUCUAAUUAUUCAUCAAUAAAUAGGUUAUAACUACCAAACAAGCGAUGGCAGUCAACCCCUCCUUACUGUGUCGGUGAUUAAGGUACGCCCGUUAAUCACUGCUCUAAUUAGGAAAUAAUCAUAAGUACGCCCGUAAGAUUUAAUUCCCCAAUUGCCUUACGUAUUAGAUGAGCCCUAUUCUAAUCAAAUAAUGCACUACCAGGAUUAUUUCAGAUUAGCUCGCGUAUCCCCUUGACACGAAUCUAAUCGUGCCAGUUGGCACUAUUUCAGGACAAUUAAACAAUUACAGAUUUAAUGCCCUAAUUGACAAUAGAUUACCAAAUCAAUUAAUUAUCCGAAUCCAAGACAAUCGAUUAAUUAAAUAACCAUAAGUUUAGUAAUCAAGGAAUACGCGAAUACCAAUAAAUAAAAGGAAAAUAUUAAAUUAAAUCGAUCUCACAAUUUUUAGGCGAACCAGAGCCUUCGUAGUUUCUUGACUAGAGUGACAAGAUUAUUUCAUGUUUAAUGCGAGGAACCCACGCAAAAUUGAAGAGAGAGCCGCGACCAUCAAUUGAGAAAAUGCCCAAGUUCAAUUCGGUCAAAGGAAUGAAGUACAACUAAGUUGCAGAGGAUGAUUUAAUGUCCUCGCUUGUCUGCUCAUACGAAGGAAGAAGAAAAAGAACAACUAAAAGCUACAAAAGGGGAGGUCAAAGGCUGAUGCCUCCUUUCUCCUCACAUACGUGAGAAUGACUACUCUAGGCAAAGAAAAGUCAAAAGUGAAGCUAGCUAAAGGACGAAAAGCUGAGGAAGCCGGAUAGCUCCUUGGCCUCUGCAAUCUUUUUGGUUUUUAUCCCCUGCUUCCCUCAAAUGUGCGGCGGCUCCAAUCCCCCAAGGGAGACUUCGGCCCAUUUACCCAAAAAGGGCUCGCAUUUUGUUGUUCCAAAAAUGUCCCUAGGACAAACUCUAUCAUCUGGACUCUUUUCCUGUCAAAUUGGCACCUGUUAUUAUAUUUUCGUUCUACUUCUUGAAAUAAAUGCAAAAUACUAAAAGUGAGUAGAAUCCCGCAAUUAAUUCACAUCAAGUCAGGUAAUAGGAGAAAUUAAUAAUAAAAUAAAUGAUAAAAUUGCAACCUAUCAAAAAUAGGUGAGUUUGGGGUUCCCAUCUAGCCUUUGGAGCUUCUUCUUUGGGGGCGAGAUGUUGGGUAUCGAUCUGGCAGCGGGCUCCAACAAAUAUUUGUUGUCCAAUUUCUAUGGCCAAGGCAAUGAUAAGCAUGCAAGAAGGUCAGUUUUUGGGUGGGGAUGGUUUUCUCUUGGUUAGAAAUUUUUUGGUAAUUUGGCUUGUGAGUAGGGGUUGGUGUGGGACAUUUAGGCCUAUCAACGGUCCGGUCCCCAGACCGGAUCCAUGAAAUUAUUACGGGUACGGGUAGGGAUUUAAUUCUGUUACCCGGAUCCGGAUCCGGAUCCAUUUUGUCAAACGAAAAAACGGGUUGGAUACGGAAUAUAGUAUUCCGACCUGUAUUAUACCCGGAUCCGGAUAUAAAUGGAUUAAUAAUUUAAAAUAUAUUUAUUUAUUAAUAUAAUUUGAUUAGGGUGAUGUAUUUGAAUAAACUUAAUUUGAUUUCUUUUCUUAUUUGGUUUUUUUGUAUCAGUUAAAAAUUAGUUUACAAAUAUAUUUUUUUCUCAUUUUUAUUAGAAAUUGUAAAUUUUGAUAAAUUUUUUCAGGUAGAUCCGACUCAGAUCCGAGGCCCGUCGGUUCCGGAUCCGGAACAUAAAGUAAAAGAUCCGUCGGGUAAACGGGCCGGACCCGGGUCCGGUAUGGUAUGUCAGGCCCGAAUUCGGAAUAAUGAAUUCCAACCGGGAUCCGACCAGUUGACAAGCCUAGAUACAUUGCGUGAAGAAAGAGGCGUCAUAUUAUUAGGGGUUAAAAACAAAAAAGUCUCAUGUGGUGUACCUAAUGUACAGAAAAGCUCCUUGUGGUUUCAAAACAUACAAAACGACAGUUCAUGCUUUGAACUAAAUUGUAAAUUAACAGAAUUCGUUAAACUUAACGAAAAUGACGGUCACAGCCGUUAAACUUACCGGAUUCCGUUAAGUUUACCGUUAAAUUUACCGAAUUCUUUUAAGUUUUUCGUUAAAUUUACCGGAUUCCGUUAAAUUUAACGAAUUCCGUUAGUUUACAAUUUAGUUCAAAAUAUGAGAUAUCGUUUUGUAUAAUUUGAAAUCACGGAGGAUUUUUCUAUGUAUUAGGUAUAUCACAGAAGGUUUUUUUGUUUUUAACCCUAUUAUUAGAAUCUUGGGUUGCUCUCGAGGAUGAGGAGACUUUACUUUAGGAAUUGUAGGAAGGAUUUUUUCCACUUGGAUGCAAGCUAGUUCCUAUCUGUGGCAAGGUUGAGAAGGGAGCCGCAUUGAAAGCAAUAAUUUUUUUUUUUUGCAUGGUAUUUUUCCUAGGAUGGUUGAAAGGUUAGAGAUCGGAAAUAAUGAGGUUUGACAAGUAUGAGACGUUGUCCCGGCAUUAGGUUGACUAAGAGCAAGUUUGGAAGGAUGGGCAGGGGAUUUGAAAUUUGAAUUUGGGGGUAUUGAAACGUUGUUUGAGAUUGAGGCCCAAGUUUGGCCUGCCUAGACAGAAAUCUUUUUACUGGACUUUAGAGGAAAUUUGGGGGCCAGCAUCUAGGAUCCACAUUUGGGUUUUUGAUCAUAGAAGUUGGACUGAUCAAAGGUUGGGUUCCUAUAUUUGCCUUCAUCGGACACACCAAGCCACAAUAGAAACAGAAAUUAAGUCCUUCAUAUUGAAGAGAUUGGGUAAUAUGAUCGAUCUUGAUUGAAUGCUUCAAAGGUUUGCUAAGAUCAAUUUGGAUGCAUAGCCUGACAUAUCUUUCAUCUUCUGAGUUUGCUAUUUUUGCAUCAAUUUUGAUCAGCGUACCUAAUGAAAUCUUUACUAGUGCUAGGACUUCGAAGUCAUAGUAUUCCACCAGUAGUUGCGAGUUGCGACAGUUUGACCCAAGUAGAAGUCAAGCGAGAGGUGUUUUAAUUGACAAUAAAAAUAGGUUGGUAGAUUUGAACCAUGACGAAGGUCUUAUUUAAAAAUCAAGGGUCCCUUUGAGAACUUUGAAAUAGUUUGUAGGGUUUGAGAAUUUGGUGAUGAAAUAGUUUGUAGGGUUUUUUAAUAUGCAUGAUUGCAAGAAAAAAGUGAUAACUGAUCAAAAAGCUUGUCUAAUUUGAGUUUUCAGCUGGAGAGUUACCAAUGGAGCAGAGAGAAUCCGGACACCUACUGGUAUUCGUUUCCCCGAGGGAUUGCACAUUGAGAUUUCAGAGAACAAAUAGAUUUUAAGCCCGGUGUGACGCCGCCACUUCUCCCAAGGGCGAACCCAAGGGUAUCGGCAGAACGCCUGUCCAACUCUCACCAGGACUCGGUACUAAUUUAAUUUACACUCAAUAAUAACCAAUCGAUACUAAAAAUUGAAGAGAUAAAGGAAGGUCAAUUCCUCCAUAAACGUUCAAGUCUUACAUCAUAAUCUACCCAAUUACUUUACAUUCCCAAAAUAUACAGCUUCCAAAAUCAAAUUCUAAACAAAUACAUUCACAAUUCUAAUCAAAUGAAGCAUCAAGUAAGCUUCUCCAGAAUUCCUCCCAUUUCAGCUCCUGUUAAAGAAAACAAAUCUAACGGGGUGAGCGGAUGCUUGUGAGGCCAAGAAAACGUGCAAGAUAAGUAAUUCAAUAGCAAUAGCACUUACACAAUAGUGAAAACUAUAACAUUCAAGAAAUUCACAAUUUAUAAUAAACCCCCUUGAGUAGGAUAUAGGAGUUUUCAGGAGCUAAAUCUUUGUUUACUUUACCCAAGUUCAAUCCAAUACCUUCUCGUGACAACACCCCGUCACUCGGGUAGAUAAUUAAAUUCAUACCACUUUACAUAUUCCAUUUAUGUUUCUGAGAUAACUCGAGAGGCACCUCCCAUCCAAAUCGGUGUGGUACUUACUAUUGCUCAGUUUAUAGGUCUGAGACGAUUUGAGAGGUACCUCCCACCAAAUCGGUGUGGUACUUGCUAUCGUUCAGAGGUCGAUGAGACACCGCUCCAAUCGACUUAUAAUGCUUAAUAGUUCUGAGACGAUUCGAGAGGUACCUCCCACCCGAAUCGGUGUGGUACUUACUAUCGCUCAGUUUAUAGGUUUGAGACGAUUCGAGAGGUACCUCCCACCAAAUCGGUGUGGUACUUGCUUUCGUUCAGAGAUCAAUGUGAUACCGCUCCAAUCGACUUAGAAUGCUUAAUGGUUCAGAGACGAUUCGAGAGGUACCUCCCACCCGAAUCGGUGUGGUACUUGCUAUCGUUCAAAGGUUAAAGGUAUUGAGACGACUCGAGAGCUAUCUCCCACCAAAUCGGUGUGGUACUUACAAUCGUUCAGUGGUCGAUGAGGCAUCGCUCCAAUCGACUUAUACAGCCAUAGCAUAAUUUAUCAUUUCAUUCAAUCAUUCAAUACAUUUAAUCAUUCAUUUCAUUUCAAUCAAGUCAUUCAUGAUUCAGUCAUUUCAAUUCAAUCAAGUUAUUCAUGAUUCAUUUAUUUCAAUUCAAUCAAGUCAUUCAUGAAUCAUUCAAAUGAGAUCGAGUGUGGUAAGAUACAUACUCGACUCAGUAUUUUCAAAAUCUCCAAUCACUAAUAACAAUUAAGCACAUAUCAAGUUUACAUAUACUUGACACUCACCAAUCAAAAACAAAGGAGUAGUGUCCACUUGAGGGUUCAGGCGUCCACUGUGGGAUCCUUUUGAAGGUCCUCUUGAAUGCCUGAGUUAUUAAUAUUGAAUUAUCACUUAGAAACCCCAUUUAUUGAAGAAGAUUGUACUAGAGUACAAUCUACAAAAAUCUCAUGAAAGUGAGCCUUAAUUAAUCGUAAAUCGAGGCUCAAAGGUGGGGUUUUAAAACACAAGAGAGAUCUGGUUUUUAUCUUUGAAAUCAAGUGUAAAAUGAUCAAGUGAUAUCAAAGGAAAAGAGAGAGUUUGAAAAACUCCAUUUCCUUUAAGUUAGGAAUUUUCAGAUUUCUUACACGUACUUUGAAAAAUCGUAUCUCACUCUAUACAAGUCCAAAAUUGGAAAACUUGGUACCAUUGGAAACUACUUCCAAAGUAUUAAAAGUUUCUAGAAGAACUUUUCCAUGAUUCCAAAUGGAUGACAUUCGAAAUGUGGUUCAAGGUGGCUGUUUUGGACCAUUAAGACAGUUCUGGGUUGAUUUUCGGCAAAGUUUGGAAAUUCGGCAAAAUUCGCACAAUGCGAACUAGCCUCUAAAAUUUGGAACUCAAUUAGAGUUACAAUCAAAGUUUAAAAAACAACAGGUGGAAUAGGAAUCGAAGUUUUGAGUAUUGAGAGACAUCAGUCCAAAGUUGGUCACAUUUCGCAAAUUGUUCAGUCAUUUUCCAGAUUUAAAGACUAUCUUUGAAAUAUCAUUUGGCCAUCGAUUUGGCAUUAGAAAUACACCAAAAUUGGUACACUAAAUCCUCCAUGUGUAAACAACAUUUCUACCAAGUUUCAUGCAAAAAUUCCCACGGGAAGGAUGUCAUUAAAAUAGCCAAAGUUCAAGAAAUAUUUCAAGGCUAAUCUGCCUUCUCACUUUUCUUUUGCUUGCAAAUGUUUUGUGCAAUGAAAUCAGUUCUAAAUCACUCCAUUUUCGAAACCAAGAGUCCAUAAACAUCCACUAAGAAAUUUAAAGGUAAUGGACAUCACAAUUUUCUAAAUAUAACUCCCCAAAUCAGAUUUGACCAUUCAGCCAAGAGAAAAGGAAAAGUUUUCCAGAUUUGAAAAGCAAACUUUGGGACAUCUGUUGGCAUCGAGAAGGACUUGGAAUGGCACCAAAUUUGGUAGUAUUACCCUACCAUAUAAGGGCUAUUCCUCUGUCAAAUUUCAUGCAAAAAUUCGUACGGAAGGUCAGUUAACAAAGCCACUAAAGUUCCAAAAAUUUCCAAGACAAAACUGCCUUGUGGUUCCGUUUUCAGUUUCCCAAACGUUUGUCCAACGAAAACAUCUCAAAUAUGAUUCAUUUGUGUAGGCAAUAUCUAAGAAACAUACAAUAUAUAUUUGGUAGGUGAUUAACACCAAGAAUUUUGAAACAACAAGUCCCAAUCAAGAUUAAGGCAUUCAACUAGCCAAAAAGAGGGUUUUUCAUCACUGAGUCAGUUUUGAAAUUUGGCCACAACUCACUCAAUUCAACUUGUAAUUGAGCGUGGUUGGUGGCAUUGGAAACUACAUUUAUAAGGGUACAAUUUCUUAGAAGAAAUAAUUUUAAAAUUCUGUCCACAACUAGUUCAUAUUUGAGCAUCAAAUCGUAACUCAAAACAAGGCUUCCAGUACAGACAAAAAACAGAACAGGCAAGUUUACAGGGUUGGUACAGCUCACUCAGGAUGGAAUCAUGGCAUGAAUUUUAUACCAUUGGAAAACUAGAAAUGUCUAAUUUUAAUGCGACAAACGACACUCGAUUUUGACAUCGGAGCAAAGAGUUAUAUCUGUUUGAAAAACACUGCCACUGCAAUACGGGAAAAAUUCUAAUUUUGAAUGAACUUUCGAAAUCACCACAUUUGGCCAACCAAAUCACGUAAUUUUUUUGUGGAAACCUUCCACACAACCCAUACAAUAUAUAUACAUCAUAAACAAGUCAAUAGAACUUUAAAAAAAAUGCUCUAAAGGUCACGGCAUUCACAGGGGCAGAAAUGGAAAAAUUCUCCCCUUCACUUCCUUUGAGCUUUCAUCCAUAAUAUCACUCAUUUCUACUAAUUUAAGCACUAAUCCAACAUUAUUAACAUCAAAACUCACAAAAUCAGUCCAUCAAGCCAUAGUGAGAGUUCAUAGAGCCCACUCACCAAUUUUCCAACAAUUUAAAGCUACCCAUAAGAAAUUAUGAACUCAUAAGUGCUAAACAACUUCCAUAAGUCAGGAUUUGCAAGGUUGAUCGUCACUUACUUUCUUAGAUGAUUAAGGAAGAAAUUUUGGUCCUCCUUGCUCAAGAAAAACCGUGGAAGUGAAGCUUUCUUCCUAGUCCAAAAUGGUCUCCAAGUUGUAUGAAAGUUGGUUGCAAGAUUUGAGAUGAAAUGAAGCAAGAAUUGAAGCAAAAAUGGAGAAGCUUUGGUUCUUCUUCCUUUCCUUGAUGCACGGCUGCUAUGGUGAGAAAAAGAGAAUUGUUUUGCUGAUGGGAAAGCUUCCUUGAGAAGCUUAUGAGUUUGUGGCCACAAUUGGUCCAAAAGUCAACUCUCCCUCCGCGCGCGCAUGCGUGCGUUUCGUGCUCGAUUCCUCCCGGAUUUGUUUCACUUGUGCACCAAACCUCUAAUGCACUUCUAUUCAAAUUAUUAUUAUUCACUCUUAAUGGUCUAAAAAUAAAGGUCUAAAGUCCUUAAAUUAAUCGCACACGCAAAAAAGCGUAUUUCCGAUUUGUGCGCGAUAAAGUGAAAUUUCCAAGAAAUUCUUAUAACGAUAGAAUCACUAGCUAAUAAUUGAUCACUUAAACAUAAAAUUACCUAUUUCAAGACUAAUGUACAAGUCUCCAAUUUUUCAAGUUUAUUGUAUUCUCGAAUCGAUUAUUGACUCCAAACGCGCAUUCACUAUUCUCAGUUAACGAGCCUUUCAAAAUUAAAUUUUGAAAUGAGUCAUUUUAAAAAUAUAAGCAAGUCAUAAUUCCAUGCGAUUGGGUCUAAAAAGAUUGAAAUAAAUUAUUUCGAGAAAACGGGUGGAUAAAUAAUUAAUUAAGCCAUUAAAAUAAGUAAAAAUUCGGGUCCUCACAUCCGGCAUGCACGAAUAAAGCUUGUACUUUCAGAAGCGUAUUUAUGAUGCAGUAAUUUACUAUCAUAUUGUAAUUUUACCUUCCAGCUGAGUUUCACUACAUUGUAACAUUGUAAGUGUCCUAAUAAACAACAUUUUACAUGGUGUCUUUCUUGACACUAUUGUAAUUGUUGAAGAUUUUAUAAUAGUUGCAGUUUGAGUUUCGACUAAUUGUUUUUCUUCAUUAAAUCAAUACAAUGAUCUUAUUUACGAGGACAAAUCAAGCCAAGAAUGAAUAUAUAUAUAUAUAUAUAUACACACACACACACACACACGGUAAGUAUUACUCCUUCCUUCCAUCUUAUAAUAUUGGGUUAAUACCACUUUGUCCCCCCGAACUUUGGACGAUUACCCACUUCAGUCCCUAAACUUCAAAAUGGGACACUUAAGUCCCUAAACUUAUAAAUACCUCCCACUUAAGUCCUUAAACUUAUAAAAUAGAACACUUAAAUCCCUAAACCCUUAUAAAAUGGGACACUUCGACCACCAACGGUAUUCAGGAUUUGUUAACAAUUUUCCUUAAGUGGGAGGUAUUUAUAAGUUUAGGGACUUAAAUGUCCCAUUUUGAAAUUUAGGGACUGAAGUGAGUAAUCAUUGAAAGUUUGGGGGGACAAAGUGGUAUUAACCCUAUAAAAUUUGUCGCAUUUCGAGAAUUGCAAUUUUUAUUAAUAGUGGAUAGAAUUUGAAACUUUAUGUGUAGUUUCUAGCUCAUAAAGAAUUGUGAGGCCAUGAUAUUUGUUCAAUCCUGGGUUUUGUUGAAAAUCUAGGAGUACAUACUACCAAAUCUUAGAUGGUUGUGGUGUUAAUUAUUUGAUAAUUGUCACAUACUACAAAAGUUGUUUUUUUAGUUUCCUUGAUAAUAGCAUGUGGACUCAUAAAAAGAUUCAUGUAUUGAACUUUUACAAAGUGUCUAAGGAGUAAAUGACUAAAUGGAGUUUUUAAAUAGAAAUAUAUCAACUAAUUUAUGUAAAUGAUAAAUAAUUUGGAACAAUCCAACAAAGAAAGUAUGGCAAUAUCAAUGAUAUGGAGAGGGAUUUUCUAUGGUCCGACCCUCUUUAUCAUGGAAUUGUGUAUGGUAAGAAUUGUAUGGGCCUUCCCACCGUAGGAACGUCAGUCUGGUCCCAUUUAAGCACGACACGCAGCUUAAUUCUGGAGGGCACCAGCCAACGCAGGUGCUGCUCCCAAAACUCUGACUUUGUUUUUUCUUCGCUCGUUCCCCACAAACACCAAAGCAAUACCGUGUACGGGGAUUCCUGCAAGUUGAUAUAAACAAAUAAAAGAAUAAAAAAAAUCUCUUGGGCCACACCUCAUAAUUUGAUUUUGAUGGACACGAAGCUGGGGAUGGUCAUAAUUUACCACACUACAAUUUUGCCACUUUAGAUGUUCUAAUUCAGGCUGACGAAUUACGAAAACAAAACUUUCCAAGAGCGCUAGUCUCCAAAGUGAGAGUUUCUCUCUCUUGAUAAGAGCGCUAGUCUCUCAACCUUGAGAGUUUCAAACUUUUUCAAAAUUUUCCGCAAAACCUCACACACAUGCCCAAGAUUUAGAUGCCACCCUGAAUUCUUAAUGCUUGUUAGUACUACAGAAAAUCGUACUGGGAUGAGUGAAUCUACCAAAAGAUGAGAACUUUGAGAGAACCGAGCUUCUUCAGUCAGUGGGGAUAUCUCACGGCUAUACUUAGCAACUUUGUCGGAUUUCGUCUGCAUGCAGAAGUGAUCUUGGCUCAUCUGGACUAAGGAAACAGACUUCAUAGUAGAAGUAAGUGCGUUGGCAGGUACCUUCAUAGCCAUUAAACCCUCUGUCUUAACUUGUGUUUUUCUUUUCUGCUCUAAGGCUUGGGGCUUGUCUUUUCAGUUUUAUUUUCUUUUAUUAGUAGAAACAAAAUCUUAAGUUUUUAAAAAAGGGGGGUUAGAGACUAAGUCUUGACGUCAGGGGUAGGGCUGUUCUCUGAUCUUUGUUCAAACUAGUCUGCCUGGGCAGCUCUCUCCUCUGUUUUUUCGGUUCUUGGCUCUGCUUUUCUGGGUCUCAGUAGUGUGAGUAGGAGACAGUGUUAGUUUUUCUUUAGACCCCAUGGCGGAGGAACUAGCGGAUGCGAUAAGAAAGUUUGAUCUUUCAGAUAAAGAGCUCGAAGGAACUGACCUGGGUGUUGUUGAGAUAGAUAUAGGUAUCCAAGAAUGUCAGUUGAGUUUAGUGGGGAGAAUCAAGGGUGAGAAAGUGGCCAACUUUGUUGGGGUCAAGAAUUUUGUGACCACAGCUUGGGGCUAUCCGAGGAAUCUAAGGAUCAUAGAAUUGGGGCCAAAUUUGUUUCAGUUCUAUGUUCCUAAUAGGGAGGACAGAGACAGAAUAGUAGGAGGAGGACCAUGGGUCAUGGACAACCAAAUUUUGGUGAUGAAACAUUGGGUGGAAGGAAUAGAAGAUGAUAUUUCUGCUUUUGACCUGGCACCUUUCUGGGUUCAAGUAUGGAAUUUACCUGUGCACUGGAUAUCUAAGGAAGUGGGGAGGAAAAUAGGUGCGAUCUUUCAGGAGGUAAAGGACGUACUGGUGCCUCAAGUAGGAGGAAAAGAAGGAAGACAUUUAAAGCUUCUAGUGGUACUGGAUACCUCUCUACCUCUGCUUAGGGGGACGACAGUGAAAGUCAAUGGAGCCUUGAAAUGGUUGAAUUUCAGAUAUGAAAGGUGUCCAGACUUCUGUUACAAGUGUGGAAUGGUUGGCCAUGGAGAGAAGUCCUGCAAGGCAAUAAUACAGAUAAGCAGAGGAAAGCAGGAACAUCAGUAUGGACCAUGGAUGAGAGCCAAUAUAGGGAGAGGCUCUCCGCAGAAGGAACAUCAGAACAAGUACAAUUCUGAGAAGAGCUAUUGGGGCUUUAAAGAUGGGGAUAUGGUUCUGUUAAACCCAAAGGCUAAGGAGAACAUGGAACACAGACAUAAGGACUCGAUGACUGGGAGACAGGAAACUCUUAGACAGGUUAAUGCAGAAAGUCAGACAGCAAAGGAGGGGUCUAGAGAGAGAGGAGGUCAUGAGGCUCAGAAACGAAGUUGUGGGGUGAGUAGCAAUGAAUUGAACAGGCAAAGAUCAACUCCAGCUUGCAGUAAAAGUCAGAAGGAAAAAAGCACCACAGAAGCUUCUGGGACUCCCAAUGGGGAGAAGGAUAACUGUGAGUUACAAGGAGGAAGGAUAAGUAUCUCUGAGGAGCAAGAUAUAAACUCGAUAAUUAAAGGUGAUUUGGACAGUAAAGGACUUGAGCAAAUAGCUAGUGAGCUGAUGCAAGUAUCAGUGGUGGAGGAAGGCCCUGGUAGUCCUGUAAUAGAUGUAAUGCAUAUUGAUCCAGGUAGCUCUGAUUUGGGUACAAAGGCUGUUCAGAAAUACAACAGCAAAAUGAAAAAACAGCUGAGGUCUCCCAAAAUUUUUAGGCAGCCUUUGAGAGAACUUAGUGGGAACAAGAUGAGGACUCGCCAGCAAGGGAAAAGAAAAAUUAACCUGGUGGAUGAGGAUAUGGUGGAAGUACAUGUAAAUGAGUUGGUCCCCAAGAGAAACAAAAUGGCAGUUGGGGGAAGGCAUCUGAGCGAGGAACUAGAGGGGGAAGGGGCCAACCUUAACUGGCCCCUCAAGUUACAAUGAAGGUUUUGGUGUGGAACUGUCAAGGAGCAGGGAGCCCCUUGACAGUUCCCCAGUUGAGGGAGGCUAAUAACCUCCUCUCCCCGAAUAUGAUAUUCCUAAGUGAAACCAAAAACAGGUUCCAUUACAUGAAAAAGGUACAAAAAAUUUUGAGGUUUGAGGAAAGUGUGAUUGUGGAAGCUAUGGACAGGAAAGAAGGCAUGGCCUUGUUUUGGAAUAAGGAUGUAGAGGUUAAGCAAGUUGUUACAACAGCCCUUACUAUAGAGGCUCUGGUGCUUGACCCUGACAAGCAGAUUGAAUGGUGGUUCAUUGGAGUUUACAUGAGCUGUGACCCUAUUAUUAGGAGACAACAGUGGAAUGUGCUGACCAGGAGAAAGCAGUUGUGGGGUGAUAAAUGGCUAUUAGCAGGAGACUUCAAUGACAUACUCUCUAAUGAAGAGAAAUGGGGGGGACGAGCAAGAGAAGACAGGAGUUUCAAGGACUUUAACAGUUUUAUUGAGAAUAACAGCCUGGUAGAUCUAGGAUUCAAUGGUAACCCCUGGACUUGGAGCAACAACUGGAAGGAUGAGGGGGAGAUAAGGCAAAGGCUGGACAGAGGAUUGAGCACCAUAAAUUGGUGGCAAAAUUUCGACAAGGCUAAAUGUGAACAUGUGGAGACCCUCGGAUCAGAUCAUAGCAUGUUGCUUAUAGAUAAUUGGCCUAGAAUAGAGAAAAGAAGGUCCAGAUUCUUCUUUGAUAAGCGUUGGCUUAAGAGGGAAGAUAUAAAUCAAGUGGUGGUGCAAGCUUGGCAACAAACAGUUGAAGGAAAUAGGAUGUAUAGGAUUACUAGACAGAUUGCUAAUUGCAGAGUGGCUUUACUCAAAUGGAAAACAGCUUCACAGGAAACACUUUGCUAAGAAUCAACCAAGUGAAGCAACAGAUCAAGGAAAUCAAAGACUCGAGGGAUUCAGGAUACAAGGAUAAGAUGGCUGAGCUAAAACGUCAGUUGAAAGAGGCUUACUUUGAAGAAGAGCAGUUUUGGGCCCAGAAAGCAAGGAUUGAUUGGUUGAGAGAAGGGGAUAAGAACACAAAGUUCUUCCAUGCCUGCGUGAAGGGAAGAAGAAGGAAAAACAGAAUGCUUAACAUUCAAAGAGAAAAUGGAACGUUGACCAAUAGUGAGGAGGAGCUGGGGAAAGAAGUAGCAAAUUACUAUAGAAUUCUGUUCACUAGUUCUGGCUGUGAGGGUCUAGAUGAGAUUCUAAGUGGUCUACCUUCUACUAUUACUACUGAGAUGAAUGAUAAGCUAACUAAAGAGGUUGAUGAACUGGAAAUCAAAACAGCUCUUUUCUCUAUGAACCCAAAUAAGGCUCCAGGUCAAGAUGGUAUGACUCCUUUGUUCUUUAAAAAAUUUUGGCAUGUAGUUAAAUCAGAUUUAAUUGCUGCCAUUAGGUCUUUUUUCCAUUCAAGCCAUAUGCCCAAAUCCUGGAAUCAUACGGUCAUUUCUCUCAUUCCCAAAACACAGAAUCCUACUAAUCUGAAGAGCUAUAGGCCAAUUAGCCUCUGUAAUGUACUUUAUAAAGUGAUUUCAAAAAUAUUGGCCAAUAGACUCAAGGAUGUGUUAAGCUAUUGCAUUAGCAAAAAUCAAGCAGCUUUUAUCCCAGGUAGGCAAAUCCUUGACAAUGUCAUCUUGUCUCAUGAAUAUUUGCAAUACAUGAAAAACAAAAAACAAGGUCAGAAUGGUUUUAUGGCUGUGAAACUUGACAUGUCCAAAGCCUACGACAGAGUGGAGUGGAAAUUCCUUGAUUCCAUGAUGGCUAAGAUGGGCUUCGGUACGGUCUGGAGGCAAUGGAUCUGGAGCUGCCUUACCUCAGUCACUUACUCCUUUAAUAUUAAUGGAGAGCCUAAAGAGUUUGUAAUUCCAGAAAGAGGAAUUAGACAAGGCGAUCCGCUAUCACCUUAUCUUUUCCUUUUAUGUUCAGAAGGCUUUUCCAAUUUAUUGAAGCAGGCUGAAGGAAAUAAAAGAAUCUCUGGGAUGAAGAUAAGCAGGUAUGGUCCAAGUAUGACUCAUUUAUUCUUUGCAGACGAUUCUUUAAUCUUCUGUAAAGCUGAAAGAGAGGAAGCCAGUGAACUUAUUCAAAUCCUGAGGAGGUAUGAGAAGGGGUCUGGUCAAUCCAUCAAUCUGGAAAAAUCCUCCGUGUUCUUCAGUAGUAAUGUGGAUUAUCAGAGGAGAAGGGAAGUGAGGCAAAGUUUAGGCACAAUUCAGGUUGCUACACAAGGGAGAUAUCUGGGACUACCUAUGGUGAUAACAAGAUCUAAACAGCAAGUGUUUGGCUACAUCAAGGACAGUAUUAGCAGGAGAAUGGCAAGCUGGAAGAACAAGCUGCUCAGCCAAGGUGGGAAGGAGGUAUUACUGAAGGCAGUGUCUAUGGCAAUGCCAGUCUAUACAAUGUCCUGCUUUAAGCUGCCAAACAAACUCUGCAAAGAGGUGUCUUCCAUGUUUGCUAACUACUGGUGGGGUGAAACUGAAGGGAAAAAUAAGAUGCAUUGGUGCUCAUGGGGGAGAUUGUCUAAGGAGAAAAAAGUGGGAGGAUUGGGAUUCAAGGACCUGCAGAACUUUAACAAAGCCUUGCUAGCUAAACAGGUAUGGAGACUGAUUUCUAAACCAAACCUAUUGGUUAGCAAGGUCUUGAGAGCAAAGUACUACCAUACAGACUCAAUUUUUAGGUGCAAAGUUCCUAAAUGUGCAUCGUGGAUUUGGCAAAGCCUGAUGAAUGCUAGAGAUUUGGUGCAGAAUGGAACUAGGAAAAAGAUAGGCAAUGGCAAGGCAACCAACAUUUGGAGGGACAACUGGAUUCCGGGAAAUAGGGAUGGCAAAGUCACCUCUGUGAGGCCUCUGAAUUGCAAAAUCAAAAGAGUAGAGGAGUUGAUCUGUGGCUUUCGAUGGAGGAUACCACUUGUAUUUAGGACCUUUAACAGGAAGGAGGCAGAGAAAAUUCUGGAGAUUCCUAUUAGUAUAUCAGGAAAGGAUGAUAGCAAUUACUGGAUACAUAGCGGCAAUGGCAUCUACACUGUCAACUCAGGUUACAAGGCAUUGUGCAGAGGAACUGUUCAAUACAAAGAAAGAAGAGAGAAGGAGGCGGAAACUAGUAUAGCAAGUUCUUAUGAAAAGCAGUGGAAGUGGAUGUGGAGGCUGAACGUUAAGAGCAAGAUCAAACAUUUCCUUUGGAAGUGCCUACAUGGUUUAUUACCAGUCAACAGCCUGGUUUUUAAAAGAACACACAAAGGUGAUCCAAUCUGUGGUGGCUGUGGUGAACAAGAAGAGUCAAUUGAACACAUGUUUUUCCAAUGCAGCAAAGCACAAGAGGUGUGGAAAAUGGCUCCAUUACAAUGGGAUGGGUUAAGGGAACAGACAGGGAAUUUUCAAGCUUGGUGGACUGCUCUUCUGGAAGCUACAUGCAGGACAGAAGGAAAGGAGCAUAUAGAGCUCACUGUGAACAUCCUCUGGCAACUCUGGAAAAGGAGAAAUGAAUGGCAAUUCAAUGCCAAACACAGGCACCCUUGGAAAAUAAUCCAAAAGGCUCUACAGGAAUGGCAAGAACAAAAAGAUGUCCAGAGCAAGCAGGAAAUAGUCUCUGAAGAUGCGGUAAGAGCAGAUGAGGAAGUUGAUCAGGAGGAGGCAGGAUGGAAUGAAAUUCAGAUCAGAAUAUCAACUAAGGAGCAAGACCAAUCCAACCGAGUUGGCAUGGGGAUUUUUGCAUCUACCUUCAACAAUCAUUGGGUGGCUGCAUGGGCACUUUUUGACAGAAAAACAGUGAAUCAGUUGCAGUCUACUGCAGAAGCUGUGAAAAUGGCCAUCAUAAAGGCUAGACACCAGCAAUGGAAGGAAAUUGUUGUCCACAUCACCAGCCCCCAGCUACUGAAGAUGAUAAAGGAAAGGAAGGCAAAGGACAUCAAAAUGGCUACUUUGAUAGAUGAUAUUAACGAUCUCAGGUCCUUAUUUCAGAAAUGCUCCUUUUGUUUAGAUAGGAGCUUAGACUCUAGAUGUGAAGCGAUUAGUGAUUAUGCUUUAGGCAUAUUUCAAGAUGAGGAAUGGAUUAAUCCUCAGUGUGUCUAACACUCUUGUAUAGAAUUCCUUGAGCCUUUGCUCAUAUAAGUUUUUUGCCAAUCAAUACAAAUAUCUAACGUUGCAGGAAAAAAAAAAUACGAAAACAACAUUUCUUUAAGUAUCGUUUCGUGAUUAAGACAAUCAAUCAUACGAUAUAACUAGUAUUUUGGCCCGUGCUGGUUUAUAUAGGAAUGAGGAGAAAUAUGGUAAAAUACAAUAUUAUUAUCCCUUUCUCUUGUAUUCUUUCCUUUCGUACCACUUUUUUCAUCUCUCAACCUUCUCUCUCUUCGAUAUUCCACUUACUUUUCACUACUCUUCUUUUCACUUUCUGAAUCUAAUUUUCUCGCAUCCCUACAACUUUUUCCCAUUCCUUGAAAUCCUACCCAAUUUUUUUUGUAUCCCUAUAACUCUUUCUUAUUUUAUCAAAUCCUAUUUUCUCUUUAUUCUAUCUCGCUCCCACUCAAUUAUCAUAUCUCUUAUCCAAUUUUACAACCCACUUGUCUCAUAUUCUACUAUUAUUUUCAUAUAUUUAUAAAUGUAUGUGGUAACUUAUUUACCUGACUCGCCUAUUAACAAAUGAGUUUGCAUGUGUAAUUUAAUUGGAUUCAAAUGAGUGACCAAAUUAACCCAUUAAUUAGUGGGUAUGAAAUUGACAGAUUUGGAUUACUUAUUUUGAUUUAAUUAAAUUAGACGUAGAUUCAAAUUCAAUCAUUAGUGGGUAAAUCUAAAUUACUCUAACAAUUAUAUUCUAAUUUUUGCAAAGAUGUAUUCAUCGUUUUUCCUCUUAGUUAAUUUCUAUUAUUUUAUUUUUUAAAAUUGAUCCUACUUCCUCCAUUCCUUUCAUAAAAGUUUAAUAAAUUUCGUGAAUGUUAAUUGAUUGUUUGCAUUAAUACCUAAAUUAUUUUUAGACUGUCGUAUAGUGACAAAAUUUGAAACUCACUAUGAUGAUCAUUUUAGGCUACUUUAAGCAAUUUUUUCUGUUUUUUUCUUUCUUUAGGUAAAAAUUGAUUUAUUAACUUGAUCUGUUGAUAUAAUUUACUAUUUUGUUGCUAAACAAAAUGUGGAUAAAAAAGUAAAUAAAAUUUAGUAGUGGGCCGUGAAUGGGUGAUUGGAUAAUUCAAACCCAUAGAAAACUAUAUUCAUUGACUACUCGUCUAUUUUGAACCAUUAAUUAAGUAGGAAUAUAUAGAUUAUCCUAAUUAUAACUUGACCAAACUCACAUGAAUCAUCAAAUUUGAUAACUCUCCCCUAAUCUUUACCUUCCCUAACCCUACAGUCAUAUCUUUCUAAUCCUUUCACUAUUUAGGAUUCAUUAUCUCACUUUUUAAGUGUUUUUGGACAUAUAAAAAGUUAGAAUUAUUUUUCCAAGUUGCUGCCUCAUUUUUUAAGUGUUUUUAAUCAAAUAAAAAGCUAGAAUUGCAAUCAUUGAGAAAAAGUAUACUUUCGGAUGUAAAUUUGGUGAAAUACAACCUUUUUAUCAAAAUUUUGGUAAAAUACCACCAAAAGCAACCUUCUAAAUACACCUUUAUUAAUUUAAAAUUCAUACACAAAUUUUUCUUUACAUGCACUUUUUGCUGUACAUGUGCUAAAUGAAAAGUCAUCUAGAUGCUUGCACAAUAUUAAUAUUGAGUUUAUUCUAAGUGCAAAUAAAAUGUCAUAAUUGUUAUUUACAUAUUCCAAUUUAAUGUUAGAGUAUAAUUUCAACAUUCAAAUUUUAAAACUUAAAAAAAACAAACCUACUGAAUAAAAUCCAACAUAAAAAUAUAAAAAUUAUAAAAGCAAACCUAUUAAAGUGCCCUAAGCUUGUUGAAUACAAAAAAAAAAAAAAGAUAAGUUUAAGACCACAAGAAAAUUGAUUUAGUAAUUGUAACAUAAAUUAUUAAAAAAUAAGAGUAAUUGAGUAUAUCAUUAGAAGAUUUUGACAAAUGAUUAUUGUAACCAGAAGGAAAGCGAUAAAGAAAUAAUUGGGUGAAUAACUAAAAAAUAGGACUAAUCACAUUAUCUUGAGGAUUUCGCUAGAUAAAUUAAUCCUCUUUAAUGAAGGAAUAAAAGGGGCUAAAGUGAUAAAGAUAUAAGAGGGUGAAUAAUUUUAAAAUGAGACUAAUCAAUUAUCCCUAAGAAUUUUGGCUUGACAAAUGUAUUUUAUUUAAUUAAGGAGUAAAAAGGACUUAAAGCAUAAAUAACAAACUAUAAACGGUUUAUGAAGGAGAUAAUGGAAAAUUUUUAAAUUUUAAAUUUGACUAGUGAUAGGAUUAGUUAGAAUCCACUAUUUUAAAGUUUUAAUUAGAUUUUAUGUAUUAAAAUAAAAAAAUCUAGAAAAAAAAUAGAAAGUUUGGAAACCAUUAAGAGGGUCUCUGAUAAAAACUCUCUCUGCAAUACAUAUAGAUAUAUAGAUAUAGAUAUGGUAGAGCUUUUGUAAUAUAAUUUAUAGUUCAUCCGCUCCAUUGAAAGUGUCAUAUUUUUUAUUUUAAUAUGUUGAAAAGUCAAAGCAUAUUUUAUUUUUUCUUUCCAAUAUAGCCAUUCUUUCUAAUCACAUGCAUAUUAUCAUUCAAAUUUAAAAUUUGAAUUUGUGAGGUUAAAAUUGAAAAGAGAAGUACGAACAUCACAAUUAAACUACUAUUCUUAAAAUGUUGGAUUCUCCAAACAUGAUUAAAUAAUUGGGACGGAGGGAGUAUAUAUAUAUAUAUAUAUAUAUAAAGAUAAAAAAAUUAAAAAACGUACCCAUAACGCAAGUCAAAUAAUAUCUCAAAUAAUUUUAUAUCCAAACACAGUUGAUCCAUUAAUUAUGAUUGCUUUUAUAAAGAUAAGGAAAAUAAAAAAGUGGGCCCGUGCAUUCGUAAAUUUUAUCAAAGCAACUUGGAGUAAACUACCAAAGGUACACGCAGCACCACUACGUGAUGUUCACAUUUGUAUUACUCCCUUCAUCCCACUUUGAUAGUCCUGUUUUCCUUUUUCGUCUGUCCCAAAUUGUAAUCCACUUUUCAAUUGAAGAAUGUAGUUGUCUUUUAAUUUCUCUAAAAUACUCUUAUUUAAUGUAAGUUGUUAUUACUAUAAACUACUUUAUUUAAUAUAGAUUGUUAGUAUUGAAUAUAACCUACCCCAUUUAAUGCAUUUAGAUUUUUCAAAACAUAUUAAUAUAAGAAAAGCCAACUUUAUUUAAUGUAAGGUAUUUUAGGAAAAUAACAAUCUAAUUUAUUUUUCCAACAAAGUUAACUAAUUUUUUUUAAAACUGUGUGAAAAAAAAACUAGAACUAGCAAAAUGGGACAGAGGAGGUAUAUGGAUUUGAACGCCCCUCCUGGACAGUUCGGUUGGUCACAGGAAUCCUCCUAAGAUCCUGUUGUCCAUUCUCCCCCAUCAGGGAUUGAGUCCCAGUGGUUAACGGUUUGAGGGGAUGGGGCCUCUCCUCUCGGGUCUCAGGAAGAUUAAUCGGAUCCGGCUUACCCGAAACCCGGAUACCCCUGAAUAGGAAAAAAAAAAAAAAAGAGUAUAUGGAUUUGAAGGAAGAGGGCAACAUGGCAGGAUUGUCAAGAUGAUUGCAAGAGCAUCUUGCAGAGCUUUCCAACAACUACUCUUAAGCACGUGUUAGGAAAGCUGACGGUUGAAAGAAGACUGUUGUUUUCUUGUAAGCCUAUGAGCAUUACUAAAUUUGUUGAAAACGAUUGCAAGGACUUCUAUAGAAAGUCUGUUUAAUUUAAUGCAAUGAUUAUCUUCCUUCAAAGAUUGCAAGGAUAUUUUUAGAAACUCUGCUUAAUUUAAUGUAAUGAUUAUCUUUCGUACCGAUAAAACAACGAAAGAUCUUGGGGCAAAAAUCUAUUGUGGUACCCACAACUACCACACGUCAACGGUUACGAAGAGCCCAAUCCUUUGUUUAAUUUAAUGUAAUGUAAUGAUUAAUUAAUUCAAUUUAGUUCUAGAUAUGCAAUGAUUAUCUUUCGUACCGAUAAAAAAAUGAUUUAAAUUCUAUUGCGAGACCCACAGGCCACAACUACGACACGCAAAUGCUUAUGAAGCGCCCAAUCCUUUGUUUAAUUUAAUGUAAUGUAAUACAUAUAUAUAUAUAUAUAUAUAUAUAUAUAUAUGUGAAAGUAAUUAUUUUAAUUAGAAUUAUUUCUCACUCUUACGUGGCAUGCCUAAUUGAAAAGAAUUAAUGGAUUAUGAGUCACAUGAGUUUUACACAUAUUAAAUCCUAAUUAGAUUAUAUUAUAUAUUUAAAAAUUAUCUCUAAUUUUAAAAUAACUAAUUUUAUCUUAAAUAUAUUGUUUUAAAAACAACCAACCUUAUCUUAAUUAUUUUGCUUUUUAUCAAAUUAUUGAAAUUUUACAUAUCCCAAAUUACUUCUUUAAUCACAAUUAUUGAAAUCUUACAUAUCACAAAUUACUUCCUUUUACAACCGUACCAUUGGUUAGUAUUCAAAUUGUUCAUCAUUUAUUCCCUUAAUUUUGAAUUAACUUAGUGUAAAAAAGAGAAAUAACUGUUACACCGACAGAUUUACCAAUAUUAUUGAAAACUAAAUAUUUAUUGACGGAGAAAAAUGAACUGCUGGAUUUUUCUACUUAAUUAAAUAUGAAUAUAUAGUUCUAGAUUUAUGGUCAUUAUAAAAAUUUAUUAUCUAAAAGAAUAUUUGUAAAAAAAAAAAGAAUAUCUAUCAACUUUUUGGUAUGAGGUACAUGAUUUGAUGUAUAACAUCGUAUGAUAGUGAAAAUAUGUAAACACAUUUGUUCAGAAGUUGGACAGAAAUAACUCAAUCACAAAUGCCCAGUGGUCACAACUCGAUCAAUUAGGCAACCAAUAACACAAGAUUAACAAAUGUUAAACAACCACCAUCGCCAGUACCACUGGUUAAUGCACAGGGAAAAAUUAAAUCAAAUGGCUAGCCCAAAUCACUUGAUAAAUCCAAACACACCAUUCAGUACCAAGGAAUAGUAGAGAUUAAAAUGGGAAUCAAUUGACAAGUAACUCCCUAAAUCGCCCCCAAAUAAUGCACCAAUUUUACUCAACGGGACUAGAGAUAGUGCUAGUGCUCGAAUAAAUCAACAAAUGUCCCCAAUUCAAGAAAUCAACAACUCAACUUAACAUCACUUAGGAAGCUCGCAACUGCUACUAGAAUGUCUCAUGGAGCAAAUGAACCACAAAGCCUUCAAUGGAGCCCAAAAAAUUGACAACUAAGAAUGCAAAAGACUAAAGGACAACUCGGAAACAGAGGGACUCAGAGAUACCUGCCCACUGCCCAAGCAGUGGGUAGCAGAACCGGCAAGGGGCAGCGGCGGCGGUCCGUGGGUGUGCGCAGUCGUGACUAGGAGAGUAGGAGCUGUGAUGAGCUGGUGGAUGUGCACCAGUGAGGUCGAGAGGCACGCGAGGCUUGUUACUGCGACGAGCUGGGUUGCCACGGCUGGCGUGUGACGGCGGCGAACGAGGUGGAUGAAUCACGCGCGGUGAAGAGGAGGAGCGGCAGCCGUUGUCGAGGCCGAAAAAGAAAAGAAAAUGGAAAGAGGAUAGUGGAGGAGAAGAGGAAGAAAAGGGGAAAGGAAAGAAAAGAAAGAAAGAAAGAAAGAAAAAGAAAAAAAGAAAGAAGAGGGAAGAAAGAAAAAGAAAAAGAAAAAGGAAAUAGUUUUUUUCUCAUUUUAUUUUUUUUGUUCUCUUUUUAGAAAUUUUUUUUUACAGGAAGACUCUCCCCUUUUUUUUUAAUUACUAAAAAAAAAAUUUUUGAAAAUUUUUUUAUAUAUAACUUUUUUUUAUUAUUGACAAAAUUUAUUUUUGAAAUUCAAAAGUAGAGAUUAACAGAAGAUCAAUAAUCGUUCUUGAUUUUUUGAAUACUUACCUUUCCCGCGAACAUGACGCGGACAUGUCAUGAAGGCACGGAAUCUGGAGCUCUUCAAGUUACUUUGACGCGGGCACGUCAUGAGGGUAAGAACCCCUUCUGACGAUUCUGAUCAUGAGCUCUCCAUACAUCAUGACGCGGGCGCGUCAUGAGGGCAAGAGCCCCUUCUGACGAUUCUGACGUGAGCUCUCCAUAUGUCAUGACACGGGCGCGUCAUGACAGAAGGACACCUACAAAUCAUCAAAAACGAAAAUUGAAACCCGAAAUCAGUUAAAUUCAAGAAAAAUAUAUUUAAACUAUCACACGAAAUCAAAACAAACAAUUAAAAGAAACAAUUGGGUUGCCUCCCAAUGAGCGCCUUUUUUUAACGUCUUUGGCUAGAUAUUGAACACCACUCUUCAAUCUGGGUGUAACUCAAUUUUUCUGGAAAUCGGUGGCCCUCCUCCAGGAUCCAAAUAGCCUUUGAGUGCAGCUCUCUUUCUAAAUUUUCUACUCAUUUUCACCUCAUACAGUGCUUUCAUCCCCUUAUACUUGUUCUCAGUAAAUUUGAAUUUAUCUCUACAAGCAAACUCAGAAAAUUCUUGCACAGAGGGAUUAAUAGCAUGAAUAGCAAACACAGGGUGAGAGUUAAAAGGAUGUUCCAUUGUAUCAAAAAUAUUAAAGUGGACUAGUUCUCCAUCAAAUUCCAUGGACAAUGUACCCUUAUUAACGUCAAUUUUUGUCUGUGCUGUGCUCAAAAAGGGCCUACCUAGUAGCAAAGGUGAGGGGUUAGGGGAAUGAUCAUCAUCCAUAUUAAGUACAUAAAAGUCAGUCGGGAAUAUCAAUUCAUUAACUUUAACCAGCACAUCCUCUAUCAACCCAUCAGGGUAUGCAUUUGUUCGGUCAGCUAAUUGAAUUAUUAUCUCGGUUUCUUUUAAUGAACGCGAGAUUCAGAUAAGCAUACAUAAAUUUAGGCAUUACGUUGAUUGAUGCUCCUAAGUCCAGUAGGGUAUUCCUAAUCAGAGUAUUACCUAUCUUACAUUGGACAGUAAACCUACCUGGAUCCCCGCACUUUGGUGGAAGCUUCCUUUGGAGAACUGCUGACACAUUCUCCCCAACAAUGAUCCUUUCGUCUCCCUCAACCGCUUUCGGUUGAUACAUAAGUCCCUCAAAAAUUUUACAUAUUUCGACACUUGUUUGAUGCAUCUAAUAAGGGGAUAUUGAUCUCUACCUUGCGGAACACCUCUAGGAUCUCUUUCUCUUUGUCCUGCUUUUUCGGUUUCUCCAACCUGCAAGGUAAUGGAGGGGGAUCAGUUUUAACGUCUAUGAUCGGGUCAGGGAGUACCACUGGAUUUUUGGUGCUUGUAUUCUCUGCCUGAAGUUCUUUCUCAAUCUUCUCUUCACCCUUAUCCUUUGGAGUCACGAGUUCGGGCCCUUGAAUUUUCUUCCUGCUCCUUAAAGUCAUUGCACUUACGUUCUUUAGGUUCAGUUCAGAUUGGGAUGGCAAUCUUCCAUUUACUUGGGACUCCAAAUGGUUGAUUUUUGUGGCCAUUUGACUUAUCUGAUUUCUUAUGUCCUGUAUUUCGGAUUCCGUCCUUUGCUGAUUUUGCGUAAUGGUUGCCACCAGUUGUUUCAUCAUCUCCUCCAAAGAUGGACCAGAGCUUGAGGGCAGAGGUGGUCGGGGUUGGUACUGCUGCUGGUACCCCCUGGUUGUUUAUUUGGUACGAAAUUAGACUGUCUGUUUCCUCCAUAGCUGAGGUUGGGGUGGUUCCUCCAACCAGGGUUGUAGGUACUUGAAUAAGAGUCAUAGGGCUUUCUUGAUGCGGGCGCGUGAUCAGCCAUAUUCACUUGUUCUGCACUUCCUUCUUGAAUCAUUGGGCACAUCUCCGUGGAGUGACCCAUACCAGUGCAAAUCCCGCACACCUUAGCCCGAGAUGCAUUUCCUACAGCUAGUUGUCUAACAAAAGAAGUCAACUCAGUCAACUGCUGCUGGAUAGAAGAUGUCUCUACCUCAUUUACCUUGCGUAUUGGGACAUCCUCUCUUGUACCGAAUUAUUGUGAAUUCUUUGCAUCCCCUCUAUUAACUCCCGUGCUUCCGAGGAGUUUUGUUCACCAGUGCCCUCCGCUUACAGCAUCAAUUAUACUCCUAUCUCUGAAAAGGAGCCCCUCAUAAAAAUACUGUAUGAGCACUGCUCACUUAUCUGGUGCUGGAGGCACUUGUUGCACAACUUCUUGAACGCUCCCAAUACUCAUAGAGUGACUCCCUUGGAUGCUGCUUGAUCCCGCAAAUUUCUUUCCUUAGACUUGCAGCCCUAAACACAGGAAAAUAUUUAUCCAAAAUUUUUUCUUUAAUUGGUCUCACGUGGUGAUGCUACUGGUGGCAGGUAGUACAGCCAAUCCUUUGCAGAAUCCUUCAAGAAAAAGGGAAUGCCCUCAUUUUUAUUUGCUCUUCUGUAAUGUCUGGAAGCUUCAUACUAUUGCACACGACAUCAAACUCUUGCAGAUGCUUAUACGGCUCUUCACCUGAUAAACCAUGAAAAGAGGGUAAAAGAUGAAUCAGACCAGAUUUUAGUUCAAAUGAAGUGUUAUCAUUUAAGGUGGGGAAGGUAAUGCAUAAAGGUUGCUGAUUUAAAUCAGGAGCAGUCAACUCCCUUAAUGUCCGUACAUUAGCCAUGGUGCCUUCCUCCUGAUCAGAGUCACUCGAAGUGUCACCAAACGAAUCUGUCGGUUCAACUUCUGACUCAGGUCUCUGAGAUGCAGCACUGGACUGGUCCUCUCUGAGCUAUCUGGUUUCCUUUCUCGUUCUAUGCGCAGUCUUCUCUAUUUCAGGGUCAAAAAAUCAAAUCACCUGUACAAGAAGACCGAGGCAUACACUAAAAAAAUACCAGAAAAUUAGCACAAAAAUAAAUUUAAAAAGAAACAAAUAAUAACGCCAGUCCCCGGCAACGGCGCCAAAAAUUGACAGGGUGUCGAACCCUGCACAAUAAUAAAAUUAAACCUAAUUGCCAGUUAAAAUGACCAAAAUCCAAUUCCAAAUACUGGAGUAGGGACUCUAGGUGUGCAAUGGGUUACUUGAUUCACCCUAUUCCCGAAGAGUUUGUUUGAUCCAAUAUACCCGAAUGAAAUGGUUAUUUCUUUUCACAAAUAAUUAUGAAUUUAUAAACAGGGCAAGUAGGGUCGUAUCCACAGAGACGGGGUAUAUUUGUUUCUUAAGAAAUCCAAAGUAACACAGGGGAGUGAUUUUGUAGGAACGACGACAAUCAAAUAAAUUCAAAUAAGAAAAUAAAAAUAAAUAACUAAUUAGAAAUUAAACCACAAUUCACUGAACUUAGAAUAACAUUAAUUAAAGGCUUAAAUCAAUUAAAAUAAGGAAACAAUUAAAAAUAAAUAAAGUAGGCAACUAAAAGUUAAAUGGCAAUUCAUCAAAAUCAAGGUAAUAUUAAUUAAAGGUCUAGCCAAGAAAUAACUUCGACAAUGGUUCACCUAAUUGAUCAUCGAUGCAAGGGCAAUUCUAAUUAUUCAUCAAUAAAUAGGUUAUAACUACCAAACGCGAUGGCAGUCAACCCCUCCUUACUGUGUCGGUGAUUAAGGUACGCCCGUUAAUCACUGCUCUAAUUAGGAAAUAAUCAUAAGUACGCCCGUAAGAUUUAAUUCCCCAAUUGCCUUACGUAUUAGAUGAGCCCUAUUCUAAUCAAAUAAUGCACUACCAGGAUUAUUUCAGAUUAGCUCGCGUAUCCCCUUGACACGAAUCUAAUCGUGCCAGUUGGCACUAUUUCAGGACAAUUAAACAAUUACAGAUUUAAUGCCCUAAUUGACAAUAGAUUACCAAAUCAAUUAAUUAUCCGAAUCCAAGACAAUCGAUUAAUUAAAUAACCAUAAGUUUAGUAAUCAAGGAAUACGCGAAUACCAAUAAAUAAAAGGAAAAUAUUAAAUUAAAUCGAUCUCACAAUUUUUAGGCGAACCAGAGCCUUCGUAGUUUCUUGACUAGAGUGACAAGAUUAUUUCAUGUUUAAUGCGAGGAACCCACGCAAAAUUGAAGAGAGAGCCGCGACCAUCAAUUGAGAAAAUGCCCAAGUUCAAUUCGGUCAAAGGAAUGAAGUACAACUAAGUUGCAGAGGAUGAUUUAAUGUCCUCGCUUGUCUGCUCAUACGAAGGAAGAAGAAAAAGAACAACUAAAAGCUACAAAAGGGGAGGUCAAAGGCUGAUGCCUCCUUUCUCCUCACAUACGUGAGAAUGACUACUCUAGGCAAAGAAAAGUCAAAAGUGAAGCUAGCUAAAGGACGAAAAGCUGAGGAAGCCGGAUAGCUCCUUGGCCUCUGCAAUCUUUUUGGUUUUUAUCCCCUGCUUCCCUCAAAUGUGCGGCGGCUCCAAUCCCCCAAGGGAGACUUCGGCCCAUUUACCCAAAAAGGGCUCGCAUUUUGUUGUUCCAAAAAUGUCCCUAGGACAAACUCUAUCAUCUGGACUCUUUUCCUGUCAAAUUGGCACCUGUUAUUAUAUUUUCGUUCUACUUCUUGAAAUAAAUGCAAAAUACUAAAAGUGAGUAGAAUCCCGCAAUUAAUUCACAUCAAGUCAGGUAAUAGGAGAAAUUAAUAAUAAAAUAAAUGAUAAAAUUGCAACCUAUCAAAAAUAGGUGAGUUUGGGGUUCCCAUCUAGCCUUUGGAGCUUCUUCUUUGGGGGCGAGAUGUUGGGUAUCGAUCUGGCAGCGGCUCCAACAAAUAUUUGUUGUCCAAUUUCUAUGGCCAAGGCAAUGAUAAGCAUGCAAGAAGGUCAGUUUUUGGGUGGGGAUGGUUUUCUCUUGGUUAGAAAUUUUUUGGUAAUUUGGCUUGUGAGUAGGGGUUGGUGUGGGACAUUUAGGCCUAUCAACGGUCCGGUCCCCAGACCGGAUCCAUGAAAUUAUUACGGGUACGGGUAGGGAUUUAAUUCUGUUACCCGGAUCCGGAUCCGGAUCCAUUUUGUCAAACGAAAAAACGGGUUGGAUACGGAAUAUAGUAUUCCGACCUGUAUUAUACCCGGAUCCGGAUAUAAAUGGAUUAAUAAUUUAAAAUAUAUUUAUUUAUUAAUAUAAUUUGAUUAGGGUGAUGUAUUUGAAUAAACUUAAUUUGAUUUCUUUUCUUAUUUGGUUUUUUUGUAUCAGUUAAAAAUUAGUUUACAAAUAUAUUUUUUUCUCAUUUUUAUUAGAAAUUGUAAAUUUUGAUAAAUUUUUUCAGGUAGAUCCGACUCAGAUCCGAGGCCCGUCGGUUCCGGAUCCGGAACAUAAAGUAAAAGAUCCGUCGGGUAAACGGGCCGGACCCGGGUCCGGUAUGGUAUGUCAGGCCCGAAUUCGGAAUAAUGAAUUCCAACCGGGAUCCGACCAGUUGACAAGCCUAGAUACAUUGCGUGAAGAAAGAGGCGUCAUAUUAUUAGGGGUUAAAAACAAAAAAGUCUCAUGUGGUGUACCUAAUGUACAGAAAAGCUCCUUGUGGUUUCAAAACAUACAAAACGACAGUUCAUGCUUUGAACUAAAUUGUAAAUUAACAGAAUUCGUUAAACUUAACGAAAAUGACGGUCACAGCCGUUAAACUUACCGGAUUCCGUUAAGUUUACCGUUAAAUUUACCGAAUUCUUUUAAGUUUUUCGUUAAAUUUACCGGAUUCCGUUAAAUUUAACGAAUUCCGUUAGUUUACAAUUUAGUUCAAAAUAUGAGAUAUCGUUUUGUAUAAUUUGAAAUCACGGAGGAUUUUUCUAUGUAUUAGGUAUAUCACAGAAGGUUUUUUUGUUUUUAACCCUAUUAUUAGAAUCUUGGGUUGCUCUCGAGGAUGAGGAGACUUUACUUUAGGAAUUGUAGGAAGGAUUUUUUCCACUUGGAUGCAAGCUAGUUCCUAUCUGUGGCAAGGUUGAGAAGGGAGCCGCAUUGAAAGCAAUAAUUUUUUUUUUUUGCAUGGUAUUUUUCCUAGGAUGGUUGAAAGGUUAGAGAUCGGAAAUAAUGAGGUUUGACAAGUAUGAGACGUUGUCCGGCAUUAGGUUGACUAAGAGCAAGUUUGGAAGGAUGGGCAGGGGAUUGAAAUUUGAAUUUGGGGGUAUUGAAACGUUGUUUGAGAUUGAGGCCCAAGUUUGGCCUGCCUAGACAGAAAUCUUUUUACUGGACUUUAGAGGAAAUUUGGGGGCCAGCAUCUAGGAUCCACAUUUGGGUUUUUGAUCAUAGAAGUUGGACUGAUCAAAGGUUGGGUUCCUAUAUUUGCCUUCAUCGGACACACCAAGCCACAAUAGAAACAGAAAUUAAGUCCUUCAUAUUGAAGAGAUUGGGUAAUAUGAUCGAUCUUGAUUGAAUGCUUCAAAGGUUUGCUAAGAUCAAUUUGGAUGCAUAGCCUGACAUAUCUUUCAUCUUCUGAGUUUGCUAUUUUUGCAUCAAUUUUGAUCAGCGUACCUAAUGAAAUCUUUACUAGUGCUAGGACUUCGAAGUCAUAGUAUUCCACCAGUAGUUGCGAGUUGCGACAGUUUGACCCAAGUAGAAGUCAAGCGAGAGGUGUUUUAAUUGACAAUAAAAAUAGGUUGGUAGAUUUGAACCAUGACGAAGGUCUUAUUUAAAAAUCAAGGGUCCCUUUGAGAACUUUGAAAUAGUUUGUAGGGUUUGAGAAUUUGGUGAUGAAAUAGUUUGUAGGGUUUUUUAAUAUGCAUGAUUGCAAGAAAAAAGUGAUAACUGAUCAAAAAGCUUGUCUAAUUUGAGUUUUCAGCUGGAGAGUUACCAAUGGAGCAGAGAGAAUCCGGACACCUACUGGUAUUCGUUUCCCCGAGGGAUUGCACAUUGAGAUUUCAGAGAACAAAUAGAUUUUAAGCCCGGUGUGACGCCGCCACUUCUCCCAAGGGCGAACCCAAGGGUAUCGGCAGAACGCCUGUCCAACUCUCACCAGGACUCGGUACUAAUUUAAUUUACACUCAAUAAUAACCAAUCGAUACUAAAAAUUGAAGAGAUAAAGGAAGGUCAAUUCCUCCAUAAACGUUCAAGUCUUACAUCAUAAUCUACCCAAUUACUUUACAUUCCCAAAAUAUACAGCUUCCAAAAUCAAAUUCUAAACAAAUACAUUCACAAUUCUAAUCAAAUGAAGCAUCAAGUAAGCUUCUCCAGAAUUCCUCCCAUUUCAGCUCCUGUUAAAGAAAACAAAUCUAACGGGGUGAGCGGAUGCUUGUGAGGCCAAGAAAACGUGCAAGAUAAGUAAUUCAAUAGCAAUAGCACUUACACAAUAGUGAAAACUAUAACAUUCAAGAAAUUCACAAUUUAUAAUAAACCCCCUUGAGUAGGAUAUAGGAGUUUUCAGGAGCUAAAUCUUUGUUUACUUUACCCAAGUUCAAUCCAAUACCUUCUCGUGACAACACCCCGUCACUCGGGUAGAUAAUUAAAUUCAUACCACUUUACAUAUUCCAUUUAUGUUUCUGAGAUAACUCGAGAGGCACCUCCCAUCCAAAUCGGUGUGGUACUUACUAUUGCUCAGUUUAUAGGUCUGAGACGAUUUGAGAGGUACCUCCCACCAAAUCGGUGUGGUACUUGCUAUCGUUCAGAGGUCGAUGAGACACCGCUCCAAUCGACUUAUAAUGCUUAAUAGUUCUGAGACGAUUCGAGAGGUACCUCCACCCGAAUCGGUGUGGUACUUACUAUCGCUCAGUUUAUAGGUUUGAGACGAUUCGAGAGGUACCUCCCACCAAAUCGGUGUGGUACUUGCUUUCGUUCAGAGAUCAAUGUGAUACCGCUCCAAUCGACUUAGAAUGCUUAAUGGUUCAGAGACGAUUCGAGAGGUACCUCCACCCGAAUCGGUGUGGUACUUGCUAUCGUUCAAAGGUUAAAGGUAUUGAGACGACUCGAGAGCUAUCUCCCACCAAAUCGGUGUGGUACUUACAAUCGUUCAGUGGUCGAUGAGGCAUCGCUCCAAUCGACUUAUACAGCCAUAGCAUAAUUUAUCAUUUCAUUCAAUCAUUCAAUACAUUUAAUCAUUCAUUUCAUUUCAAUCAAGUCAUUCAUGAUUCAGUCAUUUCAAUUCAAUCAAGUUAUUCAUGAUUCAUUUAUUUCAAUUCAAUCAAGUCAUUCAUGAAUCAUUCAAAUGAGAUCGAGUGUGGUAAGAUACAUACUCGACUCAGUAUUUUCAAAAUCUCCAAUCACUAAUAACAAUUAAGCACAUAUCAAGUUUACAUAUACUUGACACUCACCAAUCAAAAACAAAGGAGUAGUGUCCACUUGAGGGUUCAGGCGUCCACUGUGGGAUCCUUUUGAAGGUCCUCUUGAAUGCCUGAGUUAUUAAUAUUGAAUUAUCACUUAGAAACCCCAUUUAUUGAAGAAGAUUGUACUAGAGUACAAUCUACAAAAUCUCAUGAAAGUGAGCCUUAAUUAAUCGUAAAUCGAGGCUCAAAGGUGGGGUUUUAAAACACAAGAGAGAUCUGGUUUUAUCUUUGAAAUCAAGUGUAAAAUGAUCAAGUGAUAUCAAAGGAAAAGAGAGAGUUUGAAAAACUCCAUUUCCUUUAAGUUAGGAAUUUUCAGAUUUCUUACACGUACUUUGAAAAAUCGUAUCUCACUCUAUACAAGUCCAAAAUUGGAAAACUUGGUACCAUUGGAAACUACUUCCAAAGUAUUAAAAGUUUCUAGAAGAACUUUUCCAUGAUUCCAAAUGGAUGACAUUCGAAAUGUGGUUCAAGGUGGCUGUUUUGGACCAUUAAGACAGUUCUGGGUUGAUUUUCGGCAAAGUUUGGAAAUUCGGCAAAAUUCGCACAAUGCGAACUAGCCUCUAAAAUUUGGAACUCAAUUAGAGUUACAAUCAAAGUUUAAAAAACAACAGGUGGAAUAGGAAUCGAAGUUUUGAGUAUUGAGAGACAUCAGUCCAAAGUUGGUCACAUUUCGCAAAUUGUUCAGUCAUUUUCCAGAUUUAAAGACUAUCUUUGAAAUAUCAUUUGGCCAUCGAUUUGGCAUUAGAAAUACACCAAAAUUGGUACACUAAAUCCUCCAUGUGUAAACAACAUUUCUACCAAGUUUCAUGCAAAAAUUCCCACGGGAAGGAUGUCAUUAAAAUAGCCAAAGUUCAAGAAAUAUUUCAAGGCUAAUCUGCCUUCUCACUUUUCUUUUGCUUGCAAAUGUUUUGUGCAAUGAAAUCAGUUCUAAAUCACUCCAUUUUCGAAACCAAGAGUCCAUAAACAUCCACUAAGAAAUUUAAAGGUAAUGGACAUCACAAUUUUCUAAAUAUAACUCCCCAAAUCAGAUUUGACCAUUCAGCCAAGAGAAAAGGAAAAGUUUUCCAGAUUUGAAAAGCAAACUUUGGGACAUCUGUUGGCAUCGAGAAGGACUUGGAAUGGCACCAAAUUUGGUAGUAUUACCCUACCAUAUAAGGGCUAUUCCUCUGUCAAAUUUCAUGCAAAAAUUCGUACGGAAGGUCAGUUAACAAAGCCACUAAAGUUCCAAAAAUUUCCAAGACAAAACUGCCUUGUGGUUCCGUUUUCAGUUUCCCAAACGUUUGUCCAACGAAAACAUCUCAAAUAUGAUUCAUUUGUGUAGGCAAUAUCUAAGAAACAUACAAUAUAUAUUUGGUAGGUGAUUAACACCAAGAAUUUUGAAACAACAAGUCCCAAUCAAGAUUAAGGCAUUCAACUAGCCAAAAAGAGGGUUUUUCAUCACUGAGUCAGUUUUGAAAUUUGGCCACAACUCACUCAAUUCAACUUGUAAUUGAGCGUGGUUGGUGCAUUGGAAACUACAUUUAUAAGGGUACAAUUUCUUAGAAGAAAUAAUUUUAAAAUUCUGUCCACAACUAGUUCAUAUUUGAGCAUCAAAUCGUAACUCAAAACAAGGCUUCCAGUACAGACAAAAAACAGAACAGGCAAGUUUACAGGGUUGGUACAGCUCACUCAGGAUGGAAUCAUGGCAUGAAUUUUAUACCAUUGGAAAACUAGAAAUGUCUAAUUUUAAUGCGACAAACGACACUCGAUUUUGACAUCGGAGCAAAGAGUUAUAUCUGUUUGAAAAACACUGCCACUGCAAUACGGGAAAAAUUCUAAUUUUGAAUGAACUUUCGAAAUCACCACAUUUGGCCAACCAAAUCACGUAAUUUUUUUGUGGAAACCUUCCACACAACCCAUACAAUAUAUAUACAUCAUAAACAAGUCAAUAGAACUUUAAAAAAAAUGCUCUAAAGGUCACGGCAUUCACAGGGGCAGAAAUGGAAAAAUUCUCCCCUUCACUUCCUUUGAGCUUUCAUCCAUAAUAUCACUCAUUUCUACUAAUUUAAGCACUAAUCCAACAUUAUUAACAUCAAAACUCACAAAAUCAGUCCAUCAAGCCAUAGUGAGAGUUCAUAGAGCCCACUCACCAAUUUUCCAACAAUUUAAAGCUACCCAUAAGAAAUUAUGAACUCAUAAGUGCUAAACAACUUCCAUAAGUCAGGAUUUGCAAGGUUGAUCGUCACUUACUUUCUUAGAUGAUUAAGGAAGAAAUUUUGGUCCUCCUUGCUCAAGAAAAACCGUGGAAGUGAAGCUUUCUUCCUAGUCCAAAAUGGUCUCCAAGUUGUAUGAAAGUUGGUUGCAAGAUUUGAGAUGAAAUGAAGCAAGAAUUGAAGCAAAAAUGGAGAAGCUUUGGUUCUUCUUCCUUUCCUUGAUGCACGGCUGCUAUGGUGAGAAAAAGAGAAUUGUUUUGCUGAUGGGAAAGCUUCCUUGAGAAGCUUAUGAGUUUGUGGCCACAAUUGGUCCAAAAGUCAACUCUCCCUCCGCGCGCGCGCAUGCGUGCGUUUCGUGCUCGAUUCCUCCCGGAUUUGUUUCACUUGUGCACCAAACCUCUAAUGCACUUCUAUUCAAAUUAUUAUUAUUCACUCUUAAUGGUCUAAAAAUAAAGGUCUAAAGUCCUUAAAUUAAUCGCACACGCAAAAAAGCGUAUUUCCGAUUUGUGCGCGAUAAAGUGAAAUUUCCAAGAAAUUCUUAUAACGAUAGAAUCACUAGCUAAUAAUUGAUCACUUAAACAUAAAAUUACCUAUUUCAAGACUAAUGUACAAGUCUCCAAUUUUUCAAGUUUAUUGUAUUCUCGAAUCGAUUAUUGACUCCAAACGCGCAUUCACUAUUCUCAGUUAACGAGCCUUUCAAAAUUAAAUUUUGAAAUGAGUCAUUUUAAAAAUAUAAGCAAGUCAUAAUUCCAUGCGAUUGGGUCUAAAAAGAUUGAAAUAAAUUAUUUCGAGAAAACGGGUGGAUAAAUAAUUAAUUAAGCCAUUAAAAUAAGUAAAAAUUCGGGUCCUCACAUCCGGCAUGCACGAAUAAAGCUUGUACUUUCAGAAGCGUAUUUAUGAUGCAGUAAUUUACUAUCAUAUUGUAAUUUUACCUUCCAGCUGAGUUUCACUACAUUGUAACAUUGUAAGUGUCCUA